GGAGAUGGGAAUCGACGGUGGCUGACUGAUUUGGUAGAAGUCCUACUUGACAGACUAGGGUAGGAGUAUGCUCAGUUUCUUUGUUAUGGCUUAUACACAGAGCAGAUGGCUGCAGGUGGACGAUGCUGCGAGUGGGCGGUGGCGCACGUCGACAUGAGGCCAGAGUUUUGGAGAACGCAUCCUACCACGAACAGGUGAUAACUUAAGUACUAGGAGGAGUACUAGUUCUCAUCAUUGUCUCGAAGAAAACGUGACGGUUUAUUACGGCUGGAUAAUACUACAAGGUCCAGCGUUCGAUCUCUGGACCGUGUAUUAUAUUAGCGAACGUCAUUUAUUUAUUUUUCGAUCGAUGAAACCUCCGGUGGGCCGGGUACUGUGUCAGCGCGGGUACUGUGUCAGCGCGCGCGUAUGCCGAGUCGGCCCACGCGGACGAGCGCACAGGUCGUAUGCUCUAAAAAUUGUCCCACCUCGCCUGCUGUGGGACGCUGUGCCCAGCUUAUAUACUCUCUUCCUCCGAUCACAUUACAUCCACGGGGACAACCAGCUCAGAAAGAGGCCUUAGAGCCCACGAAAAUAAGAAAAGAGGCUUCAGAUUCAGAGCCCACGAGAAAAAGAAAAAGAGGCCUUCACAGCCCAGGAGGCUUUAGUAGAGCCCACGAGAAAAAGAAAGAAAAGAGGCCUUUAUAGAGCCCACAAAAGAAAAAGAGCCAGAGCCAAAAAAAAUGGACUGAGGCCAGAGGCACNNNNNNNNNNNNNNNNNNNNNNNNNNNNNNNNNNNNNNNNNNNNNNNNNNNNNNNNNNNNNNNNNNNNNNNNNNNNNNNNNNNNNNNNNNNNNNNNNNNNNNNNNNNNNNNNNNNNNNNNNNNNNNNNNNNNNNNNNNNNNNNNNNNNNNNNNNNNNNNNNNNNNNNNNNNNNNNNNNNNNNNNNNNNNNNNNNNNNNNNNNNNNNNNNNNNNNNNNNNNNNNNNNNNNNNNNNNNNNNNNNNNNNNNNNNNNNNNNNNNNNNNNNNNNNNNNNNNNNNNNNUACCCGUGGAGACUGUGCUAGACAUUAGCACAUGGCUUUUUUUAGUUUUGAUCUAUUUCACAACCUAUUUUUAAAACUCCCUACUAAUUUUUUCCUGAUAUAUAUAGCAUGACAAACAAUUUAUUAAUUCAUGGUGGUCAUUUUUAUCCUCCAACUAGGAGUGUGAAAAUGCCCAAAAUAGGAACAUGUAUUUUUUAUCUUUGUCAUAGCCUUUUUUUAACUCCUAUUUUUUCCCCUGAUAUAUACCAUGAGAAACAGUUUGUUUAUUUAUGGCGGUCAUUUUUAUCCUCCAACCAAGAGUGUGAAAAUGCCCAAAAUAAGAAAAGAGGCCUUCACAGCCCAGGAGGCUUUAGUAGAGCCCACGAGGAAAAGAAAGAAAAGAGGCCUUUAUAGAGCCCACAAAAGAAAAAGAGCCAGAGCCAAAAAAAUGGACCGAGGCCAGAGCCAACCCAAAAAAAAAGAGGCGACGUACCCGUGGAGACUGUGCUAGACAUUAGCACAUGGCUUUUUUUUAGUUUUGAUCUCUUUCACAACCUAUUUUUAAAACUCCCUACUAAUUUUUUCCUGAUAUAUAUAGCAUGACAAACAAUUUAUUUAUUUAUGGCGGUCAUUUUAUCCUCCAACUAGGAGUGUGAAAAUGCCCAAAAUAGGAACAUGUAUUUUUGAUCUUUGUCACAGCCUUUUUUUAACUCCUACUAUUUUCCCCCUGAUAUAUACCAUGAGAAACAGUUUAUUUAUUUAUGGCGGUCAUUUUUAUCCUCCAACCAGGAGUGUGAAAAUGCCCAAAAUAGGAACAUGUAUUUUUUAUCUCUGUCACAACCUUUUUUUAACUUCUAUUUUUUCCUGAUAUAUAUACGAGAAACAAUUUAUUUAUUCAUUUAUGGUGGUCUCUUUUAUCCUCCAAUCAGGAGUUUGGAAGUGCCCAAAAUAGAACAUGUAGUAUUGAUCUCUGUCACAAAUUUAUUUGUGGGGUUCACUUUUAUCGUCCAACCAAGAUUAUGUAAAUGCCCAAAAUAGAAACAUGUAGAACGCUGAGCUAAAAUAUAAUAGACCCGAUGUAGAACAAACAUUUACAUUAUCGCGAACCAAUCUAUGGUUGGAUGGUUAGAGAGUCUUUGGUAUCCCCAGUCCACUAGGGUUCAAGUCCUCGUGCUCGCAUUUAUUUUUGGAUUUAUUUCAGGAUUUCCGGUGAUGCGCAUUCAGUCGGAGGAGACGUUCCCGUCGACAACGAGGUGCCUACGGUGGUUUCGUAAAUUUCAAGUUGAUAUGCCGGCUAAGUCUUUCAGAGGUGCUCAUAGGAAUAGGGUGCAUGUGUGUGUGUUCAUAGGGGUGAGUGUAUGCGCGUGUAUAUGAGCGCUUGCGUCUGUACCGUGUUAAAAUAAACAUGUACACUGUCCAAUAAUCUUUAAUGCUCAAGUCCUGAUAAGUAAAAUGCAUUUUCUAAGGGGAGUAGGUAAAAUGCAUUUGAUGUUUAGAAAGACAACAACAUUAUCAUUACCACAUGGCUUUUAAUUUUUUUGAUCUUUGUCUCGAUAAACAAACUAUUUGUGGCGGUCACUUUUAUUCUUCAACCAGGAAUAUGAAAAUGCUCAAAAUAAAGCAUCCUGAGCAAAGUUUCAGAUCGCGGGCGAAAACAGCACGAUCGCGGUGCUAUCGCCUGCUGGAGCGCUUCCCGUGACGCAAUCCCGUAAAAAAUGCGAUCUGCCGCUAACCGUGUGAUUGCGCACGAAACGGCGCUAUUUGACUUCGUUGUUGCUGCAAAAUCACGGGCAUGGGCCGAAAGACUGAAGCACAAGGGCCUAAAGGCCCCAAACAGACCAGAACGGCCCAAAUUCGCGAUGGUAUAUGUAGGACCUUGAAGUAUGUCUAGAGGGGGGGGUGAUUAGACUACUUGGCCAAUUAAAAACUUAACAUUUUUCCAAUUUUAGAGUUUGGCAGAUUUUAGCUAUCUUAGGACAAGUCAAGCAAUCAUCACACAAUUCAAGCAAGCAUGCAAAGAGUAUAUAGGCAGCGGAAAUUAAAGCAUGCAACUUGCAAGAAAGUAAAGGGAAGGGUUUGGAGGAUUCAAACGCAAUUGGAGACACGGAUGUUUUUGGCGUGGUUCCGAUAGGUGGUGCUAUCGUACAUCCACGUUGAUGGAGACUUCAACCCACGAAGGGUAACGGUUGCGCGAGUCCACGGAGGGCUCCACCCACGAAGGAUCCACGAAGAAGCAACCUUGUCUAUCCCACCAUGGCCAUCGCCCACGAAGGACUUGCCUCACUAGCGGUAGAUCUUCACGAAGUAGGCGAUCUCCUUGCCCUUACAAAUUCCUUGGUUCAACUCCACAAUCUUGUCGGAGGCUCCCAAGUGACACCUAGCCAAUCUAGGAGACACCACUCUCCAAGAAGUAACAAAUGGUGCGUUGAUGAUGAACUCCUUGCUCUUGUGCUUCAAAUGAUAGUCUCCUCAAUACUCAACUCUCUCUCAUAGGAUUUGGAUCUGGUGGAAAGAAGAUUUGAGUGAAAAGCAACUUGGGGAAGGCUAGAGAUCAAGAUUCAUAUGGUAGGAAUGGAAUAUCUUGGCCUCAACACAUGAGUAGGUGGUUCUCUUUCAGAAAUGGUAAGUUGGAAGUGUAGGUUUUAGUCUGAUGGCUCUCUCCAUGAAUGAAGAGGAGGUGGAGGGGUAUAUAUAGCCUCCACACAAAAUCUAACCGUUACACACAAUUUACCAAAUCCGGUGGGACCGAUUCAACAGACUCGAUCGGACAGAUUUAGUAAACCUAGUGACCGUUAGGAUUUUCGGUGAGACUGACAUGCAACUCAGUGAGACUGAUUCGGUUCGGGUUAGGGCAUAACAUAAUCUCGGUAAGACCGAUUACACAAACUCGGUGAGACUAAUUUUGGUAAUAAGCUUUCCAGAGAGUUGGUCAGGUAAACUCGGUGGGACCGAUUUGCUCUUUUCGGUGAGAUCGAAAUGUUACAAAAGGGAAACAGAGAGUUUACAUUGCAAUAUCGGUGGGACCGAUCGCUCACUUCGGUUAGACCGAAACGUUACGAAGGGAAACAGAGAGAUUACAAUCCCAUCUCGGUGAGACCGAGAUCCCUAUCAGUAAGACCGAUUUGCUUAGGGUUUGUGGCAGUGGCUAUGACAAUCAAAAUCGGUGGCACCGGAUAGAAAGAAUCGGUUUGACCGAUUUUGGCUUUAGGUUUAGGUCAUUUGUGGAUGUGAGAAAGUAGAUGAGGGUUUUGGAGCAUAUCACUAAGCACAUGUAGCAAGAGGCUCAUUAAGCAACACCUCAUCCCUCCUUGAUAGUAUUGACUUUUCCUAUAGACUCAAUGUGAUCUUGGAUCACUAAAAUAUAUAAAAUGAAGAGUCUUGAGCUUUUGAGCUUGACCCAGUCCUUUGUCAUUAGUAUUUUGAGGGAUCCACUUUCAUCAUCCAUGUCAUGCCAUUCAUUGAGCUUUUCUGAAAUAAUAGUCUUGGAAUAGCAUUAGCUCAAUGAGCUAUAUGUUGUUAUGAAUUACCAAAACCACAUAGGGAUAGUUGCACUUUCAAUCUCCCCCUUUUUGGUAAUUGAUGACAACAUAUAGAUCAAAGCUUCGACAAAUGAUAAUAAGAUUUAGAACAUCGUCGCUUUGAGAAGUAUGUGAUAAGCAAGAGCUCCCCCUAAAUUUGUGCAUAGUUUAAGAUUUGCUUUGGACUGCAAAUGCACAAGGAAUUAGGCUCAUGGGUUAAUCUUCCAUGUCACAUACAUCUUGGUGGAGCGCUCAAAAUGAUAAAGAUUGAAUACAUGCACUCAUCACCAAGCAAAGUGAAUGAUCGCAUAGGAUAGAUAAGAUAAUAUCAUCAAACAUGCAUAAGUGUAGCUUAUGAUCAAACACAUGAUCAUCAAUGUCUCACAAGAACAGCAUAGUAUCUCAAGCAAUCAAAAUCAAACAAGUUUAACCACCAAAUCAAGAGAGAAUAAAAGCAACACUCUCUCUCUCUCUCGAAGCCUAUGAUCUAUACAUUUUUCUCCCCCUUUGGCAACAAGUUACCAAAAAGUUCAUAGAAAAGGCAUAGUGCUAGAUUGACUCUCAGGCUUGAUCUUCAGGUGGUGGUGUCCGGAUAACUCCAAGAACGAAGGCUUCAGUUAAAGUAGAGGGUGCUGGAGUUGAUGCUGGAGUUGGUUGCACUGGAGCAGUAGGAGCUGUAGCUGGUGCAGAUGAUGUGGCUCUGGUGUCUGUGACAGGCACUCUAGCUGACCUGUGAGCUCUAGGCACUCUGGCAAAUACAUUAGUGGUAGUCUUGCCCUGCCUCUCCUGCAUGUCAUCCUGUAGCUGCUCCACAACAGACUGAAUCUCAGUUACUUUGACAUCAAGAUCAUGAAAUUUGAGUUCCAUGAUUCUUUCCAAGCUCUCCUGAUUUUGAGUGAGGGUGGCCAAUCCCUUCUCAAUCCUCAGAGUUGAUGCUAUUAAGUAACCAAGCUGCUCCUGCUUGUUCUUCAAGAAAUACUCAGAUGCCUCCUCUUGAGUUGGCAUCCUGGCAGCCUUCUCCUUCCUUGCCUUCUCCUUCUUCUCUUGAGCUUCUACUGAUGAUGGAUCAUUCUCAUUCAUGACAACCUGAUUGUCCUCAAAAUCUGGAUAGAGAGGAAAAUGUUCCUUAUCCAAUAGAUAUUUGCCUGUGUCCAUCUUUGAGUUAAUCAACUCCUGAAUCCGAGGGGCAUAUCCACAACUCCUCUUCUGAUCUGCUGCAGUCCUCUUAAUGGUUUCAACUAUAAGGCUCAUGACCUUGAAUUUCUGUGGCACAUCAAACAAAUGCAACAUGUUGAUUGCAUGCCCUCUGAUCAUGUUGUGGUCACCAGACUUAGGCAACAGAGUGUGCCUUAAGAUCCAAUUGAUAGUUGGCAACCCUAACAGAAGAAAGUGGACUGAUCCAAACUUAUGUGUCUCAACAGCUUUGUCCGGGAUCUCCUUGUACAUGCGUGCCAUGGAAUUGUGGUCCAUCUUCUUUUUGGCAUAAAUAUCCAAGUCAUCAUCAUUUUCCUUUGGGGCAUUGAUCAGUCUUUCCCAUUCCUCAACAGUGGACUGGUACCUUGUAGCUUCAGACAUCCAAACUAUCCUUCCAUCUGGAUAAAAGUGUUUUGUGGAGUAGAAUUGCAUGAUAAGUUCAUCAUUCCAGUUGGUGAGCUUUUUCCCAACAUAAUCUGCAACUCCACAAGCAACAAAGCUGUCUUGCACUCCAGGAUAGUGUUCCUCAUUUUCCUUCAUAUAGGUCUAGUCGACCCACCUCAUGUCACACACUAUGGGCUUCUUAUCCCACAAGAUUGUCUCAUAGAAGUCCUGCUGUUCCUUUGUAUGGAACAUGUAAUCAACAGCAGUUCUUCUUUCUUGAGGCAUAUGGAUCUGUCAUCCUCCAUAGCCUCAACCCUGAGUCCUUUCUGAUCCUCAUGUCCUCAGCCACAGGAUGGGCAUCAUUGUGGUCUGGUAUCUUGGGCUUGAGCUUCCUUAGGACCUGUCCUUCUUCAUCUUCCUCAUCAGCAACAUUAGGCACUGGGGCCUUAUUCUUCUCAGCAGCUGGAAUACUCCUGGUAUUCCUCUUUGGUGCAAGCUUGGCCUUGGGGGCAGCUUUGGGUGCUUCCUUGGGCUUAGAUGUUGCAGCCCCUGAUCUAAUAGCAUCACCCAUAAGCUUUGGUGCCUUGGGUGCUGGUGCAGCAACCUCUUCUUCCUCUUCAGAAUCUCUUCUCAUUGAGGGCUUUCCAAGAACUUGGGCAGUUGUGGUUCUUGCUCUCUUCUUCUUCUUAUCCUAAGCUGCUUCAUCCUCUGAUUCAAUGGUAAACUUCAUAGUUUCUCCAGUAGGGACUUUCUUGGAUUUGGAAGUUGUGCCUUUUUUUGCAGGUGCCUCUUUGGGUUCUGACUGUUCUAGCACUUGAGUGGACCUUCUGACCUUGGGCAUAGGUGUCCUCUUGGCUGGAACCUUCUUAUUCAGUCCAGGCUUUGUGCUAUGUGCUAGGCCAUACUCCUUUUUGAGCACUGCCUUCUUGGAGGUAGCCUCAUCUUCUUCUGCUCUAUAAUCUUCAUCCUCAGAAUUUGAGGUUCUUUUCUUCCUUUGCCUGGUAGCAGCUUUAGGCAGAUUGCUAGGAGUGCUUCUGCUGCCUUCAUCUGAAGUGCUUGAGGGACUAGUGCCCUCACUCAUGUGAAUCUGCUCUUCAUCCCUGUUCUGGCUGUCACUCUGGUCUGACAUGCUGCAAACGCUGACUGCUGACCCUGUGAAGAGUUAUAGAUGAGAUAGAAUGGAUGAGCAUCACAAAAUGCAGAGAUUUUUGCAAAAGAAUGAUUCAAAAAUUCAGUUUUAGUUUUCCACAGAAAGCAUUUCAGAUCAACCGAUUUUCAAACUCGGUGAUACCGAAGCAGUUUUGGAACCUAAACUGAUGAACUCGGUUGGACCGACUCACAGUUCGGUGGCACCGAGACUGCUAGGGUUUCACAAAGUCCUAAAAUCGGUCUCACCGAUUAGCAAUUCUCGGUCAGACCGAGAGUUACUAGUGCAAUGGCAUUAGCCAAAUCGGUGGGACCGAGUUUUUCAACUCGGUGGGUCCGAGAUGGUUUCGGCGGAAACCUAACCCUAAAAUUUCGAAUCUCAUCUAAUCUACGGAUUGCAUUGACUGGAUAGGAGUGUUUCAAUCAUGGCAAGAAUCAAUAAGAACACAAUGUGCUAGGAAUCGGACGAGGAUAACACAGUGAUCGAGUCCAUACCCUAGCUUGGCGAUGAACUCGCUACGGCGGCAACGGCGGGGUUGAAAUCCGUUGACGGCGGCGGAGACCAGCGACAGGAGGCGGCUGGCGACAAGGAGACGAUCCAGAGACCUUGGAGGCAGAGCGAGCUAUUGCGCGGGCGAAGGGUUCGGAGGAAUUUUCAAAUUUUUGCCCAUGACUAUAUAUAGCCCGACCCUGUUGGUGUGACCGAGUGGAACAACUCGGUGGCACCGAGAUGCAUAACUGUGUACAGUUACAGCAACUCGAUGUGACCGAAAAGUUCAAAUCGGUUGCAUCGAGAUUGAAAACUUAGAUCGACUUAAUGAUCUUAGUAGGACCGAAAUGGAGGAAUCGGUCAGACCAAGAAUCACAAAGAAGUUUUGGAAGUUUAAGUCAAUGACGAAUCGGGGACUCCGAGUGCUCCUCACACAGAGUGGUUCGAAUCUGACUUGAUCAAAUUUUGUGAUGUAGCAUGAAUAGAGUUUGAGACGAGAAAAGCAUAGACAGCUAGAGAAGGUUCUUAGGCAUUCUUGUCCAUCCACUUGGCAAAAAGAAAAAGAAGCCAAUCAAUCAAAACAACAAGUGGAUGUCCUUGAAUGAGUCAAAUAUGCACCAACAUGCUCACACAAUAAGAUGGCAAAUGAAAUGUGUGGCAAAACAUGCACAACCAAUUCUAGCAUCUAUCAAACAAUUGGCGAUGACUAGGUCAUCUAUAUAUGAGUAUAUUGACUUAGGAGUCAAAUGAAAAUAUUUGAUCAUAGGUCAUACUCAUCGUUUAAGCUCAAGUGGGGUUACCACUUUUACAUAAUGCAUUGAUGUGUUCACACCAUUAGAGUUGCUUUGACUCAAUUUUUAGAGUUAAGCUCCCCCUAGAUGUGAGAUCCCCUUUUAGAGAGAUGAACUAACCUUGGGUUUUGUCGAUGAUGACUUCAUGUAGGUGUUGAAGAUGUGGAUGCUCAAUGUUGAUGUAGAUCAUUUGGAGUAAUCCUUUGGAGUGAGUUGCACUUUCAACUUACCUACAUGGGUUAGUCCCACAAGGAACAAACAAGAAUAUCCAUAGACAUAGAGUGAUGCACACACAAGAUGAUGUCCAUGAAAUCAUUAGGUUACCUUGUCCCUUGCCUUACCAACAUGAGGGUUUGUGACUCCUUGAACUAGUGCAAGAUGUGGAAGCUGACUGCACUUGUUCUUGCCAUAAUGAUAUGAGUGAAGAAUGUUGGCGGAGUCACCCUCAAGGACUCUCUAGUUCUUCUUUUUCGGGAUCCACAUCAUCUUGAUGGGAAUCCUUGGAGUUGUAGUUGUACUUGAUGAGGUAGAACUUGACGUAGUCUUGGGAACCCACUUGAACGAGGCCUUAGGUGCUUCUUCAAAUGCAUCGAUCUCUUCUUGAAGCUUGUCCUUGCCUUUGUUCUUGUGGUCUUGUGGUGGAAGAUCAUCUUGUGCUUGUGUUCCCUUGAAGGAAGUAGGAUCAUACUUCUCUUGUUGAGGAACAAACUUCGUCUUGGGGUAUUGAUCUUCUUCCCACUCAACUCCAUUGGCAUUGAGCUUUCGUUCAAAACCAACACCUUGAUUCUUCCGGUGCCUUCCUUGCUUGCAUACAAUUUCCUCAAAUUGCUUACUCCCGGCAAGGCUCUUGUAAACACCUUUCUCUAUAAUUCCCUUCAAUAAGCUAUUUUCUUGCUCAAAUGUAACUUGACUAAGAGAAUCAUUACUGGAAUCAAGAGAACUACUAGAAGCAACAAAAUUGGAUUUGACAUUAUUAUUGUUACUACUAGAGGAAGUAUCUUUCUUGUAGUUGUUACUAGACUUGACUUGAGGCAUGUAAGUAGAUAAGAGUAAACGCUUGGCAAUGUAAGAAGAACUUUUCUUACGGAGAUCAUCAUUGAUUGCUUUUAAGAACUCAUGCUCUUGCUCAAGAUUGAGCUUUUCAAAGCGUAACUUCUCAUGAGCCCUUAAAAGUUCUCGAUGAUCUUCGAAGAUAGUUUCAUGAGCUAACUUAAGAGUGUUUAGUUCUUUAGUUAGAAGCGCAAUCUUCUCCUUAUCAUUGUCAUUCGUUUUAUCUUGAUUAGCAUGGUUAAUUGACGUUUCAUCAUAGUAUUCAUCACUAGAGUUGUCAACAAGUAAAUCAUCAUCCACAAGCAAGUCAUCUUCAUCACUAUUGAAAUCAACAUACUCAGGAUGUGUUACCUUUGGACCUUUGGCCAUGAAGCAUCUUCCAAUUCCUUCAUUUGGUGAAUCAAAUAUGUCGUAGGAGUUGGUUGACACAAGUGCUAGGCCGACAACACCUUCAUCUUGAGUAUAUUCGGAGUCGGAGUGAUAGCUUCUCUCGGAGUGAUUGUCGGAGUCGGAGCCGGAUACCCAUUCACCAACAGUAGCUUGAUGUCUUUGUUUUGUGUAGCUCCUUGAUGACUUGUCCUUCCUUUCCAAAUCCUUGCUUCUCCGUGAGGGUCUUCGUUCAUAACGAUCAUCUCUACUCCUUCUCUCUCUUGGUGGUGAUUCUUCUCUUUUGCUUCUUCUUCUUGAAGAAUCUUCUCUUCUUUUGUAGGGUGCCGUACACUCAUUUGAAUAGUGUCCGGGUCUCCCACAAUUGUAGCAAUUGCGCUCUCGACUAGAAGAUCUUUUGUCAUUGUAAGACCUUGACUUGGAGCUUCUUUCUUUGCUUCUACUCUUGUAGAAUUUGUUGAAGUUCUUCACCAUUAAGCUCAAUUCUUCAUUGAAGGUUUGUUUCUCACUUGAUGAUGUGGGGGCUUCACUUGAGGCUUUGUAAGCACCACUUGACUUGUUGUGAAGUUCCUCCUUAUCCUUGAGUGACAUCUCAUGAGCAACAAUUCUUCCAAUGACUUCUGUUGGCUUGAGAUCUUUGUAGUUUGGCAUCAUUUGGAUCAAUGUGCACACGGUAUCAUACUUUCCAUCCAAUGCUCUUAGGAUCUUCUUGAUGAUGAAUUUGUCAGUCAUCUCUUCACUCCCUAAGCCGUCAAUCUCAUUUGUGAUAAGAGCAAGCCUAGAGUACAUUUCAGUGACACCUUCACCGUCCUUCAUUUUGAACUUGUCAAGCUGACUUUGGAGCAAAUCCAACUUGGAUUUCUUGACGGAUUCGGUACCUUCAUGCAUAUCAAUCAAAGUAUCCCAAAUUUCCUUUGCAUUCUCAAGACGGCUGAUUUUGUUGAAUUCUUUGGGGCACAAUCCGUUGAAGAUGAUAUCACAAGCUUGAGUGUUGUAUUGCAGCAUCUUCAAUUCUUCCGCAUUAGCUUCACGUUUCGGUUCUCCCCCAUCAAAGAAUUCACCUUGCAAGCCAAUACAAAUAAUUGCCCAAAUGGCGGGGUUAUGUCCGAGAAUAUGCAUUUUCAUCUUAUGCUUCCAACUAGUAAAAUUAGUACCAUCAAAGUAACAACCUCUACGGUGAUAGUUUCCCUCGCUAGACGCCAUACUCUCCUAGGUUGUGAAACCAAGGCUAUGACCACCAAAAGCUAUGGAAAUCAAAGCAAAUGGAGACCAAAGCUCUGAUACCACUUGCAGGACCUUGAAGUAUGUCUAGAGGGGGGGUGAUUAGACUACUUGACCAAUUAAAAACUUAACCUUUUCCCAAUUUUAGAGUUUGGCAGAUUUUAGCUAUCUUAGGACAAGUCAAGCAAUCAUCACACAAUUCAAGCAAGCAUGCAAAGAGUAUAUAGGCAGCGGAAAUUAAAGCAUGCAACUUGCAAGAAAGUAAAGGGAAGGGUUUGGAGGAUUCAAACGUAAUUGGAGACAUGGAUGUUUUUGGCGUGGUUCCGAUAGGUGGUGCUAUCGUACAUCCACGUUGAUGGAGACUUCAACCCACGAAGGGUAACGGUUGCGCGAGUCCACGGAGGGCUCCACCCACGAAGGGUCCACGAAGAAGCAACCUUGUCUAUCCCACCAUGGCCAUCGCCCACGAAGGACUUGCCUCACUAGCGGUAGAUCUUCACGAAGUAGGUGAUCUCCUUGCCCUUACAAACUCCUUGGUUCAACUCCACAAUCUUGUCGGAGGCUCCCAAGUGACACCUAGCCAAUCUAGGAGACAUCACUCUCCAAGAAGUAACAAAUGGUGCAUUGAUGAUGAACUCCUUGCUCUUGUGCUUCAAAUGAUAGUCUCCCCAACACUCAACUCUCUCUCAUAGGAUUUGGAUCUGGUGGAAAGAAGAUUUGAGUGGAAAGCAACUUGGGGAAGGCUAUAGAUCAAGAUUCAUAUGAUAGUAAUGGAAUAUCUUGGCCUCAACACAUGAGUAGGUGGUUCCCUCUCAGAAAUGGUAAGUUGGAAGUGUAGGUUUUAGUCUGAUGGCUCUCUCCACGAAUGAAGAGGAGGUGGAGGGGUAUAUAUAGCCUCCACACAAAAUCUAACCGUUACACACAAUUUACCAAACUCGGUGGGACCGAUUCAAGAGACUCGGACGGACCGAUUUAGUAAACCUAGUGACCUACGAGAGAAAAGGCAUUAGAAUUACUCCAAAAAGCAUUAUUAUACAAUAAAACAAUAUAAAUAACAGUAGGUAAACAUGAUGCAAAAUGGACGUAUCAACUCCCCCAAGCUUAGACCUCGCUUGUCCUCAAGCGAAAACCAAAAUCGAAAAACAUGUCCACAUGCUUAGAGAGAGGUGUCGAUAAAAACAAAAAUAUGGACAUAGCAGCAUCAUGUAACUUAUUAUAACAACAACACACUUUAACAUAAAACUUUUAUCAUAGAACUUUUAUCAUAGACUUCUCAUGGAUAAGUGACAAUUCAUCACAACAUCGAAGUAUAAAGCACAAACUCUUUAUGCCUCUUUUAAUUUUUGAUCUUUGUCUUGCAAACAAUUUUUUGUGGCGGUUACUUUUAUCCUCCAAUCAAGAUUAUUCAAACGCCCAAAAUAGAAACAUGUAGCAUGCUGAGCUAAAAAUAUGUCAGGACCCCGACUCAAUGCCACAUCGAUCUAGCAUGUAACACCUCAUAUCACUUUGCGGCCUCACGCACGGUAUUCCCACGGGUGUCGCCUUACCUUUGCCCGGGACCGUUUGCGUCUUUUGGCACACGUAUAUGAUAGUGUCGCUAGCAUCCAUAUGGUAAGGAGCCCGGGCUGACAUGGCUAGUCGUAAACCCAAAGUGGCACAAACUUACAGGGACAGGCAUCCAUGACCCAACAUCGAACAUGCCGGUCAUCAGCGAGUGAAUCCAGGCUGUAGCACUGGGCUAGCAGGACUCCGGUGAACCGGGCUGUAGCGGGCUAACAGGACUCCGAUAUUCAUCGCGUGACAUUUCCCCGAAGGGACAGACACAGGAACGAAGAAGGACACAUGCCGGCCAGCCUAAGUGUUCCGGAGCAGUAGCAAGCUACCAUGGCUCGGUGGAAACACUAGGAGACAUUUCCCGGUAAGAGAGGCUACUAAAGAUAAACAACUACAUAGUCAGAUCCCACACAUACCAAGCAUUUCAAUAACAUACACACAAUAUGCUCGAUAUGUGCAAUACAACAUGGCAUCACAAAAUGACUCUACGACUCAGUAUUUAUUCAAUAGGCUCCGAGGAGCGAGAUAUUACAAACAUGGGUCUCAUGACCCAACACUCAGAGCAUACAAGUCAAAGCACAAACGGAAGCUUAACAUGUCUGAGUACAGACAUCUAUAAAUGAAAAAGGCUGAGAAGCCUGACUAUCUACCAGAUCCUGCCGAGGGCACAAGAUCGUAGCUGAGGUAACAAGCUAAACAUCGAAGACCAUGCGGAACUACUAGCGAGACUGAAGUCUCUCUGCAAAAACAUAAAAUAGGCAAACGUGAGUACAAAUGUACCCAGCAAGACUUACAUCAGAACUAUCUACAUAUGCAUCAUUAUCAACAAAGGGGAUGGUGGGGUUUAACUGCAGCAAGCCAGCUUUGACUCGGUGGCUAUCCUAAACUACGACUGCAAAUAACUCUUUGAGGUGGCGCACACGAGUCCACAUAUUCACCAUAUUAAUACACCACUAUGGAUCCGCUCCCGUCUCCCUACGAGAACGCCAUCCAUAGCACUCACGCUUAUCUUGCGUAUUUUAGAGUAUGCACUUUCACUUGUCUAUGAACUGUACAAGGGGUCCAAGUUUCCAUAUCCGAGGAAUCCGGCUAUUCGAAUAGAUAGUGAUAACCCUGCAGGGGUGUACUUCUUCACACACGCUUUCGCCACUUAUCGCCCUGUACACGUCAUGUACCUCGGCAACCUUCAAGCGGAAGCCGGGCGAGGGAGUCGGCCACGACCUGACUAACCGAACAAGUCUCUAGUCCAGGUUUAUCGCCUAUUCGGGUUCCAUCCGCAAGGAGAUCCGGCCGGGGUGUCGCUCACGGCCCCAAACGAUGUGAGCAGGGUUCUCAAGCCCACCUCGACGGGUGGAUCUACGCUUGGUACACCGUGCCAUUGUGCCUAGUCUGUCCCAAGCCCACCUGUACCGGGUGCCACUUGGUAGACUACUAACACUACCUACAAACACCAGAAACUAGUUGCAACUCCUGGACAGAGAUCAAGUUGAUUAAUAAGUCGAGAGAGCUUGGAGCGCCCGGAGCCCAAUGUGUGGUAGUAACUGAUCAUGGAUCACAAACACAGAACUCGGUUCCUGAGGACGGCUGCAAUGAGACAACCCACCAUGUACUCCUACAUGGCCUCUCACCGCUACCUUUACCAAAUCGUGUUCACACACUUAGCUCACACACAGUAGGACAUGUUCACACGCCUCUGAUUCAUCCCCGAUGAAUCAGACCUGACUCAACUCUAAGCAGUAGCAGGCAUGACAAACAAACAUGAAUGAGUAGGCACAACAGGGCUCAAACAACUCCUACUCAUGCUAGUGGGUUUCAUCUAUUUACUGUGGCAAUGAUAGGUCAUGCAGAGGAUAAAGGGGUUCAACUACCGCAGCAAGUAACAGAUGAAUCGUUGUUGUCCUAAUGCAGUAAAAGAGAGCAGGAGCGAGAGAGUGGGAUUUUAUCGGAAUGAACAAGGGGUUUUUGCUUGCCUGGCACUUCUGAAGAUAAUAUAGCUCUUCGUCGGUGUCAUCGAUCACAUCGCCGGUACACGUCUAUCGAGAGGGGACAAUUACCGGCAAACAAGGAAAAACACAAUCAAUGCAAUGCGACAAUAUGAUGCAUGCUAUGACAUGGCAAUAUGAAUGUGUUUUGGGCUAAUGCACUUAGCUAUGAUUUAAAUGAAGUUGGUUUGAAUACAUGAUUCAAAUUCCAACUCCAUAUAUGAUUAUUUAAAUGCCCUUAAUUUGUUUUGUCCAAAACAGAGGACAAACAUUGUUUAAACAUGCAUGAAAAUGGUACAGAUGGAUUCCUUGAAUUUUUCUGAUAAUUUUUCAUAUAUAAAUUAUUUAAUUUGGAGUUACGGUUAAUUUUCUAUGAUUUAUUGAAGUUUUAGCUACUUCUGGAAUUUCCUGAUUAUUAUAAAAUAAACUAAAUUCCAGAAAAGGAAUAUUGCGUCAGCAUGACCUCACCCUGACGUCAUCAGGUCAACAGGGCGGGUCCAGGUCAAACCUGACGUGUGGGGGCCACACGUCAGUGACACAGGAACUAAUCCUGGUCAAACCCAGCGCUGGCUGGGGUUUGACCAGGGGUGGGGCCCACUGUCAGUGUCUGUAGGUUGAUUAACCAGCUGGGUUAGCUCCUAAUGACGGAGCCACGUCAGCUCCCGCCGGAGUUUCGCCGGCGACGACCAACGGAGCGGCGGAAACGCAUCGGGUUCGCGCUACAGGGCACAGUUUAGGGUGCGGUUGGGUUCUACGGCGAGCUGGGACUCGUGCGCAUCGAACGGUGGUGGUGGCCGUGCCGGUGAUGGCCGGUACCGAUGACGGCGAGCUCGUGAGCGGCGGCCGGAGUUCGGGUGGUGGCGGGUUUGGCGCUACGAGCGGUGGUUUGGCGCGCUGAGGGCACUAGGGAGAAGCUCUUGCUCCUCCGCAUCCAAAGGAACGGGCGGGAGGCCGCGAGGUGGCCGGAGUUGAGCACGGCGUCGACCUCGGCGGCGGCCGGAGCUCGGGCGAGCUCAGGGUCGGUGUUAGGGAGCACGGCAGGAGGUGUUGUGGGUGUCUACGGGUUCAUGCGAUCGUGCUGAGCACGAUGGUGGGCUCGGGAGUGAGCUGCGGUGGCUGUGGCCACGGCCACGCCAUGGCCGGCGGCGAGAAGCUCUCGGCCGAGGUGGGGAAGCUAGCUAGGGGAGGGGAACGACGGGGAUUCCAGGGGAAAAAAGAAGAGUGGCUCACGUAGGGACUAGCAGAGUCGACGACAAGGUCGGGGAAGCUCUGGACGACGCGAAUUUACGGCGGCGAUCUCCGGGCACCGGAGAUGAAGACGACGAUGCUCCGGUUGACUGGGGCCUCCUCUGGUCGCGUGCGUCAGUGUGCAGCUCCAUGGGGUCGGGACGGAGCUCAGGGGUGUGGAGAGGGAGCGAGGGGGUGGCUGUGGCCGCGGCGAACAGCGUCGGUGGCGACGAGCUCCGCUCGGGCAGAGAGGGAGAGAGAGCAGAGGAGAGGAUGAGGCGAGGGAGAGAGUGAGAGAGAGCCAGGGGCUGCGUGGCGCUCCGUGGCAUCGUCUAGGAGGGGCCGGGGAAGCAGGAGGUGGCCGGGGCGCGUGGCCGCGCGCGCCGGGCGCGUGCCCGUCCUCCUGGCAAGGGAGGAAGUCGACAGGGGGGUAGCGGUGGCGGGCUGGGCCGGCCAGCUGCAGUGCUGGGCCGGUUUGGCUACCAGGUGAGCGCCAGGUAGGCUUCUGCUCUUUUUUAUUUUUUUCUUCUGUUUUGUUUUAUUUAAUAUCUUUUGCCAUUGUUUUUGAAUUUUAAACAAAUUCAAACAAUGCCAAAAACUCCUCUGAAUAAUUUUAUUUGGCUAGAUGGACUUUUCCAAAAGCUCAUAAAAUAUUUCAGGGGUAUUUGAAAUUAUAUUCUAAUUAUAUGAAUAUAAUUCAAAUUCAAAUAGCUAAUGAUUUAAAUUCAAAGUCCCAAAAAUAAAUCCUUAAAAAUGUUCAAUAUUUUGGUUGGGACCAGAACCCUUGCCAAAAAUUAUCAAACAUUUAAGAAGAACAUUUUGGAACAAUGAAUGAGAUUUUAGGGUUUUUGCCCUUCUUUUAUUUAGGAUUUUGAGGCUUCCAAUUUUCCUCAGUUCAAGUUUCAAAAUUUAAACAUGAUGCACAGAUGGAAGCAAGCCUAGGUCAGGCCAGAACUAGGGAUGUGACAAAAUAUAACAGACCCGAUACAGAACAAACAUUUUCACUGCCCAAUAAUCUUCAAUGCUCAAGUCCUGAUAAGUAAAAUGCAUUUCUUUAAGGGGCGAAGGUAAAAUGCAUUUGAUGUUCAGAAAGACAAUAAUAACUAGUGACAUUAACAUCAACACAUGGCUUUUAAAAAUUUUGAUCUCUUGUCUCGGUAAACUAAUUAUUUAUGGCGGUCACUUUUAUCCUCCAACCAAGGGUAUGAAAACGCCCAAAAUAGAAACACGUAGCACACUGGGCUAAAAUAUAACAGACCUGAUCCAGAACAAACCUUUUCACUGCCAAAUAAUCUUCGAUGCUCAAGUUUUGAUAAGUAAAAUGCAUUUUCUAAGGGGCGAAGGUAAAAUGCAUUUAAUGUUCAGAAAGGCAAAAAUAACUAAUGGCAUUAAGCAAUAUGUCCUCUCUAGAUCAUAAGCACAAAACAACCGCAUUGACAUCCGUCUUGUUUCUUCCAACUAAUCCCUAUAAAUGAUAACCAGAAGACCCCGAUCCGACAUUAACUAUUUAUUUAUGUCUUUGCUAAUUUUUAAUCUAUGUCUUGUCAAACAAUUUAUUUGUGGUGUUCACUUUUAUCCUCCAACCAAGAUUAUGUAAAUGCCCAAAAUAGAAACAUGUAGCACGCUGAGCUAAAAUAUAACAUACCUGAUAUAGAACAAACAUUUACACUAUCACGAACCAACAUGUGUUUAGAUGGUUAGAGGGAUUGUGGUAUCCUUAGUCCAUCAGGGUUCAAGUCCUCGUGCUCGCAUUUAUUCCUGAAUUUAUUUUAGGAUUUCCGGCGAUGCGCAUUCAUUUAUUCUUGUAUUUAUUUCAGGAUUUCCGGUGAUACGCAUUCAAUGGGAGGAGAUGUUCCCGUCGACAACGAGGUGCCUAUGGUGGCUUCGUAAAUUUCAAAGUGAUAUGUCAUCUAAGUCUUCCGAAGGUGCUCAUAGGGGCGGGAUGUGCGUGUGUGCGUUCAUAGGGGUGAGUAUAUGCGCAUGUAUAUGAGCACUUGUGUCUGUACCGUGUUAAAAUAAACAUUUACAUUGUUUAAUAAUCUUUAAUGCUCAAGUCCUGAUAAGUAAAAUGCAUUUUCUAAGGGUAGUAGGUAAAAUGCAUUUGAUGUUUAGAAAGACAACAGUAACUAAUGACAUUAACAUUAGCACAUGGCUUUUAAAUUUUUUCAUCUAUGUCUUGAUAAACAAAUUAUUUGCGUCUGUCACUUUUAUCCUCCAACCAAGAAUAUGAAACUUCCGAAAAUAAAGCACACUGAGCUAAAAUAUAACAGGGCCGAUACAAAACAAACCUUUUCACUGCCCAAUAAUCUUCAAUGUUCAAGUCCUGAUAAGUAAAAUGCAUUUUCUAGGGGCGAAGGUAAAAUGCAUUUGAUGUUCACAAAGACAACAAUAACUAAUGACAUUAAGCAAGAUCUCAUCUCUAGAAUCAUAAGCACGAAACAACUAAUCCUUAAAUGACCAUAACCAGAAAACCCCGACCCGACAACUAAUCCUUAAAUGACCCAUAACCAGAAAACCCCGACCCGACAUAAACAAUUUAUUUAUGUCUUUUUUAAAUUUUGAUCUCUGUCUCGGUAAACAAUUUAUUUAUGGCUGUCACUUUUAUCCUCCAACCAGGAGUAUGAAAAUGCCCAAAAUAGAAACACAUAGCACGCUGAGCUAAGAUAUAACCGACCCGAUACAGAACAAACCUUUUCACUGCCCAAUAAUUUUCAAUGCUCAAGUCAUGAUAAGCAAAAUGCAUUUUCUGACAAGCAAAGGUAAAAUGCAUUUGAUGUUUAGAAAGACAACAAUAAUUAAUGACAUGAAGCAAUAUCUCAUCUCUAGAAUCAUAAGCAUGAAACAACUGCAUCGACAUCUGUCUUGUUUCUUCCAACUAAUCCUUAAAUGACACAUAACAAGAAGCCCCCGGCCCGACAUAAACAAUUUAUUUAUAUGUUUUUUAAUUUUGAUCUCUAUCUUGGUAAACAAUUUAUUUAUUGUGGUCACUUUUAUCCUCCAACCAAGAGUAUGAAAAUUCCCAAAAUAGAAACAUCAAGCAGGUUGAGCUAAAAUAUGACAGACCCAAUACAGAACAAACAUUUUCAUUGCCCAAUAAUCUUCAAUGUCAAGUCGUGAUAAGUAAUGCAUUUUCUCGGGGUGAAGGUAAAACACAUUUGAUGUUCAAAAGGACAACAAUAACUAAUGAGAUUAAGAAAUAUCUCUUCUUAAGAAUCAUAAGCAAGAAAUAACCGCAUCGACAUCCAUCUUGUUUCUUCCAACUAAUCCUUAAAUGAUCCAUAACCAGAAGACCCGGACCCAGAAUAAACAAUAUAUUUAUGGCGGUCACCUUUGUCCACCAAGACGUGAAAGAUGCUCAAAAUACAACAUGUAGCAAUAUGAGCUAAAAUAUCACAUACUCGAUACAGAACACACCUUUUUACUUCCCAAUGUCUUUCCUUUAUCCACAAUAUCUCUCAUGCUCAGGUCCAAAUGAGUAAAUGCAUUUUGGGGGGAGGUAAAGGUAAAAUGCAUUUGGUGUUGAGAAUGGCAACAAUAACUAUUCGCAUUAAGCAAUAUCUCAUCUCUAGAAUCAUAAGCGGGAAACAACCCAUCUUGUUUCUUCCAACUAAUCUUGAAAUGACCCAUAGUCGGAAAGACCCCAACCCUUCAAAACAAUUUAUUUGUGGCGAUCACUUUUAUCCUCCAACAUGUGAACCAAUAGUAUGAAGAUGCCCAAAUUAGUACAUGUAGCGCGAUGAGCUAAACUAUCACAAACUCGGUAUGGGACACGUUUUUACUGCCCAAUCAUGUGUCCUUAUCCACAAUAUCUCCAGUGCUUAAGUCUUGAUAAGUAAAAUGCAUUUUAUUGGGGAAGGGGGUAAAGGUAAAAUGCAUUUGAUGUUGGGAAGGACAACAAUAAUUAAUUAUAUUAAGAAAUAUCUAAUCUCAAUAAUCAUAAGCACAAAAUUGAAAGAAAUAUGCCCCAGAGGCAAUAAUAAAGUUGUUAUUCAUAUUUCCUUAUAUCAUGAUAAAUGUUUAUUAUUCAUGUUAGAAUUGUAUUAACCGGAAACUUAGUACAUGUGUGAAUACAUAGACAAAACAAAGUGUCUCUAGUAUGCCUCUACUUAACUAGCUCAUUAAUCAAAGAUGGUUAUGUUUCCUGACCAUAGACAUGUGUUGUCAUUUGAUGAAUGGGGUCAUAUCAUUAGAGAAUGAUGUGAUGGACAAGACCCAUCCGUUAGCUUAGCAUAAUGAUUGUUAAUUUUUAUUGCUAAUGCUUUCUUCAUGACUUAUACAUGUUCCUUUGACUAUGAGAUUAUGCAACUCCCGAAUACCGGAGGAACACCUUGUGUGCUAUCAAACGUCACAACGUACCUGGGUGAUUAUAAACAUGCUCUAGAGGUGUCUCCGAAGGUGUUUGUUGGGUUGGCAUAGAUCGAGAUUAGGAUUUGUCACUUAGUGUGUCGGAGAGGUAUCUCUGGGCCCUCUCGGUAAUGCUCAUCACUAUAAGCCUUGCAAGCAAUGUGACUAAUGAGUUAGUUACGGGAUGAUGCAUAACGGAACGAGUAAAGAGACUUGCCGGUAAUGAGAUUGAACUAGGUAUGAAGAUACCGACGAUUGAAUCUCGGGCAAGUAACAUACCGUUGACAAAGGGAACAACGUAUGUAGUUAUGCAGUUUGACCGAUAAAGAUCUUCGUAGAAUAUGUAGGAACCAAUAUGAGCAUCCAGGUUCCGCUAUUGGUUAUUGAUCGGAGAAGUGCCUCGAUCAUGUCUACAUAGUCCUCGAACCCGUGGGCUCCGUACGCUUAACGUUCGAUGACGAUUUGUAUUAUGAGUUAUGGUGACCGAAGUUUUGUUCGGAGUCCCGAAUGAGAUCAAGGACAUGACGGGGAGUCUCGAAAUGGUCGAGAGGUAAAGAUUGAUAUAUUGGAAGGUUAUAUUCGAACACCGGAAUGGUUUCCGGAAGUUUCAGAUAAGUUUCGGAGUACCGGGGAGGUUACCAGACCCCCCCCCCCCCGGGAAAGUAAUGGGCCAACAUGGGACUUAGUGGAGAAGAGAGGGCCAACCAACUAGGAGUGUGAAAAUGCCCAAAACAGGAACAUGUAUUUUUUAUCUUUGUCACAGCCUUUUUUUAACUCCUACUAUUUUUUUCCUGAUAUAUACCAUGAGAAACAGUUUAUUUAUUUAUGGCGGUCAUUUUUAUCCUCCAACCAGGAGUGUGAAAAUGCCCAAAACAGGAACAUGUAUUUUUUAUCUUUGUCACAGCCUUUUUUUUAACUCUUACUAUUUUUUCCUGAUAUAUACCAUGAGAAACAGUUUAUUUAUUUAUGGCGGUCAUUUUUAUCCUCCAACCAGGAGUGUGAAAAUACCCAAAAUAGGAACAUGUAUUUUUUAUCUCUGUCACAGCCUUUUUUUAACUUCUAUUUUUUCGUGAUAUAUAUACGAGAAAAAAUUUAUUUAUUCAUUUAUGGCGGUCUCUUUUAUCCUCAAAUCAGGAGUUUGGAAGUGCCCAAAAUAGAACAUGUAGUUUUGAUCUCUAUCACAAGCUUUUUUUUAAUCCUACUAAUUUUUUCAUGAUAUAUACCAUGAGAAACAGUUUAUUUAUUUAUGUCCGACACUUUUAUCCUCCAACAAAGAGUAUGAAAAUGCACAAAAUAGGAACAUGUGGCACUAUGAGCUAAAAUAUAACAAACCCGAUAAAGAACAAACAUUUUCACUGCCCAAUAAUCUUCAAUGCUCAAAUCCUGAUAAGUAAAAUGCAUUUGGGGGGUGGAGGGGGCAAAGAUACAAUGUAUUUGAUGUUUAGAAAGACUCAUAUCUACAAUCAUAAACACGAAAACAACCGCACCGACUGUGACGUCCGGAUAAUUAAGCUAUAGUAAUCCCCCGCUAAUGGUGCCAUGUCAUCACAUUACUGUUGCUAAUCCUCACUUGAUCAAAAUCAUGAUUCAAAUUCAAACUCAAAAUUUUAAAGUCAAUAAUUCAAAUUUGCCAAACAUGAAAACUAGAAUGUUCAAAGUGUGGAAAAUAAUCCCUGGAUAUUUUUCAUGUUGGAACCAACCUCUUUUGGAUUCCGAAAGGGCCCCUGGAAAUUAUUUAGUGAUCCAGCAGCAUUUAAACUUGGCCUUUUCAAUUUCCAAAAAUAGUUAGACAACUACUUUCGGCCUUAAACUUGUUGUGACUCCUAGAAUUAAUGUGCUUGUUUUAGUUGACAAGACUCUUUUCUAUCAAAACUCUUUUAGUGCUACAAUUUAAAAGAAAACAAAAAGGGUUUAAGAAAAAGAAAAAGGCAAAGGGAGGGAAGAAAAGCCCUGACCUCCCCUCUCACUAGGCCUCGGCCCAGCUGGACCGCCAGGCCAGCCCACCAUCUCUGGUCCCUCCCCUCUCCUCCUGUUCGUGCGACCGAGUCGCUACAGGGGUUUGGUCGCUGUCGCACCCUCUCGCCGGCAGCGCUGAGAGGGGAUAAGGGUGCCACGCCCCGACCCCUCGAUCCCAUUCCCCCACUCGCUCACCACUUCCCACUCUCUCUCCGCCUCUCGCCCAAGCGCUCGUUCCCCUUCUCCAGAUCCGUCGACGAGCGCGGCCAUAUCCACCAGGCUCACUCUGUCGUGGCCAUCGGCCACCUCUCACCUCGCCAUUGCGUCCGCGAAGACUGUCGUCAUCCGCUGCGUCCACUACGGAGAUGAAAACGGGCCGGAACCCCCCUCCUUCGCCGGAUCCGUGUCGUCCGCUUCGGUCGCCGGCCAUCUCCGUCAACUCCAACCGCCCUGCAGCUACUAAGCCGUCACCGGGCCCUCUUGCGCCUCCCCGGUGAGAUUCGCCUGCCUUCUCGUUUUCUUCGUCACCUUGCCGCGUGUGUAGCCGCCGUCCUUGCCAUGGCCGAACCCGCCACCGCUGACGAGCUCACCGCCAUAGUCAUCGUCACCGUAGCUCGCUCCCGAGUUGGUAACCGAGCUCCUAGGGCUCGUGCGGGUCCAACACCGCUGCCCGCAUCAACUACCAUGCCCCACAUCACCAUAGCCACCAACACCCGCCACCACCUAAUGUCGUCGUGCUCGCCGUGACCCCCGCCUGCUCGCGCUCCCAGGCCACGCCCCCUUGCUGCCUCUGACGUUCGCCUCUGGCCGCCCUGCUGCCGCCGAAUCCCCGUCACCCGCUCGCCGCAACGCCUCUUCCUGCCGCUGCCGUCUGGCCGCCUCAACCCACCAUCGGUCGUGCCCUGGCCUCGGCUCACGACCGCGGCCGUGCCCCGACUGCCCGCUCGCGCCAGGCUCCCCCACCGUGCUGCCCGCCCCCAUGCGCUUCCGUUGGAGCCCCUCCCCCCCAGCUCACCGACCUCACCGCGCCGCCCCGCGGGCUUCCCCGUCGCCGGUGGCCUCGCCCUGUGCUCGGGCGCAGCGCCCCUCGGGCACGGGCUCCCGCACCCAUUGACACCCGCCCCGCUGGGCUGGCCUGGUGCCACUGCCAGCGGGCCCCACGCCCUGCCUAUAAAAAAGGUUUUAAAAAUAUAUUAAUAAAAUUAAUUAAUUAAUUAAUUAAUUAAUUAGUCAGUAAUUAAUUAUUUAAGUUAAUUAACUCUGUUUAACUACCCUAAUUAACUAGGUUAACUAAUUAGAUCUGUUUAUUUAAGUUGGGCCAAUGACAGGUGGCCCCGAGUCAAACUUUUUGACCAGUCAACAGUUAACUGUUGACUGCUGACUCAGUAGUCAAUAGGGCCCAAUGCAAACUCUGUACUGCUCUGCUGUGUACACUUUGUGAGUGCACGUAGCAAUUUAGUCUUUUUUGAAUUAAUAUUAAAUCCAAUAAUUUCAGAAUAUUGUUAAAUAUUUGAAAAAUCAUAUAAAUUAAACAGCUCGGAUGAAAAUGUUUUCUACAUCGAAGUUGCUCAGAACGACGAGACGAAUCCGAAUACGCCCUCCGUUCGUCUAUCACACGCCCCUAGCAUAGCAAACAUUGAACUUUCUCCCUCCAGUUCAUCUGUCUGACAGACGUGCGGAACCAAGAAAAAUUUACCAGAUGUUUUCCCCCUUUGCCAGUUCGCCUAGCACUGCAUUAGAACACCUCUAGCCCCGCUUAUUAUCUUGUUAUGCAUAUGUUUGUGUGUAUUUACUGUUUCUUCCCCCCUUCACUCCGGUAGACCCUGAGAUCGAUGCUGAUGUCCCUGUGAUCGACUACGUCACCGACGACCCCUUCUUCCCUUUCAGCGGAGCUUCCAGGCAAGCCCCCCCUUUGAUCAUCCCGAUAUCGCCCAUUCCAUUCUUUCAUGCUUGCAUUAGAUUUUGCUACUGUAUUUGAUUGCUCCUAUUAUGAUGCAUAGCCUGCUUUUGUACCUGAUGUUGUACCUUACCUGUUUAUCCUAAACUGCUUAGUAUAGGUUGGUUAGUGAUCCAUCAGUGACCCCCACCUUAUCCUUGUUGCCCCUGCUUCAUCUUUGAUGACUCGAUCAACGUGAUCGACGACCAGAGCCCGACACCUCACAUCACAUCAUGCCCCUUUUGUUGCUCGACUCUACAGAGCUAGUAUCGAGUGCCGAGGGUGAUCCCUCAUAACGCACUCCUAAUGAUAAUUCUGUAGUGUAGCUAUUCAGUCGUGGUCAUCGAGGGUGAUUUUCUCUUUCACCAUUCCCGAUACGGCUCUAUCAUUCAACACCUCAAGUGUGAACCUUGAGGGUGGUCCCUCUUACGUUCACCUUGAUGAUUACAUUGAGUGGAAUUCUUCGUGGGUGAUUCCUCGGGUUUUGCCCUUGAUGUUUGGAGACACGGUUACAAUGACUUCACUUGAGACCUUGGUGAAAGUCGGGCGGGCCCGGAGAGCACCCGCAAGAUAAUGACGUGGCACGACCGGGCAUUCUAGGCCCUUGUCGUAAGUCCACGAGACGGGGCGACGGCGUCACUUUCGAUCAUGAGUCUCUGCUCAUCUCCGCAAACUAAUAAUACACUAUGGUUUGGGUAUUUAUUCUGAGUUGGCCUUUGGCCUUUACGCACCAACCAACAAGUGAGAAUAGUUAUGGGCCUCGACGUCGCAGUUUCAGCCGAAGCCUUGUCAGACAUCUAGUUCAGCAGUGCGGCGCGGCUCGGCCGGCACCAUCCAUGUGGAGGUGGAGCCUGGACCCGCCCUGCGUGCAACGACCCGGAGUGCAACGGGCGAUGGGCCCAGACCCCGGAGUGCUUAGGAGGUAGACCGGCGUGGACCUCUCUACUGAGCCUAGGUAGGGCUGCGACGUGUUGAUCUGCCGAGGCCGGGCAUAGACCCCAGAAAGGUGUGUCCAGACAGAGUGAUCGAGCGUGUUGGAAAACGUGGUGCACCCCUGCAGGGAAGAUUAUCUAUUAAUAGUCGUGUCCACGGUAAUGGACGUUCAGACUUAUAUCCUGAUCUUAUACAACUUCAAAUGGAUACUUGAGAUAUGUGGCUUCGGGGUUGUUUUCUCAUAGGGAGUCGAGGAAGGAUCUCUGGGCAUUAAUGAUACAACAUGUUUGUUAAUUAUAAACUGCUAUUCUUUACUCUUCUACAUGCUGCAAGAUGCUUGGAGCUGCUUGAAGAUGCUAGUUUUUGUUAGGCUAGGCCUUCUCCUCUAUUCUGGCAUUCUGCAGUUCAGUCCACAGAUACAACCCUUCCAUUUGAUACCGAUGCAUACUUAGUAUAGAUCUGAUGCUUGCGAGUACUUUGGAUGAGUACUCACGGUUGCUUUGCUACCCCCUUUUCCCCCUUCUUUCUUCUUUUCGGUUGAUGCAACCAGAUGGUGGAUCCCUGGAGCCAGAUGCCACCGCUGAUGGAUGCUACUAUGUGAAGAUCACCGACGACCAGGAGUAGUUAGGAGGUCCCAGGCAGGAGGCCUUGCCUCUUUGAUCGUGUUGCUUUUGUGCUAGCCUUCUUAUGUAUCGAGCUUGUAUUUGAGCCCUCGAGGCCCCUGGCUUGUAAUAUAAAUUUUGUAUUAUUUUGAUUUGUGCCUAGAGUUGUGUUGUGAUAUCUUCCCGUGAGUCCCUGAUCUUGUUCGUACACAUUUGCGUGUAUGAUUAGUGUACGAUUGAAUCGGGGGCAUCACAAGUUGGUAUCAGAGCCAACUGCCUGUAGGAUCCCCCUUUCCAACUCCUUGGCCGAAGUUGAGUCUAGCAUUUGAAAAUUUGUUUUACUAACAUGGUUGUGUGGCUUAUGGGCCCACGUCAUUAAUUGGGUGGUAUUAGGAUCUUUUACUCCUCCUCUAUACUCUGGGAAUCUGAUCUCUCUUCUAUUCGGGUUAACUAAUUUUGCUAACAACUCUAGGUUCUCGUAAAUACUUUCUCCCGGAGAGCCCCUCACUCCAGAUGAUUACUUGGUGUACCAGAAGUUUCUGAAGAUACUCUCCGAAGUUUUCUCGAGACCCUUGUGCCCUUCGUCGUUGCAAUCCCUAACACCGAUAAAUCCUUAUGCGUAACUACCUACGUUGUCAUUCAUACCUUCAUCCCCAGUUGCUCUUGUUAUUACAAGGUGUCCUGAAAUACUCUUCGAUGUUCCGAGGAUCCUUUAUGCUUACUGCCCUGCAGUCCUUGCCGCAUGAAUACCCCUACGGAUAAUUACUUGCUCUUAUCAAGUAUCCAUUCAUCCCCAAUUAUUCUUAUGCUUCAUAAGAUACUUUUUAAUACAAUCCGAGCUUUCGAUGACCUCUAUCGACUAUUGCUCUAGAAGGUCUUACCUGCCUACACUCUGGUUAAUUCCAUAUGCCUAGCAGUACCCAUUGACGUCCUUUGUCAUUAUCAUCUUGAGUCUUUUGAUUUGAUAUGUCUGUGUCGCAAUCAUCAGUUGAUCCUUAUAGAUUAUCUUUCCGGCUCAGACGCCUUCCCGAACAUGAGCUGGUUCUCGGCCAAUCAGAUUGGCAUCGAUUGUGCCCUAAGUCUAUUCAACUCAACCAUCCUUGGUCAGAGCGUUUGCUUCUGAUCCCUUGAUUUUGGGAAUCAUAAUUCCUUUGCAUUUGAACUAUGAAUUAGUCAGUUGCUUCUAUAAUCUGAUAUCCUUGCAUUCUUUCUACCUCUGGUUGAGUACUGAUACUCACAUCAGAUCCCUUGUGAACCACUAGAUCCUUUCUGGGGUUCUAUCCGACAACGUCCUUCAUAUACAGUAACCUUGUGAGCUUUUCCUCGGAUACAUAAUGCCUUUGGUAAAUUGUGUCUUCUGCUUCCUGAACCAUGCUCUACUCUUGGGAUUGAGUUAUUUACUCAUGAAGUUUGUGGUAUAUGUUCCUCAGAUGCCCUGAUGGGUUGAAUCUUUGUCUUACCUAAAUCCGUGUGAACCCGAAGAUUAUGCAAGUUAUAUCUACUGGUGUUUCUUCAGAUAAAUUUUCAAUUCUACAACUUCUUCGAACGCGAGAGGUGAAUGGAAAGUAGUGCAUAAGAGAAGUGGGAGUCGACCCUGAACCUUUGUGUUCAUACCCACAGACCCGAUGUGGAACUUAUCAUGGAAGCUUCUUGUUAUAAUAAUAAUCCCCUUCUGAUAAGUCCAUCUUGUAUCUAUGUUUGGUCCUCUGCAAUCGUGGUUCUGACCAUAUUGUUCUUGUUUGAUCUAUUUAUUGGACAAGUUAAAGUACUUGUCUUCUUCAGAUCAUUUCACCUGUUCAACCUCUACAUUGAUAUACCUUUGAGUAUAUCCCUUUGGUUAUCUCGAGAAUAUCACAGAACUACAUAACUUCUUAUGAGUUCUUGAUCAACUAUUAUUUCUCGUUGAUUCAAAUUUUCCACUCGUUCGGAGUUGUUAGACACUCGAGAAUACAGACAACUGAUUCGAGUCUAUGCUUUCCUUUCCAUUGUUUUGUUUAAUCUUUCUUGAAACCUAUCUUAUAUGAGCAGUGAUAAUUUCCCGCUUAUGUGAACACCUCGGUGUACAAGCUCUGUCUGUAAGACCUUGUUACUAUUGUUGAUGACAUUCCGAUAGCCACCAACGGACGACAACUUUGCCUAUUGGUCCGCCUCGUCUUAAUGAGCAGGGAAAUGGUUCUCUUUGUCCCUCGCCCUUGGUACCAACGUUGUUGCCAACAUAACUGACAGGUUGUCCUCUGACCUGCCUUGCUAUCAUGACCAUGCAAAAUGUAACGUCUUCUUGCUUUGAACGCACAUGGUGGGCCCAUAACUCACAGUUCCACAGGAUCGAAACCUGACUCUCUUGUACAUCCCUGUUUUCCAAAAAAUUUCCUCACGCUUGGCUUCGUAUGUAAAUCACGAACCACCUUCUUAGAGAUGAUCUUGUUGGAAAUAUGCCCUAGAGGCAAUAAUAAAAUGGUUAUUAUUAUAUUUCCUUUUUCAUGAUAAUUGUCUAUUGUUCAUGCUAUAAUUGUGUUAUCCGGAAAUCUUAAUACAUGUGUGAAUACAUAGACCACAACAUGUCCCUAGUGAGCCUCUAGUUGACUAGCUCUUUUAUCAAUAGAUGGUCAUGGCUUCCUGACCAUGGACAUCGGAUGUCAUUGAUAACGGGAUCACAUCAUUGGGAGAAUGAUGUGAUGGACAAGACCCAAUCCUAAGCAUAGCACAAGAUCGUGUAGUUCGUUUGCUAGAGCUUUUCUAAUGUCAAGUAUCAUUUCCUUAGACCAUGAGAUCGUGUAACUUCCGGAUACCGUCAGAGUGCUUUUGGGUGUACCAAACGUCACAACGUAACUGGGUAGCUAUAAAGGUAUACUACAGGUAUCUCCGAAAGUGUCUGUUGGGUUGACUCGAAUCGAGACUGGGAUUUGUCACUCUGUGUGAUGCAGAGGUAUCUCUGGGCCCACUCGGUAAUGCAUCAUCAUAAUGAGCUCAAAGUGACCAAGUGGUUGGUCACGGGAUCAUGCAUUGUAGUACGAGUAAAGUGACUUGCUGGUAACGAGAUUGAAUGAGGUAUUGGGAUACCGACGAUCGAAUCUCGGGCAAGUAAUGUACCGAUUGACAAAGGGAAUUGUAUACGGGAUUACUUGAAUCCUCGACAUGUGGGAGCCAACAUGGGUAUCCAGAUCCCACUGUUGGUUAUUGGCCGGAGAGUCGUCUUGGUCAUGUCUGCGUGUCUCCCGAACCCGUAGGGUCUACACACUUAAGGUUCGGUGACGCUAGGGUUGUAGAGAUAUUAGUAUACGGUAACCCGAAAGUUGUUCAGGGUCCUGGAUGAGAUCCCGGACGUCACGAGGAGUUCCGGAAUGGUCCGGAGGUGAAGAUUUAUAUAUAGGAAGUCCAGUUUCGGCCACCGGGAAAGUUUCGGGGGUCACCGGUAUUGUACCGGAACCACCAGAAGGGUCCCGGGGGUCCAUCGAGUGGGGCCACCUAUCCCGGAGAGCCACAUGGGCUGAAGUGGGAGAGGAACCAGCCCUUGGUGGGCUGGUGCGCCCCCCUUGGGCCUCCCCCUGCGCCUAGGGUUGGAAACUCUAGGGGUGGGGGCGCCCCACUUGGCUUGGGGGGCAAGUCCCCCCCCCCCUUGGCUGCCCCCCCUUGAGAUUCAAUCUCUAGGGGCCAGCGCCCCCCCCCCACGCCAGGGCCCCUAUAUAAAGAGGGGGGAGGGAGGGCUGCGCACCCUAGUCCCUGGCGCCUCCCUCUCCCCUCGUAACACCUCUCCCUCUCGCUGAGCUUGACGAAGCCCUGCCGAGAUCGCCGCUGCUUCCACCACCACGCUGUUGUGCUGCUGGAUCUCCAUCAACCUCUCCCUCCCCCUUGCUGGAUCAAGAAGGAGACGUCUUCCCCAACCGUAGGUGUGUUGAAUGCGGAGGUGCCGUCCGUUCGGCGCUAGGAUCAUCGGUGAUUUGGAUCGCGACGAGUACGACUCCAUCAACCCCAUUCUCUUGAACGCUUCCGCUCGCGAUCUACAAGGGUAUGUAGAUGCACUCCUCUCUCUCGUUGCUAGAUGACUCCAUAGAUUGAUCUUGGUGUUGCAUAGAAAAUUUUAUUUUCUGCUACGUUCCCCUACAGUGGCAUCAUGAGCUAGGUCUAUGCGUAGUUUCUAUGCACGAGUAGAACACAAAAUUGUUGUGGGCAUUGGUUUAGUCAAUUUUCUUGUCACUACUAGUCUUAUCUUGUUUCGGCGGCAUCAUGGGAUGAAGCGGCCCGGACCGACCUUACACGUACGCUUACACGAGACAGGUUCCACCGACUGACAUGCACUAGUUGCAUAAGGUGGCUAGCGGGUGUCUGUCUCUCCCACUUUAGUCGGAUCGGAUUCGAUGAAAAGGGUCCUUAUGAAGGGUAAAUAGAAAUUGGCAUAUCAAGUUGUGGUUUUGGCGUAGGUAAGAAACGUUCUUGCUAGUAACCUAUAGCAGCCACGUAAAAACAUGCAACAACAAUUAGAGGACGUCUAACUUGUUUUUGCAGCAUAUGUCUUGUUAUGUGAUAUGGCCAAAAGGAUGUGAUGCAUGAAAUAUAUGUGAUGUAUGAGAUUGAUCAUGUUCUUGUAAUAGGAAUCACGACUUGCAUGUCGAUGAGUAUGACAACCGGCAGGAGCCAUAGGAGUUGUCUUUAUUUUUUGUAUGACCUGCGUGUCAUUGAAUAACGCCAUGUAAUUACUUUACUUUAUUGUUAAACACGUUAGCUAUAGAAGUAGAAGUAAUCGUUGGUGUGACAACUUCAUGAAGACACGAUGAUGGAGAUCAUGGUGUCAUGCCGGUGACGAUGAUGAUCAUGGCGCCCCGAAGAUGGAGAUCAAAAGGAGCAAAAUGAUAUUGGCCAUAUCAUGUCACUAUUUGAUUGCAUGUGAUGUUUAUCAUGUUUUGCUUCUUAUUUUCUUAGUACGACGGUAGUAAAUAAGAUGAUCCCUUAUAAUAAUUUCAAGAAAGUGUUCCCCCUAACUGUGCGCCAUUGCGAAAGUUCGUUGUCUCGAAGAACCACGUGAUGAUCGGCUGUGAUAGAUUCUAACGUUCACAUACAACGGGUGUAAGCCAGAUUUACACAUGCAAAACACUUAGGUUGACUUGACAAGCCUAGCAUGUACAGACAUGGCCUCGGAACACAAGAGACCGAAAGGUCGAACAUGAGUCGUAUAGAAGAUACGAUCAACAUGAAGAUGUUCACCGAUGAUGACUAGUCCGUCUCACGUGAUGAUCGGACACGGCCUAGUUGACUCGGAUCAUGGAUCACUUAGAUGACUAGAGGGAUGUCUAGCUGAGUGGGAGUUCAUUAUAUAAUUUGAUUAGAUGAACUUAAUUAUCAUGAACUUAGUCUAAAAUCUUUGCAAUAUGUCUUGUAGAUCAAAUGGCCCAUGCUAAUGUUGCCCUCAACUUCAACGCGUUCCUAGAGAAAACCAAGAUGAAAGACGAUGGCAGCAACUAUACGGACUGGGUCCGGAACUUGAGGAUCAUCCUCAUGGCUGCCAAGAAAGCAUAUGUCCUAGAUGCACCGCUAGGUGAAGCACCCAUUUUCCCAGCAACUCAAGACGUUAUGAACGCCUGGCAGUCGUGUAGUGAUGAUUACUCCGUGGUUCAGUGUGGCAUGCUUUACAACUUAGAACCGGGGCUCCAAAAGCAUUUUGAGCAGCACGGAGCAUAUGAGAUGUUCCAAGAGCUGAAAAUGGUUUUCCAAGCUCACGCCCGGGUCGAGAGAUAUGAAGUCUCCGACAAGUUCUAUAGUUGUAAGAUGGAGGAGAAUGGUUCUGUCAGCGAGCACAUACUCAAAAUGUCUGGGUUGCACAACCGCUUAUCUCAGCUGGGAGUUAAUCUCCCGGAUGACACGGUGGUCGACAGAAUCCUCCAGUCGCUCACACCUAGCUACAAGAGCUUCGUGAUGAACUUCAAUAUGCAAGGGAUGGUGAAAACCAUUCCUGAGGUAUAUUCAAUGCUGAAAUUAGCGGAGGUGGAGAUCAAAAAGGAACAUCAAGUGUUGAUGGUCAAUAAAACCACUAGUUUCAAGAAAGGCAAGGGUAAGAAGAACUUCAAGAAGGACGGCAAGGGAGUUGCCACACCCGGUAAGCCAGUUGCCGGGAAGAAGCCAAAGCAUGGACCCAAACCUGAGACUGAGUGCUUUUAUUGCAAGGGAAGUGGACACUGGAAGCGGAACUGCCCCAAGUACUUAGCGGACAAGAAGGCCGGCAACACCAAAGGUAUAUGUGAUAUACAUGUAAUUGAUGUGUACCUUACCAGUACUCGUAGUAGCUCCUGGGUAUUUGAUACCGGUGCAGUUGCUCAUAUUUGUAACUCAAAACAGGAACUGCGGAAUAAGCGGAGACUGGCGAAGGAUGAGGUGACGAUGCGCGUCGGGAAUGGUUCCAAGGUCGAUGUGAUCGCCGUCGGCACGCUACCUCUACAUUUACCUACAGGGUUAGUUUUAAACCUCAAUAAUUGUUAUUUAGUGCCAGCUUUGAGCAUGAACAUUGUAUCUGGAUCUUGUUUAAUAUGAGAUGGCUACUCAUUUAAAUCCGAGAAUAAUGGUUGUUCUAUUUAUAUGAGAGAUAUGUUUUAUGGUCAUGCCCCGCUGCUCAAUGGUUUAUUCUUGAUGAAUCUCGAACGUGAUGUUACACAUAUUCAUAGUGUGAAUACCAAAAGAUGUAAAGUUGAUAACGAUAGUCCCAUAUACUUGUGGCACUGCCGCCUUGGUCACAUUGGUGUCAAAUGCAUGAAGAAGCUCCAUGCUGAUGGACUUUUGGAGUCUCUUGAUUACGAAUCAUUUGACACAUGCGAACCAUGCCUCAUGGGCAAAAUGACCAAGACUCCGUUUUUCCAGAACAAUGGAGCGGGCAACCAACUUAUUGGAAAUCAUACAUACUGAUGUGUGCGGUCCAAUGAGCGUUGAGGCUCGCGGAGGCUAUCGUUAUGUUCUCACUCUCACUGAUGACUUGAGUAGAUAUGGGUAUGUCUACUUGAUGAAACACAAGUCUGACACCUUUGAAAAGUUCAAGGAAUUUCAUAAUGAGGUAGAGAAUCAACAAGACCGAAAGAUAAAUUUCUUACGAUUAGAUCGUGGGGGAGAAUAUUUAAGUAACAAAUUUGGUACGCACUUAAGGAAAUGUGGAAUCGUUUCACAACUCACGCCGCCUGGAACACUUCAGCGUAACGGUGUGUCCGAACGUCGUAAUUGCACUCUAUUGGAUAUGGUGCGAUCUAUGAUGUCACUCACCGAUUUACCGCUAUCAUUUUGGGGAUACGCUCUAGAGACAGCUACAUUCACUUUAAAUAGGGCACCGUCUAAAUCCGUUGAGAUGACACCGUAUGAAUUAUGGUUUUGGAAGAAACCUAAGAUGUCGUUUCUAAAAGUUUGUGGAUGCGAUGCUUAUGUCAAGAAACUUCAACCUGAAAAGCUCGAACCCAAGUCGGAAAAAUGCGUCUUCAUAGGAUACCCUAAGGAAACCAUUGGGUAUACCUUCUACCUCAGAUCCGAAGGCAAGAUCUUUGUUGCUAAGAACGGGUCCUUUCUGGAGAAAGAGUUUCUCUCGAAAGAAGUAAGUGGGAGGAAAGUAGAACUCGAUGAAGUACUACCUCUUGAACCGGGAAGUAGCGCAGCUCAGGAAGAUGUUCAUGUGGUGCAUGCGCCGACUAGAGUGGAAGUUAAUGAUGAUGAUCAAGGUACUUCGGAUCAAGUUGCUACUAAACUUCGAAGGUCCACAAGGACAUGUUCCACACCAGAAUGGUAUGGCAACCCUGUCUUGGAAAUCAUGUUGUUAGACAACGGUGAACCUUCGAACUAUGAAGAAGCGAUGGUGUGCCCAGAUUCCAACAAAUGGCUUGAAGCCAUGCAAUCUGAGAUAGGAUCCAUGUAUGAAAACAAAGUAUGGACUUUGACAGACUUGCCCGAUGAUCGGCGAGCGAUAGAAAAUAAAUGGAUCUUUAAGAAGAAGACGGACGCGGAUGGAAAUGUUACCAUCUAUAAGGCUCGACUUGUCGCUAAGGGUUAUCAACAAGUUCAAGGGGUUGACUACAAUGAGACCUUCUCACCCGUAGCAAAGCUAAAGUCCGUCCGAAUCAUGUUAGCAAUUGCCGCAUACUAUGAUUAUGAGAUAUGGCAAAUGGACGUCAAAACGGCAUUCCUUAACGGCUUUCUUAAGGAAGAAUUGUAUAUGAUGCAGCCGGAAGGUUUUGUCGAUCCUAAGAAUGCUAACAAGGUAUGCAAGCUCCAGCGCUCCAUCUAUGGGCUGGUGCAAGCAUCUUGGAGUUGGAACAUUCGCUUUAACAAAAUGAUCAAAGCGUUUGGGUUUAUGCAGACUUAUGGAGAAGCUUGCGUUUACAAGGAAGUGAGUGGGAGCUCUGUAGCAUUUCUCAUAUUAUAUGUAGAUGACAUACUUUUGAUGGGAAAUGAUAUAGAACUUUUGGACAGCAUUAAGGCCUACUUGAAUAAGUUUUUUUUCAAUGAAGGACCUUGGAGAAGAUGCUUACAUAUUAGGCAUCAAGAUCUAUAGAGAUAGAUCAAGAUGCCUCAUAGGUCUUUCUCAAAGCACAUACCUUGAUAAGAUAUUGAAAAAGUUCAAUAUGGAUCAGUCCAAGAAGGGGUUCUUGCCUGUGUUUCAAGGUGUGAAAUUGAGCUCGACUCAAUGUCUGACCACGGCAGAAGAUAGAGAAAAGAUGAGUGUCGUCCCCUAUGCCUCGGCCAUAGGGUCUAUCAUGUAUACCAUGCUGUGUACUAGACCUGAUGUAAACCUUGCCGUAAGUUUGGUAGGAAGGUACCAAAGUAAUCCCGGCAUGGAACACUAGACAGCGGUCAAGAAUAUCCUGAAGUACCUGAAAAGGACUAAGGAUAUGUUUCUCGUAUAUGGAGGUGACGAAGAGCUCGUCGUAAAGGGUUACGUCGACGCUAGCUUCGACACAGAUCGGGAUGACUCUAAGUCACAAACUGGAUACGUGUAUAUUUUGAAUGGUGGGGCAGUAAGCUGGUGCAGUUGCAAGCAAAGCAUCGUGGCGGGAUCUACAUGUGAAGCGGAGUACAUGGCAGCCUCGGAGGCAGCACAUGAAGCAAUCUGGAUGAAGGAGUUCAUUACCGACCUAGGAGUUAUUCCCAAUGCGUCGGGGCCGAUGACUCUCUUCCGUGACAACACUGGAGCCAUUGCCCUUGCCAAGGAGCCCAGGUUUCACAAGAAGUUGAGGCACAUCAAGCGUCGCUUGAACUCCAUUCGUGAAAAUGUUCAAGAUGGAGACAUUGAUAUUUGUAAAGUGACACAUAUCUGAAUGUCGCAGAUCCUUGACUAAACCUCUUCCGCGAGCAAAACAUGAUCAACACCAGAACUCUAUGGGUGUUCGAUUCAUCACAAUGUAACUAGAUUAUUGACUCUAGUGCAAGUGGGAGACUAUUGGAAAUAUGCCCUAGAGGCAAUAAUAAAAUGGUUAUUAUUAUAUUUCCUUGUUCAUGAUAAUUGUCUAUUGUUCAUGCUAUAAUUGUGUUAUCCGGAAAUCGUAAUACAUGUGUGAAUACAUAGACCACAACAUGUCCCUAGUGAGCCUCUAGUUGACUAGCUUGUAUAUCAAUAGAUGGUCACGGUUUCCUGACCAUGGACAUUGGAUGUCAUUGAUAACGGGAUCACAUCAUUGGGAGAAUGAUGUGAUGGACAAGACCCAAUCCUAAGCAUAGCACAAGAUCGUGUAGUUCGUUUCCUAGAGCUUUUCUAAUGUCAAGUAUCAUUUCCUUAGACCAUGAGAUCGUGUAACUUCCGGAUACCGUAAGAGUGCUUUGGGUGUACCAAACGUCACAACGUAACUGGGUGGCUAUAAAGGUAUACUACAGGUAUCUCCGAAAGUGUCUGUUAGGUUGACUCGAAUCGAGACUGGGAUUUGUCACUCCGUGUGACGGAGAGGUAUCUCUGGGCUCACUCGGUAAUGCAUCAUCAUAAUGAGCUCAAAGUGGCCAAGUGGUUGGUCACGGGAUCAUGCAUUGCAGUACGAGUAAACUGACUUACCGGUAACAAGAUUGAACGAGGUAUUGGGAUACCGAUGAUCGAGUCUCGGGCAAGUAACGUACCGAUUGACAAAGGGAAUUGUAUAUGGGAUUACUUGAAUCCUCUACACCGUGGUUCAUUCGAUGAGAUCAUCGUGGAACAUGUGGGAGCCAACAUGGGUAUCCAGAUCCCGCUGUUGGUUAUUGACCGGAGAGUCGUCUCGAUCAUGUUUGCGUGUCUCCCGAACCCGUAGGGUCUACACACUUAAGGUUCGGUGAUACUAGGGUUGUAGAGAUAUUAGUAUGCGGUAACCCGAAAGUUGUUCGGGGUCCUGGAUAAGAUCCCGGACGUCAUGAGGAGUUCCGGAAUGGUCAGGAGGUGAAGAUUUAUAUAUAGGAAGUCCAGUUUCGGCCACCGGGAAAGUUUCGGGGGUCACCGGUAUUGUACCGGGACCACCGGAAGGGUCCCGGGGGUCCACCGGGUGGGGCCACCUAUCCCGGAGGGCCACAUGCACUGAAUUGGGAGGGGAACCAGCCCCUGGUGGGCUGGUGCGCCCUCCUUGGGCCUCCCCCUGCGCCUAGGGUUGGAAACCCUAGGGGUGGGGGCGCCCCACUUGGCUUGGGGGGCAAGUCCCCCCCUCUAGCCGCUGCCCCCCCCCCCCUUGAGAUUCAAUCUCUAGGGGGCCGGCGCCCCCCCAGGGCCCCUAUAUAAAGAGGGGGGAGGGAGGGCUGCGCACCCUAGUCCCUGGCGCCUCCCUCUCCCCUCGUAACACCUCUCCCUCUCGCUGAGCUUGGCGAAGCCCUGCCGAGAUCGCCGCUGCUUCCACCACCACGUCGUCGUGCUGCUGGAUCUCCAUCAACCUCUCCCUCCCCCUUGCUGGAUCAAGAAGGAGGAGACAUCUUCCCCAACUGUACAUGUGUUGAACGCGGAGGUGCCGUCCGUUCGGCGCUAGGAUCAUCGGUGAUUAGGAUCAUGACGAGUACGACUCCAUCAACCCCAUUCUCUUGAACGCUUCCGCUAGCGAUCUACAAGGGUAUGUAGAUGCACUCCUCUCUCUCGUUGCUAGAUGACUCCAUAGAUUGAUCUUGGUGUUGCGUAGAAAAUUUUAUUUUCUGCUAUGUUCCUCUACAGAUCUAAUCUAGUAUCAGACGCAACACUUAUUUUCGUUGCUCUGAAUCCCUCUCGCUCUCUGUUUCAGGCAACGAACGAUUGCCUACCCGGUUGAAGCUUCUUAUUGCUCCUCCUUACCUUUCUCUCGAUGAAUUUCUUCAAUUUCAACCCGAGAGAUGUCUCUGUGUCGCGUUCAUCGAAACCUCCCCCCAGGUACCUAUCUUGUGUUGAGCUCCGUCCUUCUCGAGUCUUUCCCCCUUACUCCACCCCUAAAAUCUCGGGACGAGAUUUCUUGUAGUGGAGGAGAAUUGUGACGCUCGAAUAAUUAAGCUAAAGUAAUCCCCCGCUAAUGGUGCCAUGUCAUCACAUUACUGUUGCUAAUCCUCACUUGAUCCAAAUCAUGAUUCAAAUUCAAACUCAAAAUUUUAAAGUCAAUAAUUCAAAUUUGCCAAACAUAAAAACUAAAAUGUUCAAAGUGUGGAAAAUAAUCCCUGGAUAUUUUUCAUGUUGGAACCAACCUCUUUUGGAUUUCGAAAGUGCUCCUGGAAUAUAUUUAGUGAUCCAGCAGCAUUUAAACUUGGCCUUUUCAAUUUCCAAAAAUAGUUAGACAACUACUUUCGGCCUUAAACUUUUUGUGACUCCAAGAAUUAAUGUGCUUGUUUUAGCUGACAAGACUCUUUUCUAUCAAAACUCUUUUAGUGCUACAAUUUAAAAGAAAACAAAAAGGGUUUAAGAAAAAGAAAAAGGCAAAGGAAGGGAAGAAAAGCCCUGACCUCCCCUCUCACUGGGCCUCGGCCCAGCUGGACCGCCAGGCUAGCCCACCAUCUCCGGUCCCUCCCCUCUCCUCCUGUUCGUGCGACCGAGUCGCUACAGGGGCUUGGUCGCCGUUGCACCCUCUCGCCGACAGCGCCACGAGGGGAUAAGGGUGCCACGCCCCGACCCCUCGAUCCCAUCCCCCCACUCGCUCACCACUUCCCACUCUCUCUCCGCCUCUCGCCCAGGCGCUCGUUCCCCUUCUCCAGAUCCGUCGACGAGCGCGGCCGUAUCCGCCCGGCUCACUCUGCCGUGGCCAUCGGCCACCUCUCGCCUUGCCAUUGCAUCCACGAAGACCGUCGUCGUCCGCUGCGUCCACUAUGGAGACGAAAACGGGCCGGAACCCCUCCUCCUUUGCCGGAUCCGUGUCGUCCGCUUCGGUAGCCGGCCAUCUCCGUCAACUCCGACCGCCCUGCAGCUACUAAGCCGUCAGCGGGCCCUCUUGCGCCUCCCCGGUGAGCUUCCCCUGCCUUCCCGUUUUCUUCGACACCUUGCCACGUGUGUAGCCGCCGUCCUUGCCAUGGCCGAACCCGCCACCGCUGACGAGCUCACCGCCGUAGUCAUCGUCACCGUAGCUCGCUCCCAAGUUGGUAACCGAGCUCCUGGGGCUCGUGCGGGUCCAACGUCGCUGCCCGCAUCAACUACCAUGCCCCACAUCACCGUAGCCACCAAUGCCCGGCACCACCUAAUGUCAUCGUGCUCGCCAUGACCCCUGCCUGCUCGCGCUCCCAGGCCACGCCCCCUUGCUGCCUCCGACGUUCGCCUCUGGCCGCCCUGCUGCCGCCGAAUCCCCGUCACCCGCUCGCCGCAGCGCCUUUGCCUGCCGCUGCCGUCUGGCCGCCUCAACCCACCAUCGGACGCGCCCUGGCCUUGGCUCGCGACCGCGGCCGCGCCCCGACUGCCCGCUCGCGCCAGGCUCCCCCACCGUGCUGCUCGCCCCCAUGCGCUUCCGCCGGAGCCCUCCCCCCCAGCUCACUGACCUCGCCGCGCCGCCCGGUGGGCUUCCCUGUUGCCGGUGGCCUCGCCCUGCGCUCGGGCGCAGCGCCCCUCGGGCAUGGGCUCCUGCACCCGUUGACACCCGCCCCACUGGGCUGGCUUGGUGCCACUGCCAGCGGGCCCCACGCCCCGCCUUUAAAAAGGUUUUAAAAAAUAUAUUAAUAAAAUUAAUUAACUAAUUAAUUAGUCAGUAAUUAAUUAUUUAACUUAAUUAACUCUGUUUAACUACCCUAAUUAACUAGGUUAGCUAAUUAGAUCUGUUUAUUUAAGUUGGGUCAAUGACAGGUGGCCCCCAGUCAAACAUUUUGACCGGUCAACAGUUGACUGUUGACUGCUGACUCAGCAGUCAAUAGGGCCCAGUGCCAGCCUCUGUACUUCUCUGAUGUGUACACUUUGUGUGUGCACGUAGCAAUUUAGUCCUUUUUUGAAUUAAUAUUAAAUCCAAUAAUUUCAGAAUAUUGUUAAAUCUUUGAAAAAUCAUAGAAAUUAAACUGUAGCUCGGAUGAAAAUAUUUUCUACAUGAAAGUUGCUCAGAACGAUGAGACGAAUCCGAAUACGACCUCCGUUCGUCUAUCACACGCCCCUAGCAUAGCAAACUUUGAACUUUUCCCCUCCAAUUCAUCUGUCUGACAGACAUCCGGAAACGGGAAAACUUUCCCGGAUGUUUUCCCCCUUCGCCAGUUCGCCUAGCACUGUGUUAGAACACCUCUAGCCCCACUUAUUGUCUUGUUAUGCAUAUGUUUGUGUGUAUUUACUGUUUCUUCCCCCUUCUCUUCAGUAGACCCUGAGAUCGAUGCUGAUGUCCCUGUGAUCGACUACGUCACCGACGACCCAUUCUUCCCUUUCAGCGGAGCUUCCAGGCAAGCCCCCCUUUGAUCAUCCCGAUAUCUCCCAUUCCAUUCUUUCAUGCUUGCAUUAGAUUUUGCUAAUGUAUUUGAUUGCUCCUACUAUGAUGCAUAGCCUGCUUUUGUACCUGAUGUUGUACCUUACCUGUUUAUCCUAAACUGCUUAGUAUAGGUUGGUUAGUGAUCCAUCAGUGACCCCCACCUUGUCCUUGUUGCCCCUGCUUCAUCUUUGACGACUUGAUCAACAUGAUCGACGACCAGAGCCCAACACCUCACAUCACAUCACGCCCCUUUUGUUGCUCGACUCUGCAGAGCUACUAUCGAGUGCCGAGAGUGAUCCCUCAUAACGCACUCCUGAUGAUAAUUCUGUAGUGUAGCUAUUCGGUCAUGGUCAUCGAGGGUGAUUUUCUCUUUCACCAUCCCGAUACGGCUCUGUCAUUCAACACCUCAAGUGUGAACCUUGAGGGUGGUCCCUCUUACGUUCACCUUGAUGAUUACAUUGAGUGGAAUCCUUCGUGGGUGAUUCCUCGGGUUUUCCCCUUGAUUUUGGACACACAGUUACAAUGAAUUUACUUGAGACCUUGGUGAAAGUCGGGCGGGCCCGGAGAGCACCCGCAAGAUAAUGACGUGGCACGACCGGGCAUUCUAGGCCCUUGUCGUAAGUCCACGAGAUGGGGCGACGGGUCACUUUCGAUCGUGAGUCUCUGCUCAUCUCCGCAAACUAAUAAUACACUAUGGUUUGGGUAUUUGUUCUGAGUUGGCCUUUGGCCUUUACGCAACAACCAACACGUGAGAAUAGUUAUGGGCCUCGACGUCACAGUAUUAGCCGAAGCCUUGUCAGACAUCUAGUUCAGCAGUGUGGCACGGCUGGGCCGGCACCAUCCAUGUGGAGGUGGAGCCUGGACCCGACCUGCGCGCACGACCCGGAGUGCAACGGGCGAUGGGCCCAGACCCCGGAGUGCUUAGGAGGUAGACCGGCAUGGACCUCUCUACUGAGCCUAGGUAGGGUUGCGACGUGUUGAUCUUCCGAGGCCGGGCAUUGACCUCAGAAAGGUGUGUCCAGACAGAGUGAUCGAGCGUGUUCGAAAACGUGGUGCACCCAUGCAGGGAAGAUUAUCUAUUAAUAGCCGUGUGCACGGUAAUGGACGUUCAGACUUAUAUCCUGAUCUUAUACAACUACAAAUGGAUACUUGAGAUAUGUGGCUCCGGGAUUGUUUUCUCGCAGGGAGUCGAGGAAGGAUCUCUGGGCAUUAAUGCUACAACAUGUUUGUUAAUUAUAAACUGCUAUUCUUUACUCUUCUACAUGCUGCAAGAUGCUUGCAGCUGCUUGAAGAUGCUAGUCUUUGUUAGGCUAGGCCUUCUCCUCUAUUCUGGCAUUCUGCAGUUCAGUCCACAGAUACAACCCUUCCAUUUGAUACCAAUGCAUACUUAGUAUAGAUCUGAUGCUUGCGAGUACUUUGGAUGAGUACUCACGGUUGCUUUGCUACCCCCUUUUCCCCCUUCUUUCUUCUUUCCGGUUGAUGCAACCAGAUGGUGGAUCCCUGGAGCCAGAUGCCACCGCCGAUGGAUGCUACUACGUGAAGAUCGCCGACGACCAGGAGUAGUUAGGAGGUCCCAGGCAGGAGGCCUUGCCUCUUCGAUAGUGUUGCUUUUGUGCUAGCCUUCUUAAGGCAUCCUUGUUUAACUUAUGUCUGUACUCAGAUGUUGCUUCUUCCGCUGACUCUUGUGUAUUGAGCUUGUAUUUGAGCCCUCGAGGCCCCUGACUUGUAAUAUAAAUCUUGUAUUAUUUUGAUUUGUGCCUAGAGUUGUGUUGUGAUAUCUUCCCGUGAGUCCCUGAUCUUGAUCGUACGCAUUUGCAUGUAUGAUUAGUGUACGAUUGAAUCAGGGGCGUCACAAGUUGGUAUCAGAGCCGACUGCCUGUAGGAUCCCCUUUCCAACUCCUUGGCCGAAGUUGAGUUUAGCGUUUGAAAAUUUGUUUUACUAACAUGGUUGUGUGGCUUACGGGCCCACGUCGUUAAUUGGGUGGUAUUAGGAUCUUUUACUCCUCGUCUAUACUCUGGGAAUCUGAUCUCUCUUCUAUUCGGCUUAACUAAUUUUGCUAACAACUCUAGGUUCUUGUAAAUACUUUCUCCCGGAGAGCCCCUCACUCCAGAUGAUUACUUGGUGCAACAGAAGUUUCUGACGAUACUCUCCGAAGUUUUCUCGAGACCCUUGUGCCCUUCAUCGUUGCAAUCCCUAACACCGGUAAAUCCUUAUGCGUAACUACCUACGGUUUCGUUCAUACCUUCAUCCCCAGUUGCUCUUGUUGUUACAAGGUGUCCUGAAAUAUUGUUCGAUGUUCCGAGGAUCCUUUAUGCUUACUGCCCUGCAGUCCUUGCCGCAUGAAUACCCCUACGAAUAAUUACUCGCUCUUAUCGAGUAUCCAUUCAUCCCCAAUUAUUCUUAUGCUACAUAAGAUACUUUUUAAUACAAUCCGAGCUUUCGAUGACCUCUAUCGACUAUUGCUCUAGAAGGUCUUACCUGCCUACACUCUGGUUAAUUCCAUAUGCCUAGCAGUACCCAUUGACGUCCUUUGUCAUUAUCAGCUUAAGUCUUUCGAUUUGAUAUGUCUGUGUCGCAAUCAUCAGUUGAUCCUUAUAGAUUAUCUUUCCGGCUCCGACGUCUUCCUGAACAUGAGCUGGUUCUCAGCCAAUCAGAUUGCCAUCGAUUGUGUCCUAAGUCUAUUCAACUUAACCAUCCUUGGUCAGAGCAUUUUCUUCUGAUCCCUUGAUUUUGGGAAUCAUAAUUCCUUUGCAUUUGAACCAUGAAUUAGUCAGUUGCUUCUAUAAUCUGAUAUCCUUGCAUUCUUUCUACCUCUGGUUGAGUACUAAUACUCACAUCAGAUCCCUUGUGAACCACUAGAUCCUUUGUGGGUUAAUCUCUGACAGCAUCCUUCAUAUACGGUAACCUUGUGAGCUUUUCCUCGAAUACAUAAUGCCUUUGGUAAAUUGUGUCUUCUGCUUCCUGAACCAUGCUCUACUCUCGGGAUUGAGUUAUUUACUCGUGAAGUUUGUGGUAUAUGUUCCUCAGAUGCCCCGAUGGGUUGAAUCUUUGUCUUACCUAAACCCGUGUGAACCCGAAGAUUAUGCGAGUUAUAUCUACUGGUGUUUCUUCAGAUAAAUUUUCAAUUCUACAAAUUCUUCGAACGCGAGAGGUGAAUGGAAAUUUGUGCAUAAGAGAAGUGGGAGUCGACCUUGAACCUUUGUGUUCAUGCCCACAGACCCGAUGUGGAACUUAUCAUGGAAGCUUCUUGUUAUAAUAAUAAUAUCCUUGUGAUAAGUCCAUCUUGUAUCUAUGUUUGGUCCUUUGCUAUCGUGGUUCCGACCAUAUUGUUCUUGUUUGAUCCAUUUAUUGGACAAGUUAAAGUACUUGUCUUCUUUAGAUCGUUUCACCUAUUCAACCUCUACAUUGAUAUACCUUUGAGUAUAUCCCUCUGGUUAUCUCGAGAAUAUCACAGAACUACAUAACUUCUUAUGAGUUCAUGAUCAACUAUUAUUUCUCGCUGAUUCAAAUUUUCCACUCGUUUGGAGUUGUUAGACACUCGAGAAUACAGAUAACUGAUUCGAGUCUAUGCUUUCCUUUCCAUUGUUUUGUUUAAUCUUUCUUGUAACCUAUCUUAUAUGAGCAGUGAUAAUUUCCUGCUUAUGUAAACACCUCGGUGUACAAGCUCUGUCUGUAAGACCUUGUUACUAUUGUUGAUGACAUUCCGAUAGCCACCGACGGACGAGAACUUUGCAUGUUGGUAUGCCUCGUCUUAACAAGCAGGGAAAUGGUUCUCUUCAUCCCUCGCCCUUGGUACCAACGUUGUUGCCAACAUAACUGACAGGUUGUCCUCUGACCUGCCUUGCUAUCAUGACCAUGAAAAAUGUAACGCCUUCUUGCUUUGAACGCACAUGGUGGGCCCAUAAAUCACAGUUCCACAGGAUCGAAACCUGACUCUCUUGUACAUCCCUGUUUUCCAAAAUUGUUCCUCACGCUUGGCUUCAUAUGUAAAUCACGAACCACCUUUUUAGAGAUGAUCUGAUCUAGUAUCAGACGCAACACUUAUUUUCGUUGCUCUGAAUCCCUCUCGCUCUCUGUUUCAGGCAAUGAACGAUUGCCUACCCGGUUGAAGCUUCUUGUUACUCCUCCUUACCUUUCUCUCGAUGACUUUCUUCAAUUUCAACUCGAGAGAUGUCUCUAUGUCGCAUUCAUCGAAACCUCCCCCUAGGUACCUAUCUUGUGUUGAGCUCCGUCCUUCUCGAGUCUUUCCCCCUUACUCCACCCCUUAAAUCUCGGGACGAGAUUUCUUAUAGUGGAGGAGAAUUGUGACGCCCAGAUAAUUAAGCUACAGUAAUCCCCCGCUAAUGGUGCCAUGUCAUCACAUUACUGUUGCUAAUCCUCACUUGAUCCAAAUCAUGAUUCAAAUUCAAACUCAAAAUUUUAAACUCAAUAAUUCAAAUUUACCAAACAUGAAAACUAAAAUGUUCAAAGUGUGGAAAAUAAUCCCUGGAUAUUUUUCAUGUUGGAACCAACCUCUUUUGGAUUCCGAAAGUGCCCCUGGAAAUUAUUUAGUGAUCCAGCAGCAUUUAAACUUGGCCUUUUCAAUUUCCAAAAAUAGUUAGACAACUACUUUCAGCCUUAAACUUUUUGUGACUCCUAGAAUUAAUGUGCUUGUUUUAGCUGACAAGACUCUUUUCUAUCAAAACUCUUUCAGUGCUACAAUUUAAAAGAAAACAAAAAGGGGUUGAGAAAAAGAAAAAGGCAAAGGGAGGGAAGAAAAGCCCUAACCUCCCCUCUCACUGGGCCUCGGCCCAGCUGGACCGCCAGGCCAGCCCACCAUCUUCGGUCCCUCCCCUCUCCUCCUGUUCGUGCGACCGAGUCGCUACAGGGGCUUGGUCGCCAUUGCACCCUCUCGCCGGCGGCGCCGGGAGGGGAUAAGGGUGCCACGCCCCGACCCCUCAAUCCCAUCCCCCCACUCGCUCACCACUUCCCACUCUCUCUCCGCCUCUCGCCCAGGCGCUCGUUCCCCUUCCCCAGAUCCAUCGACGAGCGUGGCCGUUGCCGCCCGGCUCACUCUACCGUGGCCAUCGGCCACCUCUCGCCUCGCCAUUGCAUCCACGAAGACCGUCGUCGUCCGCUGCGUCCACUACGGAGACGAAAACGGGCCGGAACCCCCCUCCUUCACCGGAUCCGUGUCGUCCGCUUUGGUCGCCGGCCAUCUCCGUCAACUCCGACCGCCCUGCAGCUACUAAGCCGUCAUCGGGCCCUCUUGCGCCUCCCCGGUGAGCUUUGCCUGCCUUCCCGUUUUCUUCGUCACCUUGCCGCGCGUGUAGCCGCCGUCCUUGCCAUGGCCGAACCCGCCACCGCUGACGAGCUCACUGCCAUAGUCAUCAUCACUGUAGGUCGCUUCCGAGUUGGUAACCGAGCUCCUGGGGCUCGUGCGGGUCCAACGCCGCUGCCUGCAUUGACUACCAUGCCCCACAUCACCGUAGCCACGAAUGCCCGCCACCACCUAAUGUCGUCGUGCUCGCCGUGACCCUGCCUGCUUGUGCUCCCAGGCCGCGCCCCUUGCUGCCUCCGACGUUCGCCUCUGGCCGCCCUGCUGGCCGCAGAAUCCCCGCCACCCGCUCGCUGCAGCGCCUCUGCCUGUCACUGCCGUCUGGCCGCCUCAAGCCACCGUCGGCCGCGCCCUGGCCUCGGCUCGCGACCGCGUGAAAGUGCAACUAUCCCUAGGUGGUUUUGGUAAUUAAUAACAACAUAUAGCUCAUUGAGCUAAUGCUAUUCCAAGACUAUUAUUUUAGGAAAGCUCAAUGAAUGGCAUGGCAUGGAUGAUGAAAGUGGAUCCCUCAAAAUUCUAAGGACAAAGGAUUGGCUCAAGCUCAAAAGCUCAAGACUCUUCAUUUUACAUUUUAGUUAUCCAAGAUCACAUUGAGUCUAUAGGAAAAGCCAAUACUAUCAAGGAGGGAUGAGGUGUUGCUUAAUGAGCCUCUUGCUUCAAUGUGCUUAGUGAUAUGCUCCAAAACCCUCAACUACUUUCCCACAUCCUCAAAUGACCUAAACCCAAAGCCAAAAUCGGUCACACCGAAACUUCCUACCCGGCACCAUCGAUUCCAAAAGUCAUAGCCACUGCCACAAACCCUAAGCAAAUCGGUCUUACCGAUAGGGAUCUCGGUCUCACCAAGAUGGGGUUGCAAUCUCUCUAUUUCCCUUCGUAACGUUUCGGUCUAACCGAAGUGAGCGAUCGGUCCCACCGAGAUUGCAAUGUAAACUCUCUGUUUCCUUUUUGUAACAUUUCGGUCUCACCUAAAAGAGCAAAUCGGUCCCACCGAGUUUACCUGACCAACUCUCUGGAAAGCUUAUUACCAAAUCGGUCUCACCGAGUUUGUGUAAUCGGUCUUACCGAGAUUACGUUAUGCCCUAACCCUAACCGAAUCGGUCUCACCGAGAUGCAUGUCGGUCCCACCGAAAAUCACUAACGGUCACUAGGUUUACUAAAUCGGUCCGACCGAGUUUAACAAUUCGGUCCCACUGAGUUUGGUAAAUUGUGUGUAACGGUUAGAUUUUGUGUGGAGGCUAUAUAUACCCCUCCACCUCCUCUUCGUUCGUGGAGAGAGCCAUCAGAACGAACCUACAUUUCCAGCAUACAUUUUCUGAGAGAGAACUACCUACUCAUGUGUUGAGGCCAAGAUAUUCCAUUCCUACCAUAUGAAUCUUGAACUCUAGCCUUCCCCAAGUUGCUUUCCACUCAAAUCUUCUUUCCACCAGAUCCAAACCCAUUGAGAGAGAGUAGAGUGUUGGGGAGACUAUCAUUUGAAGCACAAGAGCAAGGAGUUCAUCAUCAAUGCACCAUUUGUUACUUCUUGGAGAGUGGUGUAUCCGAGAUUGGCUAGGUGUCACUUGGGAGCCCCCGACAAGAUUGUGGAGUUGAACCAAGGAGUUUGUAAGGGCAAGGAGAUCGCCUACUUCGUGAAGAUCUACCACUAGUGAGGCAAGUCCUUCGUGGGCGACGGCCAUGGUGGGAUAGACAAGGUUGCUUCUUCGUGGACCCUUCUUGGGUGAAGCCCUCCAUGGACUCGCGCAGCCGUUACCCUUCGUGGGUUGAAGUCUCCAUCAACGUGGAUGUACGAUAGCACCACCUAUCGGAACCACGCCAAAAACAUAUGUGUCUCCAAUUGCGUUUGAAUCCUCCAAACCCUUCCCUUUACUUUCUUGCAAGUUGCAUGCUUUAAUUUCUGCUGCCUAUAUACUCUUUGCAUGCUUGCUUGAAUUGUGUGAUGAUUGCUUGACUUGUCCUAAAGUAGCUAAAAUCUGCCAAACUCUAAAAUUGGGAAAAGGUUAAGUUUUUAUUGGUCAAGUAGUCUAAUCACCCCCCCCCCUCUAGACAUACUUCAAGGUCCUACAAGUGGUAUCAGAGCUUUGGUCUCCAUUUUCUUUGAUUUCCAUAGCUUUUGGUGGUCAUAGCCUUGGUUUCACAACCUAGGAGAGUAUGGCGUCUAGCGAGGGAAAUUAUCACCGUAGAGGUCCUUACUUUGAUGGUACUAAUUUUGCUAGUUGGAAGCAUAAGAUGAAAAUGCAUAUUCUUGGACAUAACCCCGCCGUUUGGGCAAUUAUUUGUAUUGGCUUGCAAGGUGAAUUUUUUUAUGGGAGAGAACCGAACCGUGAAGCUAAUGUGGAAGAACUGAAGAUGCUGCAAUACAACACUCAAGCUUGUGAUAUCAUCUUCAACGGAUUGAGCCCCGAAGAAUUCAACAAAAUCAGCCGUCUUGAGAAUGCAAAGGAAAUUUGGGAUACUUUGAUUGAUAUGCAUGAAGGUACCGAGUCCGUCAAGGAAUCCAAGUUGGAUGUGCUCCAAAGUCAGCUUGACAAGUUCAAAAUGAAGGAUAGUGAAGGUGUCGCUGAAAUGUACUCUAUGCUUGCUCUUAUCACAAAUGAGAUUGACGGCUUAGGGAGUGAAGAGAUGACCGACAAAUUCAUCAUCAAGAAGAUCUUAAGAGCAUUGGAUGGAAAGUAUGAUACCGUGUGCACAUUGAUUCAAAUGAUGCCAAACUACAAAGAUCUCAAGCCAAUGGAAGUCACUGAAAGGAUUAUUGCUCAUGAGAUGUUACUCAAGGAUAAGGAGGAACUUCACAACAAGUCAAGUGGUGCUUACAAAGCCUCAAGUGAAUCCCCCACAUCAUCAAGUGAUAAACCAACCUUCAAUGAAGAAUUGAGCUUAAUGGUGAAGAACUUCAACAAAUUCUACAAGAGUAGAAGCAAAGAAAGAAGCUCCAAAUCAAGGUCUUACAAUGACAAGAGAUCUUCUAGUCGAGAGCGAAAGUGCUACAAUUGUGGGAGACCCGGACACUACUCCAAUGAGUGUACGGCACCCUACAAAAGAAGAGAAGAUUCUCCAAGAAGAAGGAGCAAAAGAGAAGAAUCACCACCAAGAGAGAGGAGGAGUAGAGAUGAUCGUUAUGAACGAAGACCCUCACGGAGAAGCAAGGAUUUGGAAAGGAAGGACAAGUCAUAAAGGAGCUACACAAAACAAAGACACCAAGCUCAUGUUGGUGAAUGGGUAUCCGGCUCCGACUCUGACAAUCACUCCGAGAGAAGCUAUCACUCCGACUACGAAUAUACUCAAGAUGAAGGUGUUGCCGGUCUAGCACUUGUGUCAACCAACUCCUACGACAUAUUUGAUUCACCAAAUGAAGGUGUUGGAAGAUGCUUCAUGGCCAAAGGCCCAAAGGUAACACAUCCCGAGUAUGUUGAUUUCAAUAGUGAUGAAGAUGACUUGCUUGUGGAUGAUGAUUUACUUGUUGACAACUCUAGUGAUGAAUACUAUGAUGAAACGUCAAUUAAUCAUGCUAAUCAUGCUAAAACAAGUGACAAUGAUAAGGAGAAAAUUGAGCUUCUAACUAAAGAAUUAAACUCUCUUAAGUUAGCUCAUGAAACUAUCUAUGAAGAUCAUCGAGAACUUUUAAGGGCUCAUGAGAAGUUACGCUUUGAAAAACUCAAUCUUGAGCAAGAGCAUGAGUUCUUAAAAGCAAUCAAUGAUGAUCUUCGCAAGAAAAGUUCUUCUUACAUUGCCAAGCAUUUACUCUUAUCUACUUACAUGCCUCAAGUCAAGUCUAGUAACAAGUACAAGAAAGAUACUUCCUCUAGUAGUAACAAUAAUAAUGUUAAAUCCAAUGUUGUUGCUUCUAGUAGUUCUCUUGAUUCCACUAAUGAUUCUCUUAGCCAAGUUACACUUGAGCAAGAAAAUAGCUUAUUGAAGGGAAUUAUAGAGAAAGGUGUUUACAAGAGCCUUGCCGGGAGUAAGCAAUUCGAGGAAAUUGUACGCAAGCAAGGAAGGCACCGGAAGAAUCAAGGUGUUGGUUUUGAACGAAAGUUCAAUGCCAAUGGAGUUGAGUGGGAAGAAGAUCAAUAAGCCCAAGACGAAGUUUGUUCCUCAACAAGAGAAGUAUGAUCCUACUUCCUUCAAAGGAACACAAGCUCAAGAUGAUCUUCCACCACAAGACCACAAGAACAAAGGCAAGGACAAGCUUCAAGAAGAGAUUGAUGCAUUUGAAGAAGCACCUAAAGCCUCAUUCAAGUGGGUCCCCAAGACUACGUCAAGUUCUACUUCAUCAAGUACAACUACAACUCCAAGGAUUCCCAUCAAGAUGAUGUGGAUCCCGAAGAAGAAGAACUAGAGAGUUCUUGAGGGUGACUCCACCAACAUUCUUCACUCAUAUCUUUUUUGGCAAGAACAAGUGCAAUCAACUUCCACAUCUUGCACUAGUUCAAGGAGUCACAAACCCUCAUGUUGGUAAGACAAGGGACAAGGUAACCUAAUAAUUUCAUGGACAUCAUCUUGUGUGUGCACCACUCUAUGUCUAUGGAUAUUCUUGUUUGUUCCUUGUGGGACUAACCCAUGUAGGUAAGUUGAAAGUGCAACUCACUCCAAAGGAUUGCUCCAAAUGGUCUACAUCAACAUUGAGCAUCUACAUCUUCAACACCUACAUGAAGUCAUCGUCGACAAAACCCAAGGUUAGUUCAUCCCUCUAAGGGGGGAUCUCACAUCUAGGGGGAGCUUAGCUCUAAGAAUUGAGUCUAAGCAACUCUAAUGGUGUGAACACAUUAAUGCAUUAUGUAAAAGUGGUAACCCCACUUGAGCUUAAACGAUGAGUAUGACCUAUGAUCAAAUGUUCUCAUUUGACUCCUAAGUCAAUAUACUCGUAUAUAGAUGACCUAGUCAUCGCCAAAUUGCUUCAUAGAUGCUAAAAUUGGUUGUGCAUGCUUUGCCACAUAUUUCAUUUGGUAUCUUAUUGUGUGAGCAUGUUGGUGCAUAUUUUACUCAUUCAAGGACAUCCGCUUGUAGUUUUGAUUGUUUGGUUUCUUUUCUCUUUGCCAAGUGGAUGGACAAGAAUGCCUAAGAACCUUCUUUAGCUAUCUAUGCUUUUCUCAUCUCAAACUCUAUUCAUGCUACAUCACAAAAUUUGAUCAAGUCAGAUUCGAACCACUCUGUUUGAGGAGCACUCGGAGUCCCCGAUUCGUCAUAGACUUAAACUUCCAAAACCUCUUUGUGAUUCUCGGUCUGACCGAUUCUUCCAUUUUGGUCCUACCGAGAUCACCAAGUUGAUCUGAGUUUUCAAUCUCGGUGCAACCAAUUUGAACUUUUCGGUCUAACCGAUUUGCUAUAACUGAACACAGUUAUGCAUCUCGGUGCCACCGAGUUGUUCCACUCGGUCACACCGACAGGGUCGGGCUAUAUAUAGCCACGGGCAAAAGUUUGGAAAUUUCUCCGAAACCCUUCACCCGCGCAAUAGCUCGCUCUGCCAUCGUGGUCUCCGGAUCGUCUCCUCGCUGCCAGCAGCCUCCUGUUGCUGGUCUUCGUCGCCGUCAACGGAAAUCGUCCCCGCCGUUGCCGCCGUAGCAAGUCCACCUCCAAGUUAGGGUAUGGACUUGAUCUUUGUGCUAUCCACGUCUGAUUCCUAGCACAUUGUUUUCAUAUUGAUUCUUGCCACGAUUGAGAUUCUUCUAUCCAACCAAAAUAGUCCGUAGUUUAGAUGCGAUUCAAAUUUUUAGGGUUAGGUUUCCGCCAAAACCAUAUUGGAUCCACCGAGUUGAAAAACUCGGUCUCACCGAUUUGGCGUAUGCCAUUGCACUAGUGACUCUCGGUCUGACCGAGAAUUACUAAUCGGUGCGACCGAUUUGAGGAUUCUGUGAAACCCUAGCAGUCUCGGUGCCACCGAACUAAAACUCAGUCCAACCGAGAUCAUCAGUUUAGGCUCCAAAACUACUUCGAUAUCACCGAGUUUGAAAAUCGGUUGAUCCGAAAUGCUUUCUGUGGAAAACUAAAACUAAACUUUUGAAUUAUUCUUUUGCAAAAAUCUCUGCAUUUUGUGAUGCUUAUCUAUUCUAUCUCAUCUAUAACUCUUCACAGGGUCAGAAGUCAGCUUUUGCAGUAUGUCUGAUCAGAGUGACAGCCAGAACAGGUCUGAAGAGCACAUGGACUUGAGUGAGGGCACUAGUCCCUCAACUUCGGAUGAUGGGAGCAGAAGUACUCCUAGCAACUUGCUUAAGGCUGCAACUAGGCAAAGGAAAAAGAGAACCUCAGACUCAGAGGAUGAGGAUUACAAAGCUGAGGAGGAUGAGGCCACUUCCAAAAAGGUGGUGCUCAAGAAAGAGUAUGGCUCUGCACAAAGCACAAAAACAGGCCUGAAGAAGAAAGUUCCUGCCAAGAGAACUCCAAUGCCAAAGGCCAGGCAGUCCACUCAAGUGCCAGCUCAAGCUCAACCCAAAGUGGCACCUGCAAGGAAAGAAGCACCAUCAAAACCUCAGAAAGUCCCCACUGGUGCAACCAUGAAAUUCACAAUUGAAUCAUAAGAUGAUGGUGAUCAGGACAAGAAAAAGAAGAGAGCUAGAACCACAACUGCCAAGGUCCUUGGAAAGCCCUCAAUGAGAAGGGAUUCUGAUGAAGAGGAAGAGGAUGCUGCACCAGCUCCUAAGGCAGCCAAGCUUAUGGGAGAUGCAAUCAGGUCAGGGGCUGCAACAUCCAAGCCCAAAGAUGCACCCAAAGCUGCCUCCAAGGCCAAGCAAGCUCCAAAGAGGAAUACUAGGAGUAUUCCAGCUACUGAAAAGAACAAGGCCCCAGUGCCAAAUGUUGCAGAAGAUGAAGAUGAAGAAGGACAGGUCCUCAGAAAGCUCAAGCCCAAGAUACCAGACCACAAUGAUGCCCAUCCUGUGGCUGAGGACAUGAGAAUCAGGAAGGAUUCGGGGCUGAGGCUGUGGAGGAUGGAGGACCCAUAUGCUUCAAGAAGAAGAACUGAUGUUGACUACAGGUUCCACACAAAGGAACAGCAGGACUUUUAUGAGACCAUUCUGUUGGACAAGAAGCCCAUUGUCUGUGAUAUGAGGUGGGUUGACUAGAAAUUCAUCAGGGAGAAUGAGCAGCACUACCCUGGAGUGGAGGAGAGCUUUAUUGCUUGUGGAGUAGCAGAUCUUGUUGGACAAAAGUUCACCAACUGGAAUGAUGAGCUUAUCAUGCAGUUCUACUCCACAGCACACUUUUAUCCAGAUGGUAGAAUUGUGUGGAUGUCUGAAGGUACAAGGUACCAUUCCACUGUUGGAGAAUGGGCAAGUUUGAUCAAUGCCCCCAAGGAAGAAGAAGAUGACCUGGACAUAUAUGCCAAGAAAAAGUUGGGACACAAUUCAAUGGCUCACAUGUACAAGGAAAUUCCUGACAAGGCUGUUGAGACUCACAAGUUUGGAUCCGUUCACUUUCUGUUGUCAGGGUUGGCAACCAUCAAUUGGAUUUUGGGGCACACCUUGUUGCCCAAGUCAGGUGACCAUAACAUGAUCAGAGGGCAUGCCAUCAACAUGCUGCAUGUGUUUGAUGUGCCCCAGAAAUUCAAAGUCAUGAGCCUCAUCAUUGAAACAAUCAAGAGGACUACAGCAGAUCAGAAGAGGAGCUGUGGAUAUGCACCUUAGAUUCAAGAAUUGAUCAACUCCAAGAUGGGCAUAGGAAAAUAUCAGUUGGAUAAGGAACGUUUUCCAAUUUAUCCAGACUUUGAGGACAAUGAGGUUGUCAUGAAUGAAGAUGAUCCACAAUCAGUCCAAGCUCAGUAGAAGAAGGAGAAGGCAAAGAAGGAGAAGGCUGCCAAGAUGCCAACUCAAGAGGAGGCAUCUGAGUAUUUCUUGAAGACCAAACAAGAGCAGCUUGGUUACCUGAUAGCAUCAACUCUGAGGAUUGAGAAAGGGUUGGCCACCCUAACUCAAAACCAGGAGAGCCUGGAGAGAAUCAUGGAACAAAACUUCUAUGAUCUAGAUGUCAAGGUAACUGAGAUUCAGUCAGUUGUGGAGCAGCUGCAGGAUGACAUGCAGGAGAGGAAGGGCAAGACAACUACCAAUGUGUUUGCCAGAGUGCCCAGAGCCCAGAGGUCAGUUGCAGUGCCAGUGACAGACACUAGAGCUACAACUUCAGCACCAGCUACUGCCCCAACAGUUCCAGUGCAACCAGCUCCAGCACCAACUCCUCCAGCACCCUCUACUUCAACUGAAGCCUUCGUCCUAGGAGCCAUCUCUACACCACCACCAGAAGAUCAAGCCUGAGAGACGAUCUAGCACUAUGCAUUUUCUAUGAACUUUUUGGUAACUUGUUGCCAAAGGGGGAGAAAAAUGUAUAGAUCAUAGGCUUCGAGAGAGAGUGUUGCUUUUGUUCUCUCUUGCUUUAUUUGGUGUUUUUUCAAACUUUGUUUGCUUUUGGUUGAGAUACUAUGCUUGUGAGACAUUGAUGAUCAUGUGUUUGAUCAUAAGAUACACUUAUGCAUGCUUGAUAUUAUCCUAUCUAUCCUAUGUGAUCAUUCACUAUGCUUGGUGAUGAGUGCUUGUAUUCAUUUUUUAUUAUUUUGAGUGCUCCACCAAGAUGUAUGUGACAUGGAAGAGUAACCCAUGAGCCUAAUUCAUUGUGCAUUUGCAGUCCAAAGCAAAUCUUAAACUAUGCACAAAUUUAGGGGGAGCUCUUGCUUAUCACAUACUUCUCAAAGCGACGAUGUCAUUCAAUCUUAUUAUCAUUUGUCGAAGCUUUGAUCUAUAUGUUGUCAUAAAUUACCAAAAAGGGGGAGAUUGAAAGUGCAACUAUCCCUAGGUGGUUUUGGUAAUUAAUAACAACAUAUAGCUCAUUGAGCUAAUGCUAUUCCAAGACUAUUAUUUCAGGAAAGCUCAAUGAAUGGCAUGGCAUGGAUGAUGAAAGUGGAUCCCUCAAAAUUCUAAGGACAAAGGAUUGGCUCAAGCUCAAAAGCUCAAGACUCUUCAUUUUACAUUUUAGUGAUCCAAGAUCACAUUGAGUCUAUAGGAAAAGCCAAUACUAUCAAGGAGGGAUGAGGUGUUGCUUAAUGAGCCUCUUGCUUCAAUGUGCUUAGUGAUAUGCUCCAAAACCCUCAACUACUUUCCCACAUCCACAAAUAACCUAAACCCAAAGCCAAAAUUGGUCACACCGAAACUUCCUAUCCGGCGCCACCGAUUCCAAAAGUCAUAGCCACUGCCACAAACCCUAAGCAAAUCGGUCUUAUUGAUAGGGAUCUCGGUCUCACCGAGAUGGGGUUGCAAUCUCUCUGUUUCCCUUCGUAACGUUUCGGUCUAACCAAAGUGAGAGAUCGGUCCCACCGAGAUUGCAAUGUAAACUCUCUGUUUCCUUUUUGUAACAUUUCGGUCUCACCGAAAAGAGCAAACCGGUCCCACCGAGUUUACCUGACCAACUCUCUGGAGAGCUUAUUACCAAAUCGGUCUCACCGAGUUUGUGUAAUCGGUCUUACCGAGAUUACGUUAUGCCCUAACCCUAACCGAAUCGGUCUCACCAAGAUGCAUGUCGGUCCCACUGAAGAUCACUAACGGUCACUAGGUUUACUAAAUCAGUCCGACCGAGUUUAACAAUUCGGUCCCACCGAGUUUGGUAAAUUGUGUGUAACGGUUAGAUUUUGUGUGGAGGCUAUAUAUACCCCUCCACCUCCUCUUCAUUCGUGGAGUGAGCCAUCAGAACGAACCUACACUUCCAGCAUACAUUUUCUGAGAGAGAACUACCUACUCAUGUGUUGAGGCAAAGAUAUUCCAUUCCGACCAUAUGAAUCUUGAUCUCUAGCCUUCCCCAAGUUGCUUUCCACUCAAAUCUUCUUUCCAACAGAUCCAAACCCAUUGAGAGAGAGUUGAGUGUUGGGGAGACUAUCAUUUGAAGCACAAGAGCAAGGAGUUCAUCAUCAACGCACCAUUUGUUACUUCUUGGAGAGUGGUGUCUCCUAGAUUGGCUAGGUGUCACUUGGGAGCCUCCGACAAGAUUGUGGAGUUGAACCAAGGAGUUUGUAAGGGCAAGGAGAUCGCCUACUUCGUGAAGAUCUACCGCUAGUGAGGAAAGUCCUUCGUGGGCGACGGCCAUGGUGGGAUAGACAAGGUUGCUUCUUCGUGGACCCUUCUUGGGUGAAGCCCUCCGUGGACUCGCGCAGCCGUUACCCUUCAUGGGUUGAAGUCUCCAUCAACGUGGAUGUACGAUAGCACCACCUAUCGGAACCACGCCAAAAACAUCCGUGUCUCCAAUUGCGUUUGAAUCCUCCAAACCCUUCCCUUUACUUUCUUGCAAGUUGCAUGCUUUAAUUUCCGCUGCCUAUAUACUCUUUGCAUGCUUGCUUGAAUUGUGUGAUGAUUGCUUGACUUGUCCUAAAGUAGCUAAAAUCUGCCAAACUCUAAAAUUGGGNNNNNNNNNNNNNNNNNNNNNNNNNNNNNNNNNNNNNNNNNNNNNNNNNNNNNNNNNNNNNNNNNNNNNNNNNNNNNNNNNNNNNNNNNNNNNNNNNNNNNNNNNNNNNNNNNNNNNNNNNNNNNNNNNNNNNNNNNNNNNNNNNNNNNNNNNNNNNNNNNNNNNNNNNNNNNNNNNNNNNNNNNNNNNNNNNNNNNNNNNNNNNNNNNNNNNNNNNNNNNNNNNNNNNNNNNNNNNNNNNNNNNNNNNNNNNNNNNNNNNNNNNNNNNNNNNNNNNNNNNNNNNNNNNNNNNNNNNNNNNNNNNNNNNNNNNNNNNNNNNNNNNNNNNNNNNNNNNNNNNNNNNNNNNNNNNNNNGGGCUGGCCUGGUGCCACUGCCAGCGGGCCCCACGCCCUACCUUUAAAAAAAGGUUUUAAAAAAAUAUAUUAAUAAAAUUAAUUAAUUAAUUAACUAAUUAAUUAGUCAGUAAUUAAUUAUUUAACUUAAUUAACUCUGUUUAACUACCCUAAUUAACUAGGUUAACUAAUUAGAUUUGUUUAUUUAAGUUAGGUCAAUGACAGGUGGCCCCCACUCAAACUUUUUGACCGGUCAACAGUUGACUGUUGACUGCUGACUCAGCAGUCAACAGGGCCCAGUGUCAGCCUCUGUACUGCACUGCUGUGUACACUUUGUGUGUGCACGUAGCAAUUUAGUCUUGUUUUUUGAAUUAAUAUUAAAUCCAAUAAUUUCUGAAUAUUGUUAAAUCUUUGAAAAAUCAUAGAAAUUAAACCGUAGCUCGGAUGAAAAUGUUUUCUACAUGAAAGUUGCUCAGAACGACGAGAUGAAUCCGAAUACGCCCUCCUUUCAUCUAUCACACACCCCAAGCAUAGCAAACGUUGAACUUUUCCCCUGCGGUUCAUCUGUCUGACAAACGUCCGGAACCAGGAAAACUUUCCCGGAUGUUUUCCCCCUUCGCCAGUAUCGCCUAGCACUGCGUUAGUGUUGGGGAACGUAGUAAUUUCAAAAAAAUUCCGACGCACACGCAAGAUCAUGGUGAUGGCAUAGCAACGAGAGGGGAGAGUAUUGUCCACGUACCCUUGUAGACCAUAAGCAGAAGCGUUAUGACAACGCGGUUGAUGUAGUCGUACGUCUUCACGAUCCGACCGAUCCAAGUACCGAACGUACGGCACCUCCGAGUUCAGCACACGUUCAGCUCGAUGACGUUCCCCGGACUCCGAUCCAGCAGGGUGUCGGGGAUGAGUUCCGUCAGCACGACGGCGUGGUGACGAUGAUGAUGUUCUACCGGCGCAGGGCUUCGCCUAAACUCCGCGACGAUAUGACCGAGGUGGAAUAUGGUGGAGGGGGGCACCGCACACGGCUAAGGAACGAUCCGUAGAUCAACUUGUGUGUCAUAGGGUGCCCUCCUGCCCCCGUAUAUAUAGGAGCCAGGGGGAGGGGCGGCCGGCCAAGGAGGGCGCGCCAAGGGGGAGUCCAACUCCCACCGGGAGUAGGACUCACUUCUUUCCUAGUUGGAGUAGGAGAAGGGGGAAGGAGGAGGAAGAGGGGAAGGAAAGGGGGGGCGCCGCCCCCUUCUCCUUGUCCUAUUCGGACUAGGAAGGGGAGGGGGCGUGGCCCACCUCUUGCCUCCUCUCCUCUUCUUCCUUAUGGCCCAUGAAGGCCCAAUAACCCCCUGGAGGGUUCCGGUAACCCCCCGGUACUCCGGUAAAAUGCCGAUUUCACCCGGAACACUUCCGAUGUCCAAACAUAGGCUUCCAAUAUAUCAAUCUUUAUGUCUCGACCAUUUCGAGACUCCUCUUCAUGUCCGUGAUCAUAUCCGGGACUCCGAACAAACUUCGGUACAUCAAAACUUAUAAACUCAUAAUGAAACUGUCAUCGUAACGUUAAGCGUGCGGACCCUACGGGUUUGAGAACUAUGUAGACAUGACCUAGAACUAUUCUCGGUCAAUAACCAAUAGCGGAACCUGGAUGCCCAUAUUGGUUCCUACAUAUUCUAUGAAGAUCUUUAUCGGUCAAACCGCAUAACAACAUACGUUGUUCCCUUUGUCAUCGGUAUGUUACUUGCCCGAGAUUCGAUCGUCGGUAUCCAAUACCUAGUUCAAUCUUGUUUACCGGCAAGUCUCUUUACUCGUUACAUAAUGCAUCAUUCCGUAACUAACUCAUUUAGCUACAUUGCUUGCAAGGCUUAUAGUGAUGUGCAUUACCGAGAGGGCCCAGAGAUACCUCUCCGACAAUCGGAGUGACAAAACCUAAUCUCGAAAUACGCCAACCCAACAUGUACCUUUGGAUACACCUGUAGUGCUCCCUUAUAAUCACCCAGUUACGUUGUGACGUUUGGUAGCACCCAAAGUGUUCCUCCGGUAUACGGGAGUUGCAUAAUCUCAUAGUUACAGGAACAUGUAUAAGUCAUGAAGAAAGCAAUAGCAACAUACUAAACGAUCAAGUGCCAGGCUAACGGAAUGGGUCAUGUCAAUCACAUCAUUCUCCUAAUGAUGUGAUCCCAUUAAUCAAAUGACAACUCUUUUGUCCAUGGUUAGGAAACAUAACCAUCUUUGAUAAACGAGCUAGUCAAGUAGAGGCAUACUAGUGACACUAUGUUUGUCUAUGUAUUCACACAUGUAUUAUGUUUCCGGUUAAUACAAUUCUAGCAUGAAUAAUAAACAUUUAUCAUGAAAUAAGGAAAUAAAUAAUAACUUUAUUAUUGCCUCUAGGGCAUAUUUCCUUCAGUCUCCCACUUGCACUAGAGUCAAUAAUCUAGUUCACAUCGCCAUGUGAUUUAACACCAAUAUUCAUAUCUGUAUAGGAUUAACACCCAUAGUUCACAUCGUCAUGUGACCAACACCCAAAGGGUUUACUAGAGUCAAUAAUCUAGUUCACAUCACUUAUGUGAUUAACACCCAAAGAGUACUAAGGUGUGAUCAUGUUUUGCUCCUGACAGAACCUUAGUCAACGGGUCUGUCACAUUCAGAUCCAUAUGUAUUUUGCAAAUAUAUUAUGUCUACAAUGCUCUGUAUGGAGCUACUCUAGCUAUUUCUCCCACUUUCAAUAUGUAUCCAGAUUGAGACUUAGAGUCAUCUGAAUCGGUGUAAAAGCUUGCACCGUUGUAACUCUUUACGACGGGCUCUUUUAUCACCUCCAUAAUCGAGAAAUAUUUCAUUAGUCCUCACUAAGGAUAUUCUUGACCAAUGUUCAGUGAUCUACUCCUAGAUCACUAUUGUACUCCCUUGCCAAAAUCAGAGGAAGGUAUACAAUAGGUCUGAUACAUUGCAUAACAUACUUUAUAGAACCUAUGACUGAGGCAUAGGGAAUGACUUUCAUUCUCUUUUCUAUUUUCUGCUGUGGUCGGGAUUUGAGUCUUACUCAAUUUCAUACCUUUGUAAAACAGGCAAGAACUCUUUCUAUGACUGUUCCAUUUUGAACUACUUCAAAAUCUUGUCAAGGUAUGUAUGUUGGGGAACGUAGCAGAAAUUCAAAAUUUUCCUACGUGUCACCAAGAUCUAUCUAUGGAGAAACCAGCAACGAGGGGAAGGAGAGUGCAUCUACAUACCCUUGUAGAUCGCUAAGCGGAAGCGUUCAAGAGAAUGGGGUUGAAGGAGUCGUACUCGUCGUGAUUCAAAUCACCUGAGAUCCUAGUGCCGAACGGACGGCACCUCCGCGUUCAACACACGUACAGCUCGGUGACGUCUCCCACGCCUUGAUCCAGCAAGGAGAGAGGGAGAGUUUGAGGAAGACUCCAUCCAACAGCAGCACAACGGCGUGGUGGUGAUGGAGGAGCGUGGCUAGAAGAGGAGGAAGAAGAGACGCAGGGCUGCACCAACCAGAGAUCGAAAUCGCGUGUUAUGGGCAGCCCUAGGCCUCAUAUAUAUAGGGAAGGGGAGGGGCUGCGCCCCCUCUAGGGUUCCCACCCCCUAGGGGGGCGGCAGCCCUGGAUGGGGAUCAAGGAUGGCGGCCAAGAGGGGGAGAGGAGAGGGAGGCGCACCAAUAUGGGCCCUAAGGCCCAUAUCCCCUUAGGGUUUGCCCCCUUUCCACCUCUUAGGCGCCAUGGGCCCUUGUGGGAGGCGCACCAGCCCACUAAGGGGCUGGUCCCUCACCACUCUUAGCCCACGCAUGCCUCCGGGGUUGGUGGCCCCACUUGGUGGACCCCCGGGACCCUCGCGGUGGUCCCGGUACGUUACCGAUAAACCCCGAAACUCUUCCGGUGACCAAAACAGGACUUCCCAUAUAUAAAUCUUUACCUCCGGACCAUUCCGGAACUCCUCGUGACGUCCGGGAUCUCAUCCGGGACUCCGAACAACAUUCGGUAACCACAUACAAGCUUCCUUUAUAACCCUAGCGUCACCGAACCUUAAGUGUGUAGACCCUAUGGGUUCGGGAGACAUGUAGACAUGACCGAGACGUUCUCCGGUCAAUAACCAACAGCGGGAUCUGGAUACCCAUGUUGGCUCCCACAUGUUCCACGAUGAUCUCAUCGGAUGAACCAUGAUGUCAAGGACUUAAUCAAUCCCAUAUGCAAUUCCCUUUGUCUAGCGGUAUUUUACUUGCCCGAGAUUCGAUCGUCGGUAUACCGAUACCUUGUUCAAUCUCGUUACCGGCAAGUCUCUUUACUCGUUCCGUAACACAUCAUCCCGUGAUCAACCCCUUGGUCACAUUGUGCACAUUAUGAUGAUGUCCUACCGAGUGGGCCCACAGAUACCUCUCCAUUUACACGGAGUGACAAAUCCCAGUCUCGAUCCGCAUAAAACAAUAGAUACUUUCGGAGAUACCUGUAGUGCACCUUUAUAGUCACCCAGUUACGUUGUGACGUUUGAUACACCCAAAGCACUCCUACGGUAUCCAGGAGUUACACGCUCUCAUGGUCAAAGGAAGAGAUACUUGACAUUGGCAAAGCUCUAGCAAACGAACUACACGAUCUUUGUGCUAUGCUUAGGAUUGGGUCUUGUCCAUCACAUCAUUCUCCUAAUGAUGUGAUCCCGUUAUCAACGACAUCCAAUGUCCAUAGCCAGGAAACCAUGACUAUCUGUUGAUCACAACGAGCUAGUCAACUAGAGGCUCACUAGGGACAUAUUGUGGUCUAUGUAUUCACACGUGUAUUACGAUUUCCGGAUAAUACAGUUAUAGCAUGAAUAAAAGACUAUUAUCAUGAACAAAGAAAUAUAAUAAUAGCUUAUUUAUUAUUACCUCUAGGGCAUAUUUCCAACAGUCUCCCACUUGCACUAGAGUCAAUAAUCUAGUUCACAUCACCAUGUGAUUAACACUGACAGGUCACAUCACCAUGUGACCAACAUCCAAAGAGUCUUGGGUUUGAUCAUGUUGCUUGUGAGAGAGGUUUUUAGUCAACGGGUCUGAACCUUUCAGAUCCGUGUGUGCUUUACAAAUCUCUAUGUCAUCUCCUAGAUGCAGCUACCACGCUCUAUUUGGAGCUAUUCCAAAUAACUGUUCUACUUGGAGCUAUUCUAAAUUGUUGCUCCAUUAUACGUAUCCGGUAUCUCUACUUAGAGCUAUCCGGAUAGGUGUUAAGCUUGCAUCGACGUAACCUUUACGACGAACUCUUUUACCACCUCCAUAAUCGAGAAAGUUCCUUAGUCCACCAGUUACUAAGGAUAACUUUGACCGCUGUCUGUGAUCCACUCUUGGAUCACUCUUGUACCCCUUGACUAACUCAUGGCAAGGCACACUUCAGGUGCGGUACACAGCAUAGCAUACUUUAGAGCCUAUGUCUUAAGCAUAGGAGAUGACCUUCGUCCUUUCUCUCUAUUCUGCCAUGGUCGAGCUUUAAGUCUUAACUUCGUACCUUACAACUCAGGCAAGAACUUCUUCUUUGACUGAUCCAUCUUGAAUACCUUCAAGAUCAUGUCAAGGUAUGUGCUCAUUUGAAAGUACCAUUAAGCGUUUUGAUCCAUCCUCAUAGAUCUUGAUGCUCAAUGUCCAAGUAGUUUAUUCCAGGUUUUCUAUUGAAAAACACCUUUCAAAUAACCCUAUAUGCUUUCUAGAAAUUCUACAUCAUUUCUGAUCAACAAUAUGUUAACAACAUAUACUCAUCAGAAAUUCUAUAGUGCUCCCACUCACUUCUUUGGAAAUACAAGUUUCUCAUAAACUUUGUAUAAAACCAAAAAUCUUUGAUCAUCUUAUCAAAGUGCACAUUCCAACUCCGAGAUGCUUACUUCAGUCCAUGGAAGGAUCGCUAGAGCUAGCAUACCUUUUAGCAUCCUUAGGAUUGACAAAACCUUUCUGAUUGUAUUACAUACAACCUUUCCUUACGAAAACUGGUAAGGAAACUCGUUUUGACAUCCAUCUGCCAGAUUUCAUAAAUGCAGCUAAUGCUAACAUGAAUCCGAUGGACUUAAGCAUCGCUACGGAUGAGAAAAUCUCAUCGUAGUCAACUCCUUGAACUUGUGGAAAAAAAACUCUUCGCCACAAGUCGAGCUUCAUAGACGGUGACAUUACCGUCCACGUCCGUCUUCUUCUUAAAGAUCCAUUUAUCUUAAUGGCUUGCCGAUCAUUGGGCAAGUCCACCAAAGUCCAUGCUUUGUUCUGAUACAUGGAUCCUAUCUCGGAUUUCAUGGUUUCUUAACCAUUUGUCGGAAUUUGGGCCCACCAUCGCUUCUCCAUAGCUCGUAGGUUCAUUGUUGUCUAGCAACAUGACCUUCAAGACAGGAUUACUGUACCACUCUGAAGUAGUACGUAUCCUUGUCACCCUACGAGGUACGGCAGUGACUUGAUCCGAAACUUCAUGAUCACUAUCAUAAGCUUCUACUUCAAUUGGUGUAGGUGCCACAUGAACAACUUCCUGUGCCCUGAUACACACUGGUUGAAGUGAUGGUUCAAUAACCAUAUCAAGUCUCCACCAUCCUCCCACUCAACUCUUUCGAGAGAAACCUUUCCUCGAGAAAGGACCCGAUUCAAGAAACAAUCCAUAUUGCUUUCGGAUCUAAAUUAGGAGGUAUACCCAACUGUUUUGGGUGUCCUAUGAAGAUGCGUUUUAUCCGCUUUGGGUUCGAGCUUAUCAAUCCUGAAACUUUUUCACAUAAGCGUCGCAGCCCCAAACCUUUAAGAAACGACAACUUAGGUUUCUCUAAACCAUAAUUCAUACGGUGUCAUCUCAACAGAAUUACGUGGUGCCCUAUUUAAAGUGAAUGUGGUUGUCUCUAAUGCCUAACCCAUGAACAAUAGUGGUAAUUCGAUAAGAGACAUCAUGGUACGCACCAUAUCCAAUAGGGUGCAACUAUGAUGUUCGGACACACCAUCACACUAUGGUGUUCCUGGCGGUAUUAAUUGCGAAACAAUUUCCACAAUGUCUUAAUUGUGUGCCAAAACUCGUAACUCAGAUAUUCGUCUCUAUGAUCAUAUCAUAGACAUUUUAUCCUCUUGUCACAAUGAUCUUCUACUUCACUCUGAAAUUACUUGAACCAUUCAAUAAUUUAGACUUGUGUUUCAUCAAGUAAAUAUUCUCAACAUCUACUCGAAUCAUCUGUGAAGUAAGAACAUAACGAUAUUCACUGCAUGCCUCAGCACUCAUUGGACUGCACACAUCAAAAUGUGUUACUUCCAACAAGUUGCUAUCUUGUUCCAUCUUACUGAAACCGAGGUUUUUCAGUCAUCUUGUCCAUGUGGUAUGAUUUGCAUAUCUCAAGUGAUUCAAAAUCAAGUGAGUCUAAAUGAUCCAUCUGCAUGGAGUUUCUUCAUGCAUAUACACCAAUAGACAUGGUUCGCAUGUCUCAAACUUUUCAAAAACGAGUGAGUCCAAAGAUCCAUCAACAUGGAGCUUCUUCAUGCGUUUUAUACCAUUAUGACUUACAUGGCAGUGCCACAAGUAAGUGGUACUAUCAUUACUAUCUUAUAUCUUUUGGCAUGAAAAUGUGUAUCACUACGAUCGAGAUUCAAUAAACCAUUCCUUUAGGUGCAAGACUAUUGAAGGUAUUAUUCAAAUAAAUAGAGUAACCAUUAUUCUCUUUAAAUGAAUAACCGUAUUGCGAUAGACAUAAUCCAAUUAUGUCUAUGUUCAACGCAAACACCAAAUGACAAUUAUUCAGGUUUAACACUAAUCUUGAUGGUAGAGGGAGCGUGCGAUGUUUGAUCACAUCAAACUUGGAAACACUUCCAACACUUAUCGUCAGCUCACCUUCAGCUAGUCUCCAUUUAUUCCGUAGCUUUUAUUUCGAGUUACUAACACUUAGCAACCGAACCGGUAUCCAAUACCCUGGUGCUACUAGGAGUACUAGUAAAGUACACAUUAACAUAAUGUAUAUCCUAUAUACUUCUAUAGACCUUGCCAGCCUUCUCAUCUACCAAGUAUCUAGGGUAAUCCUGCUCCAGUGGUUGUUCCCCUUAUUACAGAAGCACUUAGUCUCGGGUUUGGGUUCAACCUUGGGUUUCUUCACUAGAGCAGCAGCUGAUUUGCCGUUUCAUGAAGUAUCCCUUCUUGCCCUUGCCCUUCUUGAAACUAGUGGUUUCACCAACCAUCAACAAUUGAUGCUCCUUCUUGAUUUCUACUUUCGCGGUGUCAAACAUCACGAAUACCUCAAGGAUCGUCAUAUCUAUCCCUGAUAUGUUAUAGUUCAUCACAAAGCUCUAGCAGCUUGGUGGCAAUGACUUUUGGAGAAACAUCACUAUCUCAUCUGGAAGAUUAACUCCCACUCGAUUCAAGUGGUUGUUGCACUCAGACAAUCUGAGCACAAGCUCAACGAUUGAGCUUUUCUCCCUUAGUUUGUAGGCUAAGAAAAUCGUCGGAGGUCUCAUACCUCUUGACGUGGGCACGAGCCUGAAAUCCCAAUUUCAGCCCUUGAAACAUCUCAUAUGUUCCGCGAUAUUUCGAAAAACGUCUUUAGUGCCUCAACUCUAAACCGUUUAACUGAACUAUCACGUAGUUAUCAAAACGUGUAUGUCCGAUGUUCACAACAUCCACAAACGACGUUUGGGGUUUAGCACACUGAGCGGUGCAUUGAGGACAUAAGCUUUCUACUGUCCGCAUAAUCGCUACUAUCAACUUUCAACUAUAUUUUCUCUAGGAACAUAUCUAAACAGUGGAACUAAAGCGCGAGCUCACGACAUAAUUUGCAAAAGGUCUUUUUGACUAUGUUCAGGAUAAUUAAGUUCAUCUUAUGAACUCCCACUCAGAUAGACAUCCCUCUGGUCAUCUAAGUGAUUACAUGAUCCGAGUCAACUAGGCCGUGUCCGAUCAUCACGUGAGACGGACUAGUCAUCAUCGGUGAACAUCUUCAUGUUGAUCGUAUCUACUAUACGACUCAUGCUCGACCUUUCGGUCUCCGUGUUCCGAGGCCAUGUCUGUACAUGCUAGGCUCGUCAAGUUAACCAUAAGUGUUUUCGCUGUGUAAAACUGUCUUACACCCGUUGUAUGUGAACGUAAGAAUCCAUCACACCCGAUCAUCACGUGGUGCUUAGAAGCGACGAACUGUAGCAACGGUGCACAGUUAGGGGAGAACACUUCUUGAAAUUUUGUAAUGGAUCAUCUUAUUUACUACCGUCGUCCUAAGUAAACAAGAUGCAUAAACAUGAUAAACAUCACAUGCAAUCAAAUAGUGACAUGAUAUGGCCAAUAUCAUUUUGCUCCUUUUGAUCUCCAUCUUCGGGGUUCCAUGAUCAUCAUCGUCACCGGCAUGACACCAUGAUCUCCAUCAUCAUGAUCCCCAUUAUCGUGUCUUCAUGAAGUUGUCACGCCAACGACUACUUCUACUUCUAUGACUAACGCGUUUAGCAAUAAAGUAAAGUAAGUUACAUGGCGUUGUUCAAUGACACGCAGGUCAUACAAUAAAUAAAGACAACUCCUAUGGCUCCUGCCGGUUGUCAUUCUCAUCGACAUGCAAGUCGUGAAUCCUAUUACAAGAACAUGAUCAAUCUCAUACAUCACAUAUCAUUCAUCACAUUCUUCUUGGCCAUAUCACAUCACAUAGCAUACCCUGCAAAAACAAGUUAGACGUCCUCUAAUUGUUGUUUGCAUGUUUUACGUGGCUGCUAUGGGUUUCUAGCAAGAACGUUUCUUACCUACGCAAAACCACAACGUGAUAUGUCAAUUUCUAUUUACCCUUCAUAAGGACCCUUUUCAUCGAAUCCGUUCCGACUAAAGUGGGAGAGACUGGCACCCGCUAGCCACCUUAUGCACCAAGUGCAUGUCAAUCAGUGGAACCUGUCUCACGUAAGAGUACGUGUAAGGUCGGUCCGGGCCGCUUCAUCCCACAAUACCGUCGAAACAAGAUUGGACUAGUAACGGUAAGCAUAUUGAACAAAAUCAACGCCCACAACUACUUUGUGUUCUACUCGUGCAAAGAAUCUACACAAUAGACCUAGCUCAUGAUGCCACUGUUGGGGAACGUAGCAGAAAUUCAAAAUUUUCCUACGUGUCACCAAGAUCUAUCUAUGGAGAAACUGAAGGAAAUAUGCCCUAGAGGCAAUAAUAAAGUUAUUAUUUAUUUCCUUAUAAUCAUGAUAAAUGUUUAUUAUUCAUGCUAGAAUUGUAUUUACCGGAAACAUAAUACAUGUGUGAAUACAUGGACAAACAGAGUGUCACUAGUAUGCCUCUACUUGACUAGCUCGUUAAUCAAAGAUGGUUAUGUUUCCUAACCAUAAACAAUGAGUUGUUAUUUGAUUAACGAGGUCACAUCAUUAGUAGAAUGAUCUGAUUGACAUGACCCAUUCCAUUAGCUUAGCACCCGAUCGUUUAGUAUGUUGCUAUUGCUUUCUUCAUGACUUAUACAUGUUCCUAUGACUAUGAGAUUAUGCAACUCCCGUUUACCGGAGGAACACUUUGGGUACUACCAAACGUCACAACGUAACUGGGUGAUUAUAAAGGAGUACUACAGGUGUCUCCAAUGGUCGAUGUUGGGUUGGCGUAUUUCGAGAUUAGGAUUUGUCACUCCGAUUGUCGGGGAGGUAUCUCUGGGCCCUCUCGGUAAUACACAUCACAUAAGCCUUGCAAGCAUUACAACUAAUAUGUUAGUUGUGAGAUGAUGUAUUACGGAACGAGUAAAGAGACUUGCCGGUAACGACAUUGAACUAGGUAUUGGAUACCGACGAUCGAAUCUCGGGCAAGUAACAUACCGAUGACAAAGGGAACAACGUAUGUUGUUAUGCGGUCUGACCGAUAAAGAUCUUCGUAGAAUAUGUAGGAGCCAAUAUGGGCAUCCAGGUCCCGCUAUUGGUUAUUGACCAGAGACGUGUCUCGGUCAUGUCUACAUUGUUCUCGAACCCGUAGGGUCCGCACGCUUAAGGUUACGAUGACAGUUAUAUUAUGAGUUUAUGCAUUUUGAUGUACCGAAGGUUGUUCGGAGUCCCGGAUGUGAUCACGGACAUGACGAGGACUCUCGAAAUGGUCGAGACGUAAAGAUUGAUAUAUUGGAAGCCUAUAUUUGGAUAUCGGAAGUGUUCCGGGUGAAAUCGGGAUUUUACCGGAAUACCGGGAGGGUUACCGGAACCCCCCGGGAGCUAUUUGGGCCAUAGUGGGCCUUAGUGGAAAAGAGAAGGGGCUGCCCUAGAUGGGCUGCGCGCCCCCCCUUCCCCUAGUCCUAUUAGGACUAGGAGAGGUGGCCGGCCCCCUCCUCCUCUUUUCCCCUCCGAGGAAUCCUAGUUGGACUAGGAUUGGAGGGGGAAUCCUACUCCCAGUGGGAGUAGGACUCUCCUGCGCCUCCCCCCCUUUGGCCGGCCAGCCUCCCCUCCUCUCCUCCUUUAUAUACGGAGGCAGGGGCACCUCUAAACACACAAGUUGACACAAGUUGAUCCACGUGAUCUAUUCCUUAGCCGUGUGCGGUGCCCCCUGCCACCAUAUACCUCGAUAAUACUGUAGCGGAGUUUAGGCGAAGCCCUGCUGCUGUAGUUCAUCAAGAUCGUCACCACGCCGUCGUGCUGACAAAACUCUUCCCCGACACUUUGCUGGAUCAGAGUCCGGGGAUCGUCAUCGGGCUGAACGUGUGCUCGAACUCGGAGGUGCCGUAGUUUCGGUGCUUGAUCGGUUGGAUCGUGAAGACGUACGACUACUUCCUCUACGUCGUGUCAUCGCUUCCGCAGUCGGUCUGCGUUGGGUACGUAGACAACACUCUCCCCUCGUUGCUAUGCAUCACAUGAUCCUGUGUGCGCGUAGGAAAAUUUUUGAAAUUACUACGAAACCCAACAGUGGCAUCCGAGCCUAGGUUAUUGAUGUUGAUGUUAUAUGCACGAGUAGAACACAAGUGAGUUGUGGACGAUACAAGUCAUACUGCCUACCAGCAUGUCAUAUUUUGGUUCGGCGGUAUUGUUGGACGAGACGACCCGGACCAACCUUACGCGUACGCUUACGCGAGACCGGUUCCCUCGACGUGCUUUGCACAGAGAUGGCUUGCGGGCGACUGCCUCUCCAACUUUAGUUGAACCAAGUAUGGCUACGCCCGAUCCUUGCGAAGGUUAAAACGGAGUCUAUUUGACAAACUAUCGUUGUGGUUUUGAUGCGUAGGUGAGAUUGGUUCUUACUUAAGCCCGUAGCAGCCACGUAAAACAUGCAACAACAAAGUAGAGGACGUCUAACUUGUUUUUGCAGGGCAUGUUGUGAUGUGAUAUGGUCAAGGCAUGAUGCUGAAUUUUAUUGUAUGAGAUGAUCAUGUUUUGUAACCGAGUUAUCGGCAACUGGCUGGAGCCAUAUGGUUGUCGCUUUAUUGUAUGCAAUGCAAUCGCGAUGUAAUGCUUUACUUUAUUACUAAACGGUAGUGAUAGUCGUGGAAGCAUAAGAUUGGUGAGACGACAACGAUGCUACGAUGGAGAUCAAGGUGUCGCGCCGGUGACGAUGGUGAUCAUGACGGUGCUUCGGAGAUGGAGAUCACAGGCACAAGAUGAUGAUGGCCAUAUCAUAUCACUUAUAUUGAUUGCAUGUGAUGUUUAUCUUUUAUGCAUCUUAUCUUGCUUUGAUUGACGGUAGCAUUAUAAGAUGAUCUCUCACUAAAUUAUCAAGAAGUGUUCUCCCUGAGUAUGCACCGUUGCCAAAGUUCGUCGUGCCCAGACACCACGUGAUGAUCGGGUGUGAUAAGCUCUACGUCCAUCUACAACGGGUGCAAGCCAGUUUUUGCACACGCAGAAUACUCAGGUUAAACUUGACGAGCCUAGCAUAUGCAGAUAUGGCCUCGGAAUACGGAGACCGAAAGGUCGAGCGUGAAUCAUAUAGUAGAUAUGAUCAACAUAACGAUGUUCACCAUUGAAAACUACUCCAUCUCACGUGAUGAUCGGUUAUGGUUUAGUUGAUUUGGAUCACGUAAUCACUUAGAGGAUUAGAGGGAUGUCUAUCUAAGUGGGAGUUCUUAAGUUAUAUGAUUAAUUGAACUUAAAUUUAUCAUGAACUUAGUACCUGAUAGUAUCUUGCUUGUUUAUGUUAAUUGUAGAUAGAUGGCUCGUGCUGUUGUUCCGUUGAAUUUUAAUGCGUUCCUUGAGAAAGCAAAGUUGAAAGAUGAUGGUAGCAAUUACACGGACUGGGUCCGUAACUUGAGGAUUAUCCUCAUUGCUGCACAGAAGAAUUACGUCCUGGAAGCACCGCUGGGUGCCAGGCCUGCUGCUGGAGCAACGCCAGAUGUUAUGAACGUCUGGCAGAGCAAAACUGAUGACUACUCAAUAGUUCAGUGCGCCAUGCUUUACGGCUUAGAAUCGGGACUUCAACGACGUUUUGAACGUCAUGGAGCAUAUGAGAUGUUCCAGGAGUUGAAGUUAAUAUUUCAAGCAAAUGCCCGGAUUGAGAGAUAUGAAGUCUCCAAUAAGUUCUAUAGCUGCAAGAUGGAGGAGAACAGUUCUGUCAGUGAGCAUAUACUCAAAAUGUCUGGGUAUAAUAAUCACUUGAUUCAAUUGGGAGUUAAUCUUCCGGAUGAUUGCGUCAUCGACAGAAUUCUCCAAUCACUGCCACCAAGCUACAAGAGCUUCGUAAUGAACUAUAAUAUGCAAGGGAUGAACAAGACUAUUCCCGAGCUCUUCGCAAUGCUGAAAGCUGCGGAGGUAGAAAUCAAGAAGGAGCAUCAAGUGUUGAUGGUUAACAAGACCACUAGUUUCAAGAAAAAGGGCAAAGGGAAGAAAAAGGGGAACUUCAAAAAGAACGGCAAGCAAGUUGCUGCUCAAGAGAAGAAACCCAAGUCUGGACCUAAGCCUGAAACUGAGUGCUUCUACUGCAAGCAGACUGGUCACUGGAAGCGGAACUGCCCCAAGUACUUGGCGGAUAAGAAGGAUGGCAAGGUGAACAAAGGUAUAUGUGAUAUACAUGUUAUUGAUGUGUACCUUACUAGAGCUCGCAGUAGAACCUGGGUAUUUGAUACUGGUUCUGUUGCUAAUAUUUGCAACUCGAAACAGGGACUACAGAAUAAGCGGGCACUGGCAAAGGACAAGGUGACGAUGCGCGUGGGAAACGGUUCCAAAGUCGAUGUGAUCGCAGUCGGCACGCUACCUCUACAUCUACCUUCGGGAUUAAUAUUAGACCUAAGUAAUUGUUAUUUGGUGCCAGCGUUGAGCAUGAACAUUAUAUCUGGAUCUUGUUUAAUGCGAGACGGUUAUUCAUUUAAAUCAGAGAAUAAUGGUUGUUCCAUUUAUAUGAGUAAUAUCUUUUAUGGUCAUGCACCCUUGAAGAGUGGUCUAUUUUUAUUGAAUCUCGAUAGUAGUAAUACACAUAUUCAUAAUGUUGAAGCCAAAAGAUGCAGAGUUGAUAAUGAAAGUGCAACUUAUUUGUGGCACUGUCGUUUAGGUCAUAUCGGUAUAAAGCGCAUGAAGAAACUCCAUACCGAUGGACUUUUGGAACCACUUGAUUAUGAAUCACUUGGUACUUGCGAACCGUGCCUCAUGGGCAAGAUGACUAAAACACCGUUCUCCGGUACUAUGGAGAGAGCAACAGAUUUGUUGGAAAUCAUACAUACCGAUGUAUGUGGCCCGAUGAAUAUUGAGGCUCGUGGCGGAUAUCGUUAUUUUCUCACCUUCACAGAUGAUUUAAGCAGAUAUGGGUAUAUUUACUUAAUGAAACAUAAGUCUGAAACAUUUGAAAAGUUCAAAGAAUUUCAGAGUGAAGUUGAAAAUCAUCGUAACAAGAAAAUAAAGUUUCUACGAUCUGAUCGUGGAGGAGAAUAUUUGAGUUACGAGUUUGGUGUACAUUUGAAAAACUGUGGAAUAGUUUCGCAACUCACGCCACCCGGAACACCACAGCGUAAUGGUGUGUCCGAAUGUCGUAAUCGUACUUUACUAGAUAUGGUGCGAUCUAUGAUGUCUCUUACUGAUUUACCGCUAUCAUUUUGGGGAUAUGCUUUAGAGACGGCCGCAUUCACGUUAAAUAGGGCACCAUCAAAAUCCGUUGAGACAAUGCCUUAUGAAAUGUGGUUUGGCAAGAAACCAAAGUUGUCGUUUCUUAAAGUUUGGGGCUGCGAUGCUUAUGUGAAAAAGCUUCAACCUGAUAAGCUCAAACCCAAAUCGGAGAAAUGUGUCUUCAUAGGAUACCCAAAGGAAACUGUUGGGUACACCUUCUAUCACAGAUCCAAAGGCAAAACAUUCGUUGCUAAGAAUGGAUCAUUUCUAGAGAAGGAGUUUCUCUCGAAAGAAGUGAGUGGGAGGAAAGUAGAACUUGACGAGGUAACUGUACCUGCUCCCUUACUGGAAAGUAGUUCAUCACAGAAAACUGUUUCAGUGACACCUACACCAGUUAGUGAGGAAGCCAAUGAUAAUGAUCAUGAAACUUCAGAUCAAGAUACUACUGAACCGCGUAGAUCAACCAGAGUAAGAUCCGCACCAGAGUGGUACGGUAAUCCUGUUCUGGAGGUCAUGCUACUAGAUCAUGAUGAACCUACAAACUAUGAAGAAGCGAUGGUGAGCCCAGAUUCCGUAAAGUGGCUUGAAGCCAUGAAAUCUGAGAUGGGGUCCAUGUAUGAGAACAAAGUAUGGACUUUGGUUGACUUGCCCGAUGAUCGGCAAGCAAUUGAGAAUAAAUGGAUUUUUAAGAAGAAGACUGACGCUGAUGGUAAUGUUACUGUCUACAAAGCUCGACUUGUCGCAAAAGGUUUUCGGCAAGUUCAAGGAAUUGACUACGAUGAGACCUUCUCACCCGUAGCGAUGCUUAAGUCCGUCCGAAUCAUGUUAGCAAUUGCCGCAUUUUAUGAUUAUGAAAUUUGGCAAAUGGAUGUCAAAACUGCAUUCCUGAAUGGAUUUCUGGAAGAAGAGUUGUAUAUGAUGCAACCAGAAGGUUUUGUCGAUCCAAAGGGAGCUAACAAAGUGUGCAAGCUCCAGCGAUCCAUUUAUGGACUGGUGCAAGCCUCUCGGAGUUGGAAUAAACGUUUUGAUAGUGUGAUCAAAGCAUUUGGUUUUAUACAGACUUUCGGAGAAGCCUGUAUUUAGAAGAAAGUGAGUGGGAGCUCUGUAGCAUUUCUGAUAUUAUAUGUGGAUGACAUAUUACUGAUUGGAAAUGAUAUAGAAUUUCUGGAUAGCAUAAAGGGAUACUUGAAUAAAAGUUUUUCAAUGAAAGACCUCAGUGAAGCUGCUUACAUAUUAGGCAUUAAGAUCUAUAGAGAUAGAUCAAGACGCUUAAUUGGACUUUCACAAAGCACAUACCUUGACAAAAUUUUGAAGAAGUUCAAAAUGGAUCAAGCAAAGAAAGGGUUCUUGCCUGUGUUACAAGGUGUGAAAUUGAGUAAGACUCAAUGCCCGACCACUGCAGAAGAUAGAGAGAAUAUGAAAGAUGUUCCCUAUGCAUCAGCCAUAGGCUCUAUCAUGUAUGCAAUGUUGUGUACCAGACCUGAUGUGUGCCUUGCUAUAAGUUUAGCAGGGAGGUACCAAAGUAAUCCAGGAGUGGAUCACUGGACAGCGGUCAAGAACAUCCUGAAAUACCUGAAAAGGACUAAGGAUAUGUUUCUCGUAUAUGGAGGUGACAAAGAGCUCACCGUAAAAGGUUACGUUGAUGCAAGCUUUGACACUGAUCCGGACGAUUCUAAAUCGCAAACCGGAUACGUGUUUACAUUAAACGGUGGAGCUGUCAGUUGGUGCAGUUCUAAACAAAGCGUUGUAGCAGGAUCUACAUGUGAAGCGGAAUACAUAGCUGCUUCGGAAGCAGCAAAUGAAGGAGUCUGGAUGAAGGAGUUCAUAUCCGAUCUAGGUGUCAUACCUAGUGCAUCGGGUCCAAUGAAAAUCUUUUGUGACAAUACUGGUGCAAUUGCCUUGGCAAAGGAAUCCAGAUUUCACAAAAGGACCAAACACAUCAAGAGACGCUUCAACUCCAUCCGGGAUCUAGUCCAGGUGGGAGACAUAGAGAUUUGCAAGAUACAUACGGAUCUGAAUGUUGCAGACCCGUUGACUAAGCCUCUUCCACGAGCAAAACAUGAUCAGCACCAAAGCUCCAUGGGUGUUAGAUUCAUUACAGUGUAAUCUAGAUUAUUGACUCUAGUGCAAGUGGGAGACUGAAGGAAAUAUGCCCUAGAGGCAAUAAUAAAGUUAUUAUUUAUUUCCUUAUAAUCAUGAUAAAUGUUUAUUAUUCAUGCUAGAAUUGUAUAUACCGGAAACAUAAUACAUGUGUGAAUACAUGGACAAACAGAGUGUCACUAGUAUGCCUCUACUUGACUAGCUCGUUAAUCAAAGAUGGUUAUGUUUCCUAACCAUAAACAAUGAGUUGUUAUUUGAUUAACGAGGUCACAUCAUUAGUAGAAUGAUCUGAUUGACAUGACCCAUUCCAUUAGCUUAGCACCCGAUCGUUUAGUAUGUUGCUAUUGCUUUCUUCAUGACUUAUACAUGUUCCUAUGACUAUGAGAUUAUGCAACUCCCGUUUACCGGAGGAACACUUUGGGUACUACCAAACGUCACAACGUAACUGGGUGAUUAUAAAGGAGUACUACAGGUGUCUCCAAUGGUCGAUGUUGGGUUGGCGUAUUUCGAGAUUAGGAUUUGUCACUCCGAUUGUCGGAGAGGUAUCUCUGGGCCCUCUCGGUAAUACACAUCACAUAAGCCUUGCAAGCAUUACAACUAAUAUGUUAAUUGUGAGAUGAUGUAUUACGGAACGAGUAAAGAGACUUGCCGGUAACGAGAUUGAACUAGGUAUUGGAUACCGACGAUCGAAUCUCGGGCAAGUAACAUACCGAUGACAAAGGGAACAACGUAUGUUGUUAUGCGGUCUGACCGAUAAAGAUCUUCGUAGAAUAUGUAGGAGCCAAUAUGGGCAUCCAGGUCCCGCUAUUGGUUAUUGACCAGAGACGUGUCUCGGUCAUGUCUACAUUGUUCUCGAACCCGUAGGGUCCGCACGCUUAAGGUUACGAUGACAGUUAUAUUAUGAGUUUAUGCAUUUUGAUGUACCGAAGGUUGUUCGGAGUCCCGGAUGUGAUCACGGACAUGACGAGGACUCUCGAAAUGGUCGAGACGUAAAGAUUGAUAUAUUGGAAGCCUAUAUUUGGAUAUCGGAAGUGUUCCGGGUGAAAUCGGGAUUUUAUCGGAAUACCGGGAGGGUUACCGGAACCCCCCGGGAGCUAUUUGGGCCAUAGUGGGCCUUAGUGGAAAAGAGAAGGGGCUGCCCUAGAUGGGCUGCACGCCCCCCCCCCUUCCCCUAGUCCUAUUAGGACUAGGAGAGGUGGCCGGCCCCCUCCUCCUCUUUUCCCCUCCGAGGAAUCCUAGUUGGACUAGGAUUGGAGGGGGAAUCCUACUCCCAGUGGGAGUAGGACUCUCCUGCGCCUCCCCCCCUUUGGCCGGCCAGCCUCCCCUCCUCUCCUCCUUUAUAUAUGGAGGCAGGGGCACCUCUAAACACACAAGUUGACACAAGUUGAUCCACGUGAUCUAUUCCUUAGCCGUGUGCGGUGCCCCCUGCCACCAUAUACCUCGAUAAUACUGUAGCGGAGUUUAGGCGAAGCCCUGCUGCUGUAGUUCAUCAAGAUCGUCACCACGCCGUCGUGCUGACAAAACUCUUCCCCGACACUUUGCUGGAUCAGAGUCCGAGGAUCGUCAUCGGGCUGAACGUGUGCUCGAACUCGGAGGUGUCGUAGUUUCGGUGCUUGAUCGGUUGGAUCGUGAAGACGUACGACUACUUCCUCUACGUCGUGUCAUCGCUUCCGCAGUCGGUCUGCGUUGGGUACGUAGACAACACUCUCCCCUCGUUGCUAUGCAUCACAUGAUCCUGUGUGCGCGUAGGAAAUUUUUUGAAAUUACUAUGAAACCCAAUAGAAACCAGCAACGAGGGGAAGGAGAGUGCAUCUACAUACCCUUGUAGAUCGCUAAGCGGAAGCGUUCAAGAGAACGGGGUUGAAGGAGUCGUACUCGUCGUGAUUCAAAUCACCAGAGAUCCUAGUGCCGAACGGACGGCACCUCCGCGUUCAACACACGUACAGCCCGGUGACGUCUCCCACGCCUUGAUCCAGCAAGGAGAGAGGGAGAGGUUGAGGAAGACUCCAUCCAACAGCAGCACAACGGCGUGGUGGUGAUGGAGGAGCGUGGCUAGAAGAGGAGGAAGAAGAGACACAGGGCUGCACCAACCAGAGAUCGAAAUCGCGUGUUAUGGGCAGCCCUAGGCCUCAUAUAUAUAGGGAAGGGGAGGGGCUACGCCCCCUCUAGGGUUCCCACCCCCUAGGGGGGUGGCAGCCCUAGAUGGGGAUCAAGGAUGGCGGCCAAGAGGGGGAGAGGAGAGGGAGGCGCACCGAUAUGGGCCCUAAGGCCCAUAUCCCCUUAGGGUUUGCCCCCUUUCCACCUCUUAGGCGCCAUGGGCCCUUGUGGGAGGCGCACCAGCCCACUAAGGGGCUGGUCCCUCACCACUCUUAGCCCACGCAUGCCUGCGGGGUUGGUGGCCCCACUUGGUGGACCCCCGGGACCCUCCCGGUGGUCCCGGUACGUUACCGAUAAACCCCGAAACUCUUCCGGUGACCAAAAUAUGACUUCCCAUAUAUAAAUCUUUACCUCCAGACCAUUCCGGAACUCCUCGUGACGUCCGGGAUCUCCUCCGGGACUCCGAACAACAUUCGGUAACCACAUACAAGCUUCCUUUAUAACCCUAGCGUCACCGAACCUUAAGUGUGUAGACCCUACGAGUUCGGGAGACAUGUAGACAUGACCGAGACGUUCUCCGGUCAAUAACCAACAGCGGGAUCUGGAUACCCAUGUUGGCUCCCACAUGUUCCACGAUGAUCUCAUCGGAUGAACCACGAUGUCAAGGACUUAAUCAAUCCCGUAUGCAAUUCCCUUUGUCUAGCGGUAUUUUACUUGCCCGAGAUUCGAUCGUCGCUAUACCGAUACCUUGUUCAAUCUCGUUACCGGCAAGUCUCUUUACUCGUUCCGUAACACAUCAUCCCGUGAUCAACCCCUUGGUCACAUUGUGCACAUUAUGAUGAUGUCCUACCGAGUGGGCCCAGAGAUACCUCUCCGUUUACACGGAGUGACAAAUCCCAGUCUCGAUCCGCAUAAAACAAUAGAUACUUUCGGAGAUACCUGUAGUGCACCUUUAUAGUCACCCAGUUACAACACCCAAAGCACUCCUACGGUAUCCAGGAGUUACACGCUCUCAUGGUCAAAGGAAGAGAUACUUGACAUUGGCAAAGCUCUAGCAAACGAACUACGCGAUCUUUGUGUUAUGCUUAGGAUUGGGUCUUGUCCAUCACAUCAUUCUCCUAAUGAUGUGAUCCCGUUAUCAACGACAUCCAAUGUCCAUAGCCAGGAAACAAUGACUAUCUGUUGAUCACAAUGAGCUAGUCAACUAGAGGCUCACUAGGGACAUAUUGUGGUCUAUGUAUUCACACGUGUAUUACGAUUUCCGGAUAAUACAGUUAUAGCAUGAAUAAAAUACUAUUAUCAUGAACAAAUAAAUAUAAUAAUAGCUUAUUUAUUAUUGCCUCUAGGGCAUAUUUCCAACAAUGUACUCAUUGAAAAUCUUAUCAAGCGUCUUGAUCUAUCUCAAUAGAUCUUGAUGCUCAAUGUGUAAGUAGCUUUACUAAGGUCUUUCUUUUAAAGAACUCCUUUCAAACACUCCUUUAUGCUUUGCAGAAUAAUUCUACAUUAUUUCUGAUUAACAAUAUGUCAUUCACAUAUACUUAUCAGAAAUGUUGUAGUGCUCCCACUCACUUUCUUGUAAAUACAGGCUUCACCGUAAGUCUGUACAAAACUAUAUGCUUUGAUCAAUUUAUCAAAGCGUAUAUUCCAACUCUGAGAUGCUUGCACCAGUCCAUAGACGGAUCGCUGGAGCUUGCACAUUUGUUAGCACCUUUAGGAUUGACAAAACCUUCUGGUUGCAUCAUAUACAACUCUUCUUUAAGAAAACCAUUAAGGAAUGCAGUUUUGACAUCCAUUUGCCAGAUUUCAUAAAAUGUGGCAAUUGCUAACAUGAUUUGGACAGACUUAAGCAUCGCUACAGUUGAGAAAAUCUCAUUGUAGUCAACACCUUGAACUUGUCAAAAACCUUUUUGCGACAAGUCGAGCUUUGUAGAUAGUAACACUACUAUCAACGUCCGUCUUCCUCUUGAAGAUCCAUUUAUUUUCUAUGGUUUGCCGAUCAUCGGGCAAGUCCACCAAAGUCCACACUUUGUUCUCAUACAUGGAUCCUAUCUCAGAUUUCAUGGCCUCCAGCCAUUUUGCGGAAUCUGGGCUCAUCAUCUCUUCCUCAUAGUUCGUAGGUUUAUCAUGGUCUAGUAACAUGACUUUCAGAACAGGAUUACCGUACCACUCUGGUGCGGACCGUACUCUGGAAGACCUACGAGGUUCUGUAGUAACUCGAUCUGAAGUUUCAUGAUCAUCAUCAUUAGCUUCCUCACUAAUUGGUGUAGGAAUCACUGGAACUGAUUUCAGUGAUGAACUAUUUUCCAAUUCGGGGGAAGGUACAGUUACCUCAUCAAGUUCUACUUUCCUCCCACUCACUUCCUUUUAGAGAAACUCCUUCUCUAGAAAGGAUCCAUUUUUAGCAACGAAUAUCUUGCCUUCGGAUCUGUGAUAGAAGGUGUACCCAACAAUUUCCUUUGGGUAUUCUAUGAAGACGCACUUCUCUGAUUUGGGUUUGAGCUUAUCAGGAUGAAACUUUUUCGCAUAAGCAUCGCAGCCCCAAACUUUAAGAAACGACAACUUGGGUUUCUUACUAAACCACAGUUCAUAUGGUGUCGUCUCAACGGAUUUAGAUGGUGCCCUUUUAACGUGAAUGCAGCUGUCUCUAAUGCAUAACCCCAAAACAAUAUUGGUAAAUCAGUAAGAGACAUCAUAGAUCACACCAUAUCCAAUAAAGUGCGGUUACGACAUUCGGACACACCAUAACGUUGUGGUGUUCCAGGUGGCGUGAGCUGUGAAACUAUUCCGCAUUGUUUUAAUUGAAGACCAAACUCGUAACUCAAAUAUUCGUCUCCGCGAUCAAAUCGCAGAAACUUUAUUUUCUUGUUACGAUGAUUUUUCCACUUCACUCUAAAAUUCUUUGAACCUUUCAACUAUUUCAGACUUAUGUUUCAUCAAGUAGAUAUACCCAUAUCUGCUCAAAUCAUCUUGUGAAGGUCAGAAAAUAACGAUACUUGCCACGAGCAUCAACACUCAUUGGAUCACAUACAUCGGUAUGUAUUAUUUCCAAUAAGUCAGUAGCUUGUUCCAUUGUUCCGGAGAAUGGAGUUUUAGUCAUCUUGCCCAAAGGCACGGUUCGCAAGCAUCAAAUGAUUCAUAACCAAGUGAUUCCAAAAAUCCAUCUUUAUGGAGUUUCUUCAUGCGCUUUACACCGAUAUGACCCAAACGGCAGUGCCACAAAUAAGUUGCACUAUCAUUAUUAACUUUGCAUCUUUCAGCAUCAAUAUUAUGAAUAUGUGUAUCACUCCGAUCGAGAUCCAACAAACUAUUUUCAUUGGGUGUAUCACCAUUGAAGGUUUUAUUCAUGUAAACAGAACAACAAUUAUUCUCUGAUUUUAAAUGAAUAACCGUAUUGCAAUAAACAUGAUCAAAUCAUAUUCAUGCUCAACGCAAACGCCAAAUAACAUUUAUUUAGGUUUAACACUAAUCCCAAAAGUAUAGGGAGUGUGCGAUGAUGAUCAUAUCAAUCUUGGAACUACUUCCAACACUCAUUGUCACUUCCCCUUCAACUAGUCUCUGUUUAUUCUGUAACUCCUGUUUCGAGUUACUAAUCUUAGCAACCGAACAAGUAUCAAAUACUCAGGGGCUACUAUAAACACUAGUAAGGCACACAUCAAUAAUCUGUAUAUCAAAUAUACCCUUGUUCACUUUGCCAUCCUUCUUAUCUACCAAAUAUUCAGGGCAUUUCCGCUUCCAGUGACCAUUUCCUUUGCAGUGUAAACACUCAGUUUCAGGCUUUGGUCCAGCUUUGGUUUUCUUCAUGGGAGUGACAACUUGUUUGCCAUUCUACUUGAAGUUUCCCUUUCUUUCCCUUUGCCCUUUUCUUGAAACUAGUGGUCUUGUCAAUCAUCAACACUUGAUGCUCUUUCUUGAUUUCUACCUUCGUUGAUUUCAACAUCACGAAGAGCUCGGGGAUUGUUUUCGUCAUCCCUUGCAUAUUAUAGUUCAUCACGAAGUUCUAGUAACUUAGUGAUGGUGACUAGAGAAUUCUAUCAAUCACUAUCUUAUCUGGAAGAUUAACUCCCACUUGAUUCAAGCGAUCGAAGUACCUAGACAAUCUGAGCACAUGCUUACUAGUUGAGCGAUUCUCCUCCAUCUUUUAGCUAUAGAACUUGUUGGAGACUUCAUAUCUCUCAACUCGGGUAUUCGCUUGAAAUAUUAACUUCAAUUCCUGGAACAUCUCAUAUGGUCCAUGACGUUCAAAACAUCUUUGAAGUCUCAAUUCUAAGCCGUUAAGCAUGGUACACUAAACUAUCAAGUAGUCAUCAUAUUGAGCUAGCCAAACGUUCAUAACAUCUGCAUCUGCUCCUGCAAUAGGUUUGUCACCUAGCGGUGCAUCAAGGACAUAAUUCUUCUGUGCAGCAAUGAGGAUAAACCUCAGAUCACGGAUCCAAUCCGCAUCAUUGCUACUAACAUCUUUCAACACAGUUUUCUCUAGGAACAUAUCAAAAUAAACAUAUGAAAACAACAACGCGAGCUAUUGAUCUAUAACAUAAUUUGCAAAAUACUACCAAGACUAAGUUCAUGAUAAAUUAAAGUUCAGUUAAUCAUAUUACUUAAGAACUCCCACUUAGACAGACAUCUCUCUAGUCAUCUAAGUGAUCACGUGAUCCAAAUCAACUAAACCAUAACCGAUCAUCACGUGAGAUGGAGUAGUUUUCAAUGGUGAACAUCACUAUGUUGAUCAUAUCUACUAUCUGAUUCACGCUCGACCUUUCGGUCUCCGUGUUCCGAGGCCAUAUCUGCAUAUGCUAGGCUCGUCAAGAUUAACCUGAGUAUUCUGCGUGUGCAAAACUGGCCUGCGCCCGUUGUAGAUGGACGUAGAGCUUAUCACACCCGAUCAUCACGUGGUGUCUGGGCACGACGAACUUUGGCAACGGUGCAUACUCAGGGAGAACACUUCUUGAUAAUUAGUGAGAGAUCAUCUUAAAAUGCUACCGUCAAUCAAAGUAAGAUAAGAUGCAUAAAGGAUAAACAUCACAUGCAAUCAAUAUAAGUGAUAUGAUAUGGCCAUCAUCAUCUUAUGCUUGUGAUCUCCAUCUCCGAAGCACCGUCAUGAUCACCAUCGUCACCGGCGCGACACCUUGAUCUCCAUCGUAGCAUUGUUGUCGUUAUGCCAUCUAUUGCUUCUACGACUAUCGCUACCGCUUAGUGAUAAAGUAAAGCAAUUACAGGGCGUUUGCAUUUCAUACAAUAAAGCGACAACCAUAUGGCUCCUGCCAGUUGCCGAUAACUUCGGUUACAAAACAUGAUCAUCUCAUACAAUAAAAUAUAGCAUCACAUCUUGACCAUAUCACAUCACAACAUGCCCUGCAAAAACAAGUUAGACGUCCUCUACUUUGUUGUUGCAAAUUUUACGUGGCUGCUACGGGCUGAGCAAGAACCGUUCUUACCUACGCAUCAAAACCACAACGAUAGUUCGUCAAGUUAGUGAUGUUUUAACCUUCUCAAGGACCGGGCGUAGCCACACUCGAUUCAGCUAAAGUGAGAGAGACAGACACCCGCCAGUCACCUUUAAGCACGAGUGCUCGUAACGGUGAAACCAGUCUCGCAUAAGCGUACGCGUAAUGUCGGUCCGGGCCGCUUCAUCUCACAAUACCGCUGAGCCAAAGUAUGACAUGCUAGUAAGUAGUAUGACUUGUAUCGCCCACAACUCACUUGUGUUCUACUCGUGCAUAUGACAUCUACGCAUAAAACCUGGCUCAGAUGCCACUCUUGGGGAACGUAGUAAUUUCAAAAAAAUUCCUACGCACACGCAAGAUCAUGGUGAUGGCAUAGCAACGAGAGGGGAGAGUAUUGUCCAUGUACCCUCGUAGACCGUAAGCGGAAGCGUUAUGACAACGCGGUUGAUGUAGUCGUACGUCUUCACGAUCCGACCGAUCCAAGUACCGAACGUACGGCACCUCCGAGUUCAGCACACGUUCAGCUCGAUGACGUUCCCCGGACUCCGAUCCAGCAGGGUGUCGGGGAUGAGUUCCGUCAGCACGAUGGCGUGGUGACAAUGAUGAUGUUCUACCGGCGCAUGGCUUCGCCUAAACUCCGCGACGAUAUGACCGAGGUGGAAUAUGGUGGAGGGGGGCACCGCACACGGCUAAGGAAUGAUCCGUAGAUCAACUUGUGUGUCAUAGGGUGCCCCCCUGCCCCCGUAUAUAAAGGAGCCAGGGGGAGGGGGCGGCCGGCCAAGGAGGGCGCGCCAAGGGAGAGUCCUACUCCACCGGGAGUAGGACUCCCUUAUUUCCUAGUUGGAGUAGGAGAAGGGGGAAGGAGGAGGAAGAGGGGAAGGAAAGGGGGGCGCCGGCCCCCUCUCCUUGUCCUAUUCGGACUAGGGAGGGGAGGGGGCACGGCCCACCUCUUGCCUCCUCUCCUCUUCUCCCUUAUGGCCCAUGAAGGCCCAAUAACCCCCGGGAGGGUUCCGGUAACCCCCCGGUACUCCGGUAAAAUGCCGAUUUCACCCGGAACACUUCCGAUGUCCAAACAUAGGCUUCCAAUAUAUCAAUCUUUAUGUCUCAACCAUUUCGAGACUCCUCAUCAUGUCCAUGAUCAUAUCCGGGACUCCGAACAAACUUUGGUACAUCAAAACUUAUAAACUCAUAAUGAAACUGUCAUCGUAACGUUAAGCGUGCGGACCCUAUGGGUUCGAGAACUAUGUAGACAUGACCUAGAACUAUUCUCGGUCAAUAACCAAUAGCAGAACGUGGAUGCCCAUAUUGGUUCCUACAUAUUCUACGAAGAUCUUUAUCGGUCAAACCUCAUAACAACAUACGUUGUUCCCUUUGUCAUCGGUAUGUUACUUGCCCGAGAUCCGAUCGUCGGUAUGCAAUACCUAGUUCAAUCUCGUUUACCGGCAAGUCUCUUUACUCGUUACGUAAUGCAUCAUUCCGUAACUAACUCAUUUAGCUACAUUGCUUGCAAGGCUUAUAGUGAUGUGCAUUACCCAGAGGGCCCAGAGAUACCUCUCCGACAAUCGGAGUGACAAACCUAAUCUCGAAAUAUGCCAACCCAACAUGUACCUUUGGAGACACCUGUAGUGCUCCUUUAUAAUCACCCAGUUACAUUGUGACGUUUGGUAGCACCCAAAGUGUUCCUCCGGUAUACAAGAGUUGCAUAAUCUCAUAGUUAUAGGAACAUGUAUAAGUCAUGAAGAAAGCAAUAGCAACAUACUAAACGAUCAAGUGCUAGGCUAACGGAAUGGAUCAUGCCAAUCACAUCAUUCUCCUAAUGAUGUGAUCCCAUUAAUCAAAUGACAACUCUUUUGUCCAUGGUUAGGAAACAUAACCAUCUUUGAUAAAUGAGCUAGUCAAGUAGAGGCAUACUAGUGACACUAUGUUUGUCUAUGUAUUCACACAUGUAUUAUGUUUCCGGUUAAUACAAUUCUAGCAUGAAUAAUAAACAUUUAUCAUGAAAUAAGGAAAUAAAUAAUAACUUUAUUAUUGCCUCUAGGGCAUAUUUCCUUCAGUUAGACCACCUCUAGCCCCGCUUAUUGUCUUGUUAUGCAUAUGUUUGUGUGUAUUUACUGUUUCUUCCCCCCUUCUCACCGGUAGACCCCGAGAUCGAUGCUGAUGUCCCUAUGAUCGACUACGUCACCGACGACCCCUUCUUCCCUUUCAGCGGAGCUUCCAGGCAAGCCCCACCUUUGAUCAUCCCGAUAUCUCCCAUUCCAUUCUUUCAUGCUUGCAUUAGAUUUUGCUACUGUAUUUGAUUGCUCCUAUUCUGAUGCAUAGCCUGCUUUUGUACCUGUUGUUGUACCUUACCUGUUUAUCCUAAACUGCUUAGUAUAGGUUGGUUAGUGAUCUAUCAGUGACCCCCACCUUGUCCUUUUUGCCCCUGCUUCAUCUUCGACGACUCGAGCAACGUGAUCGACGACCAAAGCCCAACACCUCACAUCACAGCACGCCCCAUUUGUUGCUCAACUCUGCAGAGCUACUAUCGAGUGCCGAGGGUGAUCCCUCAUAACGCACUCCUGAUGAUAAUUCUGUAGUGUAACUAUUCGAUCAUGGUCAUCGACGGUGAUUUCCUCUUUCACCAUUCCCGAUACGGCUCUGUCGUUCAACACCUCAAGUGUGAACCUCGAGGGUGGUCCCUCUUACGUUCACCUUGAUGAUUACAUUGAGUGGAAUCCUCCGUGGGUGAUUCCUUGGGUUUUCCCCUUGAUGUUUGGACACACGGUUACAAUGACUUUACUUGAGACCUUGGUGAAAGUUGGGCGGGCCCGGAGAGCACCCACAAGAUAAUGACAUGGCACGACCGGGCAUUCUAGGCCCUUGUCGUAUGUCCACGAGACGAGGUGACGGGAUCACUUUCGAUCGUGAGUCUCUGCUCGUCUCCAUAAACUAAUAAUACACUAUGGUUUGGGUAUUUGUUCUGAGUUGGCCUUUGGCCUUUACGCACCAACCACCGCGUGAGAAUAGUUAUGGGCCUCGACAUCGCAGUAUCAGCCGAAGCUUUGUCAGUUGUCCAGUUCAGCAGUGUGGCGCGGCUGGGCCGGCACCAUCCAUGUAGAGGUGGAGCCUGGACCCGCCCUGCGUGAAACGACCCGGAGUGCAACGGGCGAUGGGUCCAGACCCCUGAGUGCUUAGGAGGUAGACCGGUGGGGACCUCUCUGCUGAGCCUAGGUAGGGCUUCGACGUGUUGAUCUUCCGAGGCCGGGCAUUGACCCCAGAAAGGUGUGUCCAGCUAGAGUUAUUGAGCGUGUUGGAAAACGUGGUGCACCCCUGCAGGGAAGAUUAUCUAUUAAUAGUCGUGUCCACGGUAACGGACGUUCAGACUUAUAUCCUGAUCUUAUACAACUACAAAUGGAUACUUGAGAUAUGUGGCUCCGGGAUUGCUUUCUCGUAGGGAGUCGAGGAAGGAUCUCUGGGCAUUAAUGCUACAACAUGUUUGUUAAUUAUAAACUAUUAUUCUUUACUCUUCUACAUGCUGCAAGAUGCUUGGAGCUGCUUGAAGAUGCUAGUCUUUGUUAUGCUAGGCCUUCCCCUCUAUUCUGGCAUUCUGCAGUUCAGUCCACAGAUACAACCCUUCCAUUUGAUACCAAUGCAUACUUAGUAUAGAUCUGAUGCUUGCGAGUACUUUGGAUGAGUACUCACGGUUGCUUUGCUACCCCUUUUCCCCCUUCUUUCUUCUUUUCGGUUGAUGCAACCAGAUGGUGGAUCCCUGGAGCCAGAUGCCACCGCCGAUGGAUGCUACUACGUGAAGAUCGCCGACGACCAGGAGUAGUUAGGAGGUCCCAGGCAGGAGGCCUUGCCUUUUCGAUCAUGUUGCUUUUGUGCUAGCCUUCUUAAGGCAUCCUUGUUUAACUUAUGUCUGUACUCGGAUAUUGCUGCUUCCGCUGACUCUUGUGUAUCGAGCUUGUAUUCGAGCCCUCGAGGCCCCUGGCUUGUAAUAUAAAGUUUGUACUAUUUUGGUUUGUGUCUAGAGUUGUGUUGUGAUAUCUUCCCGUGAGUCUCUGAUCUUGAUCGUACAUAUUUGUGUGUAUGAUUAGUGUACGAUUGAAUCGGGGGCGUCACACCGACAUCAUCUUGUUUCUUCCACCUAAUCCUUUAAUGACCUAUAAACAAAAGACCCCAACCCGCCAUAAACAAUUUAUUUAUGCCUCUUUUAAUUUUUGAUCUCUGUCUUGCAAACAAUUUUUUUGUGGCAGUUACUUUUAUCCUCCAACCAAGAUUAUGUAAACGCCCAAAAUAGAAACAUGUAGCAUGCUGAGCUAAAAAUAUAACAGACCCAAUACAGAACAAACAUUUUCACUGCCCAAUAAUCUUCAAUGCUCAAGUCCUGAUAAGUAAAAUGCUUUUCUUUAAGGGGCGAAGGUAAAACGAUUUGAUGUUCAGAAAGACAAUAAUAACUAAUGACAUUAACAUCAGCACAUGGCUUUUAAAAAAUUUGAUCUCUGUCUCGGUAAACUAAUUAUUUAUGGCGGUCACUUUUAUCCUUCAACCAAGGGUAUGAAAAUGCCCAAAAUAGAAACAUGUAGCACACUGGGCUAAAAUAUAACAGACCCAAUCCAGAACAAACCUUUUCAUUGCCCAAUAAUCUUCAAUGCUCAAGUUCUGAUAAGUAAAAUGCAUUUUCUAAGGGGCGAAGGUAAAAUGCAUUUAAUGUUCAGAAAGACAAAAAUAACUAAUGACAUUGAGCAAUAUAUCAUCUCUAGAAUCAUAAGCACAAAACAACCGCAUUGACUUUCGUCUUGUUUCUUCCAACUAAUCCCUAUAAAUGAUAACCAGAAGACCCCGACCCGACAUUAACUAUUUAUUUAUGUCUUUUUUAAUGUUUGAUCUCUAUCUUGUCAAACAAUUUAUUUGUGGCGUUCACUUUUAUCCUCCAACCAAGAUUAUGUAAAUGCCCAAAAUAGAAACAUGUAGCACGCUGAGCUAAAAUAUAACAGACCUGAUAUAGAACAAAUAGUUACACUGUCGUGAACCAACCUGUGUUUAAGAUUGUUAGAAGGAUUGUGGUAUCCCCAGUCCACCAGAGUUCAAGUCCUCGUGCUCGCAUUUAUUCUUGGAUUUAUUUCAGGAUCCGGCGAUGUACAAUCAUUUAUUCCUGGAUUUAUUUCAGGAUUUCCGGCGAUGCGCAUUCAGUGGGAGGAGACGUUCCCGUCGACAACGAGGUGCCUACGGUGGCUUCGUAAAUUUCAAGAUGAUAUGUCGUCUCAGUAUUUCGGAGGUGCUCAUAGGGGCGGGGUGUGCCUAUGUGCGUUCAUAGGGGUGAGUGUAUGCGCAUGUAUAUGAGCGCUUACGUCUGUAUUGUGUUAAAAUAAACAUUUACAUUGUCUAAUAAUCUUUAAUGCUCAAGUCCUGAUAAGUAAAAUGCAUUCUCUAAGGGUCGUAGGUAAAAUGCAUUUGAUGUUUAGAAAGACAAUGGUAACUAAUGACAUUAACAUUAGCACAUGGCUUUUAAAUUUUUUGAUCUAUGUCUUGAUAAACAAAUUAUUUGGGUCGGUCAUUUUUGUCCUCCAACCAGGAAUAUGAAAAUGCCCAAAAGAAAGCACGCUGAGCUAAAAUAUAACAGGCCCGAUAGAAAACAAACAUUUUCACUUCCCAAUAAUAUUCAAUGUUCAAGUCCUAAUAAGUAAAAUGCAUUUUCUAGGGGCGAAGGUAAAAUGCAUUUGAUGUACAGAAAGACAACAAUAACUAAUGACAUUAAGCAAGAUCUCAUCUCUAGAAUCAUAAGCACGAAACAACUAAUCCUUAAAUGACCCAUAACCAAGAUCUCAUCUCUAGAAUCAUAUGCACGAAAUAACUAAUCCUUAAGUGACCCAUAACCAGAAAACCCCGACCCGACAUAAACAAUUUAUUUAUGUCUUUUUUUAAAUUCUGAUCUCUGUCUCGGUAAACAAUUUAUUUAUGGCUGUCACUUUUAUCCUCCAACCAGGAGUAUGAAAAUGCCCAAAAUAGAAACACAUAGCACGUUGAGCUAAGAUAUAACAACCUGAUACAAAACAAACCUUUUCACUGCCCAAUAAUUUUCAAUGCUCAAGUCAUGAUAAGUAAAAUGCAUUUUCUGACAGGCAAAGGUAAAAUGCAUUUGAUGUUCAAAAAGACAACAAUAAUUAAUGACAUGAAGCAAUAUCUCAUCUCUAGAAUCAUAAGCAUGAAGCACUGCAUCAACAUUUGUCUUGUUUCUUCCAACUAAUCCGUAAAUGACACAUAACAAGAAGCCCCUGGCCCGACAUAAACUAUUUAUUUAUAUCUUUUUUAAUUUUGAUCUCUAUCUUGGUAAACAAUUUAUUUAUUGCGGUCACUUUUAUCCUCCAACCAAGAGUAUGAAAAUUCCUAAAAUAGAAACAUCAAGCAUGUUGAGCUAAAAUAUAACAGACCCGAUAGGGAACAAACAUUUUCAUUGCCCAAUAGUCUUCAAUGUCAAGUCGUGAUAAGUAAUGCAUUUUCUGGGGGUGAAGGUAAAACACAUUUGAUGUUCAAAAGGACAACAAUAACUAAUGAGAUUAAGCAAUAUCUCUUCUUAAGAAUCAUAAGCAAGAAAUAACCGCAUCGACAUCCAUCUUGUUUCUUCCAAGUAAUCCUUAAAUGAUCCAUAACCAGAAGACCCGGACCCAACAUAAACAAUUUAUUUAUGGCAUCACCUUUAUCCACCAACACGUGAAAGAUGCUCAAAAUACAACAUGUAGCAAUAUGAGCUAAAAUAUCACAUACUCGAUACAGAACACACCUUUUUACUUCCCAGUGUCUUUCCUUUAUCCACAAUAUCUUUCAUGCUCAGGUCCAAAUGAGUAAAUGCAUUUUGGGGGGAGGUAAAGGUAAAAUGCAUUUGGUGAUGAGAAUGGCAACAAUAACUAUUGGCAUUAAGCAAUAUCUCAUCUCUAGAAUCAUAAGCGGGAAACAACCCAUCUUGUUUCUUCCAACUAAUCUUGAAAUUACCCAUAGUCGGAAAGACCCCGACCCUUCAAAACAAUUUAUUUGCGGUGAUCACUUUUAUCCUCCAACAUGUGAACCAAUAGUAUGAAGAUGCCCAAAUUAGGACAUGUAGCGCGGUGAGCUAAACUAUCACAAACUCGGUAUGGGACACCUUUUUACUGCCCAAUCAUGUGUCUUUAUCCACAAUAUCUUCAGUACUGAAGUCUUGAUAAGUAAAAUUCAUUUUAUUAGGGAAGGGGACAAAGGUAAAAUGCAUUUUAUGUCAGGAAGGACAACAAUAAUUAAUGAUAUUAAGAAAUAUUUAAUCUCAAUAAUCAUAAGCACAAAAUUGAAAGAAAUAUGCCCCCAGAGGCAAUAAUAAAGUUGUUAUUCAUAUUUCCUUAUAUCAUGAUAAAUGUUUAUUAUUCAUGCUAGAAUUGUAUUAAUCGAAAACUUAGUACAUGUGUGAAUACAUAGACAAAAUAAAGUGUCCCUAGUAUGCGUCUACUUAACUAGCUCGUUAAUUAAUGAUGGUUAUGUUUCCUGACCAUGACAUGUGUUGUCAUUUGAUGAAUGGGAUCACAUCAUUAGAGAAUGAUGUGAUGGGCAAGACCCAUCGGUUAGCUUAGCAUAAUGACUGUUAAUUUUUAUUGCUAUUGCUUUCUUCAUGACUUAUACAUGUUCCUGUGACUAUGAGAUUAUGCAACUCCUGAAUACCGGAGAAACACCUUGUGUGCUAUCAAACGUCACAACGUAAUUGGGUAAUUAUAAAGAUGCUCUACAGGUGUCUUCGAAGGUGUUUGUUGGGUUGGCAUAGAUCGAGAUUAGGAUUUGUCACUUAGUGUAUCGGAGAGGUAUCUCUGGGCCCUCUUGGUAAUGCUCAUCACUAUAAGCCUUGAUUUUUUCUCUCCGAAUCUUCCAAUAAAAGUGUAAUAGGUUUGACACUUUCAUCAUCCCUGUACUACUUGUCUUAAAAAACAACAGGCUAUCAUUAGGAAAUAACAAAUGGUUAACUUAUGGCCCCUCCCAAAAUCGAAUGUAUUCCUUCCGUUCCUAAAUAUUUAUCUUUUUAGAGAUUUUAAAUAGACUACCACAUACGAAGCAAUGAUAUUUUAGUCACUUGUUGAAAUCUCUACUAAGACUAAUAUUUCGGAACGGAGGCAGUAGUAUAUAUCUCUACUAUUAAAGGAGAAUCUGCCGUCGUUGUGAUGGUUCGACCUCCCUGCUCCUCUCGUACGACCUCGAAGAAAAAAAUCACAGGAGGAAAAGCCCACGUUGCACGUCAACGAAAAACCGAAAAAACAUGCACGUUCUCCGCCUCCUCCCCCGACCUGCCAGUUUCCAUCCCCAGAUCUCUCUCUCGCUCUUCCUAACCAGAACCACGAGGGCGAUCAUCUCCCCCGACCUCCAACUCCACCGCUCCAGGCUCCGGCAGCUAGGUCGCCGCCAUCUCCCAUCCACUCAACAUCUCCAACAUAUCCGAAUCUUUGCGCGCGGCGCACAGAUGCCGCUCGGCCUUGACAUCCCCAUUGGCCUUGCCUCCUGAGUCCUGACCCAAGUCCUAGGGUCACGGUCCAAGAUUGGAAGGGCGACAUGCGGCUUGGUGGUGCUGCGGCGGACGGCAACGAUCCAAGAUUGGCAGGUUACUAACAGAAGCCACGGACACCAGGAACACUCGAUUGAUAUCUCCCUCCCUCUAUUCCUCUCUUGGGGUUUUUCUGAUUGGUAUUUUUGUGGACGGAAGACAAAUCUAAGGAAGAAGAUGAGGUGGGAAGCUAACCAGAAACUUGCCGGUAAGGAUCCCUUGUUUCUUGGUGCUAAUCCCACAUGAUCAUCUUGAAUAAGAAAAUACAAUUUUUUUUGUCAUGUUUCUUUCUGGACGAGCAGGACCUCGAGAAACCCUGUGUUCUGGAUCUGGGAGGCACCAACUUCAGCGUGCUGAGGGUGCAGCUGGGAGGAAAAGAUAGGCGUGUCGUUGACACUGAAUCCGAGCAAGUGUCGAUCCCAGAGGAAAUCAUGCAUGGCACAACUGAGGUAAUCAGUUCACUGAAUUUGUUCUCUUCUUUUGUUUUGUAUUCUUUCGCUGUUUUCUAUUGCUGGAAUAAUGAAUCGUCACUUUCUCAACCUCCUUAGUUUCUGAUUAACGCUCAUGUAAGAAGCUUAAACUUGAGGUCUAAACAAACACUGGAACUGGUGCUUUGCGUUUCACUUCGGAACAUGGAUGAGAGCACAUGCAUCAUCAUUUCACUAUGCAUAGUGGUUGUUGGAUUUUCAGCUUUUGUUUUCAACUACUAGGCACACGUACAGCAGUGAAGAUGGAUUUUCGACUAUUGUAUUUCGAACGCCAUUAACGCAGAAAUGCAGUCUCAAGGAUGGAAAUAAACGAGUGUGUGUGGUGUUCUUUUUCUUAAAGAAUACGUUUAUAUUCCCUGUUCUUUUCGCUUCAGGUUUACAACUAUUUGGCCUACUACACAAUGCAUGUGUUCACCAGCAAAAUUUCAGUUCUAUUAUCCAACAUUAAAGAUCAAUUAACCAAUGUUGUUGUCUUAAAUCUCAGUAUUAUUUUAGUUUUUCUAAAGGACAAAAUGGAUCUAGGAAUAUUAUGUUGAAUCAUUGAAUUUGUACAAUUUUUAUUUGAGGGGUCAUUACAGAGAGAAAUAUUGGUUGGUUAUUAUAACUUUCUUGCAUAUUAGUAAUUGAUAUUUACAGUGCGAACAAGAUAUUAAAGUUUAGUCAGCUAUUCCCUCGAAGAAAAGAUCUAGGUGGUUAUUUUUUUUACUACUUCUCUUUAGAUUCAUUUUAUAGGACUGUAAAAAUAGUAAUCAGGAAGCAACAUGUAUAAAUAGUGAGUGUUGAUACUGCUCCCUCUAGAUUUCAAAUAGUACUUUUAGGCUCAAAGUAUAGACAAAAUAGGUGAACAAAUCAUUUCCUCGAAAUAAACAUAGUUGACUUUGCACAGAGUGUAAUCGAAUUAGGAUGAAAGAAAAUUAUCCUCAAUUUUUCGUUCAUGUUUCGUAUCUACUGCUUAUUUGCUCUGCCUCAAUUACUCAAGGCUACGAGGAAAGUUUUUUUUUUACCAGGAUGGUGUUUUUUAGCAAAGAAGUGGAAAUGAUGCUUGUUUUGCUAAGAUAUAUUCUCAAGUGAUAAUCGUAUCUUGUUUGGCCCUUUGUGCUAUGAGAGGAAUUGAAAGAUUGAAUUAUAUAUUCGAUGUUACCAACAUAGCUCCGUUUUUUUCUUUUCAGUGUGCACUAUAUGGGUUUGCUCUAGGGCAAGGAGGCGGUGACGAGCUGAAGGCGGCCAAAGCAAUAUCUUCCCCGUCUAUGAGCUCCAAAUAUGUGUCUCAGCAUGAAGGAUUCGGACAUGGCCAUUGGAGUUUGAACAUGACACCGUUGAUGGAGAGAAGAAGAGAUCCCCAUAUACACUGUGAACAAUUGGGUUGACGGCGUCGCAUCUCGGAACACACUACAAGAAAUAUGUAGCUGUCUCCCUCCCUUAUACAUGUUGUUUUGACUCAGGCGAGAUAUAUUAUAAUUUACCUGACAUGAACUCUAUUUAUCAUGUAAAAUGUACAAUCUAAUUAUGGGUUUUAAGUGUUGUUUCUUUUCAUUGUCAGAGGUGGACUUGGUUGAUAGUCCAUGGGGAGAAUGGUAUGAGGGGGGUGCAACGAUAGGACACCGUUGGUUUGUCCCAACAAUGUGCAACAGGUAAAUUUGCUUAGGGGAAAGCUUAGAAAAUAGGGACAAAGGAUGAUUCAGUUAACUAAGUCUUUGUAUUAGUUUCCAGUCGUAUCUUUGUUGUGGUCGAAUAAUAAGGAACUACAAAUUUUUUUGCACCCAGUACAUCAUUCGUCAUUCACAAAUCAUAAAUACAAAUCAGUCUCUUGAAUCGAUAAAUAUUGUAUAUAUUCAUAUAAGUACAAGAUGAAAAAUGAAGGUAAGGAGGGGUGGGGAGAAGAUUAGAUAUUACUGUCUUCUUGCAAGGGGACUAUGGUUGUGAAGAAACGGAGAUUGACGAGGGGGUAGAAGCGGGAGAAAGUCUGUUUAUUGAUGAAAACCACAUGACAUGUUCAACCAAUUUUUUAUUUGGAACAUUAUUUGAUCACUAUGUUUUUUAUCCCGUGGCAACGCACGGGCAUUAAACUAGUUAGAAAAAAAAGAGAGCCCGCAACUGUUUGAAUGGUCAAACCAAAGCACCAUUUGUACAGUUACGGACAACAAAAUUUUGCCUUAAAUGUCUCCGCAGAAAAGGAAAUAAUAGUUGUUUAGAGCAUCUACAGUUGGUCUUCUCAUAUUCAUUUUAAACGCCUGGGCAGGCCGGCCGGCAACCGACUGGUCAAAAACAAACGACCCAACCCGACCUCUCAUCGCGCGUUCGCUACUCCCCCGUCUCAUGCGAUCGAUACUUCCCGGAAAAAAAAGUCCAUCAUAAACAAACCAACUGCUGUGAUCCGAAAAAACACGGCCUCAUGUGAUCGCUUCUUCCCCUGGAAAAAAAAUCUAUCGUAAACAAACCACAAAAACAACUGUGACCUACUAACGCACGUCGCACGCCCGGUCUCUCAAACCCCCUCGCUCCCGUCUCUAUCGCGUGAAAAGUCUCCCGGCCGUUCCGCCCACAAACACCACCGCUCCCACCCAGAGCUCUCGAUCCGGCGCUAUGAGCGACGCAUGGCCAAUGAUAUCUUCUGCAACUGCUCCCCUCCUCGUCCACCUCGUGGUCUCCUCGUCCACCUCAUGGUUGAGGUGGCCGUCGUCUUUCCGUGCCUCCAUGGCCGACGCUGCUCCGCCACCCGAUCUCCUCUACAUGAGUAGUACAUGACAACCCUCCCUUCUCAUCGUCGUCCGACGCUCAUCUCCUUCGCUGUCGUGUUGUCGUCGUGUCGGUCACCAGCGUGCCUCUCCUCUAUACUGCCCUGUACCACAUGCUCGACACCGCCCCCGCUAAUAUUGACUGACGACGACUCGGACGCCGAGCUCGACGGAUCACUGCUCGGCUGCUCCUGUUGGCCGACGGUCCCAGUCCCCGUCCCAUCGCGCCGCUGGUACUGACUUUCUUCAUCGCCACCAGUCCUUCACGGACCCCUUCUCUUCUGAAGCCAGGCGCUGCUCCACCUCCCUUUCUUUAUCAGAUGCAGGUCGACGGGUUCUGCUUCGUACUAAAAUUGCCAAUUUCUGUUACGCAUGCGCAGUUCUUAUUCCUGUAGUCCAGUUCAUCAAUCAUCUUGACCAGGACGGUAGGUGCAUCAAACUAUUCGAGUGAGAAUGUUCAGUUGGCUCUGAAUUUCCCUCUUAUUGGAUAGCCUGCAGUAAUGUGCACCGAGUACCCUGUUGUGUGUGUGUGUGUGUGUGUGUGUGUGUGUAUGUGUGUUUGAGAACACCCUACUGUGUUUUUGCAAGUCAUCUGAAACAGCUCGUGCUAUACUUUUGCAGGAAAUUGCUUUAACUGAAUUAUGCAAGCGAUCAAUCCAGCAUGUGGUGUUUUUGCCAGAGUGGUGGCAGAGGCUGACGACACCUGUGGACUCAUGCAGCUUGAAUGUUUUAAUGAAGACUUGAUUUGAUUACUCUAGCUGAAUAUUUUUCUUACUUGUGGCCGAGCAUGUCGUCACGUUGGCCGAGCAUGUGCGUCCAAAGCGCGGCCGUGGGCUCUUCGUCGGCUCCGGCGAGCUCUCACGUCGCUGUGCAAGGCCGGGUAUGCGACUCUCAAGGGCGGACAAUGAGGGCAUCAUCACCAAAUUAGUCCUGUUGGGUUCACAUGCUGUGUUCACCUAUCCACCCAUAUCCGCCUGUUUGUCGACCCAAACGAACAAAAUGCAAAGAAAAUUUGGGUAUAUGUGCUUUGGAGUUGCCCUUAUAUAAUACCUUAAAGUAAACUAGAUUUCCCAAUGGAUGACAUACAUUUCGGUCACUAAUGUAUAUCAAAUGAGUUUACACAUGCACAAUUAGGUUCAAUUUUAAUGGGCAAAUUGCUGUGUUUUUUGGAGUUCUUUCUUUGGUUUUGUAUUGAUGUCACUUAUUUGAGAGGGAUUGGAGAGGAUAGGUUUUUCAUCAUGUAUAUAUCUCCGUAGCAUGAAGAACUUUCAUAAAUGAAUUUGAUUCAGCAACCUGCUCCCCAUGCCGUAUCUUGUUUGUUCUUGGGGCCUGUGCGCACCCCUUUCCCUUGUACGCGCCACCGUAGUCCUCACUCACGCCCUCCUGUGUGCGUGCUUGUGAAACUACCCCUGUAACCGCUAACNNNNNNNNNNNNNNNNNNNNNNNNNNNNNNNNNNNNNNNNNNNNNNNNNNNNNNNNNNNNNNNNNNNNNNNNNNNNNNNNNNNNNNNNNNNNNNNNNNNNNNNNNNNNNNNNNNNNNNNNNNNNNNNNNNNNNNNNNNNNNNNNNNNNNNNNNNNNNNNNNNNNNNNNNNNNNNNNNNNNNNNNNNNNNNNNNNNNNNNNNNNNNNNNNNNNNNNNNNNNNNNNNNNNNNNNNNNNNNNNNNNNNNCUCCAUGAAUGCAAUGAUAUGCAAGCCUUUUGCGUAUUCACCAAAAAAAUCUGUAAUAAAUAAAUGUAUCCUGGAUUUGCAAGUGUACCUGUUCCUGUAAGCAUUUGAAUGAAUUAGGUCAACAUGAAAUACCGUACUUACUAUUUAGUAGAUCAGCCUGCUCUUAUCAUAUUUGUGUAUCCUUACUAUAUUUUUGUUUAUUGAAUAAAGGUUACAAUUAUGGUAGUGAAGAGCUUAGAAUCUUUUAUUUAUCCAAGUAUUUAUCCAGUGUUGCGCUUCUUUUUCUCUUCUACUCAGCUCACUUUUUCCCAUAGAGGCCUGCCACUCAUGGACAUACUUGUUGAUGCAUAUCAACGCAAUACUCACCCUGCUUCAACAAAAUGAUCAUACUAGGGUGUUGGAGCAUUUGUAAUCAUUGAGUUAUCAUCAUAUUUGAUGGAGAUAAUAUUAGUUAUGUACAUGUUCCAGGUUACAUUGAUUAUACAAAUGGCCACCCCAGGAUGAAUGAGGUAUAAAGGGGAGUUGGUGAUUAUAUGUCCCUUUGUUGGUAAGUCGUCAUCCCUACUCAUCAUUUCUCUUGAUAUAUAUGCACCAUUUCAUAGAUCUUUCUAAUGUUUUGAAGAACUACCCAAGCAAUAGUAAGGCGAAGUGACUAACAUUUGAAUUGACAACAAUGGUAGAGCAAAGAUGGAUUAAGACAAUGGAUGUGGAGAGGAAGGAACGGCGGGAGAAAUAUGCCGCUUUUCUGGAUGCAAGGGAAGUAGUGAAAGAGAUGGUGACAUAGGGAGUUAGGGACACACUUCUAAUUUUUAAAAUACACAUCAGGAGCCUUCCCUACUAUUCCAUGGUGAAAUAUAGAUAUGGUUAGCGUCCAGGAGAAAAGAAGUGGGAGAAAGAAUUGGUGGUUGUCGUUAUAUGGCUGAAUAUCCAUCAUGUUUGACAUACACUUCCGGAUUAAAACGAUGACCGGUGUAUCUAUUUUAUGUCCCGUGGCAACACACGGGCAUUCAACUAGUAUUUUUAGGAUUACAAUCGAAUGUCAUAUAGAUCAACCUGAAGCCAUGAGGCCCAGGCCCAGCCUAGUCACGAGGGUCUCCGCUCUGUCACCUCGCGCCGCAUCCUGAAACGUCGCUUUCUUCCCUAAAAAAAAUGUCGCUCUCUCCUUCCUCCAUCGCCUCCAGCUCCAGUGCUCCCUCCGCCAUCGCCUCCAGUGCUCCCGCCGCCAUCGCCGGCGCACGGCACUGACCGGAAAACACGCUCUCAGCUAGGCGCCAGCACCGCCGCCGCUUCCAGGUUCGGAGCGCGCUUGACCUGCAGCCAGCCUCCAUUGCCCCGGCCAGGUCGCAGGUUAGUAAAAAACCUAAGUCUGCCUACAGUUCGGCGGGCACCACUUCUGCUAUGUUGUUGCUAUUCUGCUUUAGUUAACACUAGAAUGAAGCAAAUUGAUAUUCUUGCCUGCAGACGCUCCUUCAAUCAGAACCCUGGGAUGUCUAGUUUGGUCAAAACUGACAUGUCAAAUUUGUGUGAACUCUUGUUGUUGUCGAUUACAAGCUAGCUAGUGUAAAAUUCUGCUUUCCUGUAUGGUUUCCUACUCUAAUUUCUUGUACCGCACUGUAUGAUGCGCACCGGUUCUACUCUCUCAAAUAAGAAAAAAAAAGGACAAAUCAGGGAGGAACCUCCUCGGUUCCAGUUUGUAUAGGAACGGGACCACCUUUUCCACCAACGUCCAAAGUUACGUAGGUUUAGAAACAAAAUAUACGUUCACCUUUUGUUACCUGAUGUCUACAGCGGAAAUGUUUCUCGAGCAACAGGUGUGAUGAAGUUUGCCUUAGUGAAGAAAAACAAAAAAAAUCCAGUAAAAUCUUGAGGGGAAGGGAAACAUGGUUAUUUGGUCAUGGUCAACCAUGUCGCCUCUUGUUAUAAUGGGAAAUAAAAACAUUACAAUGUCACCAGAGAAAUUAGUUCAUUCAGACGUUUACAAUGGAAAAUGUGUUAAAUCCAAAAAUGCUAGUUGCAAACUUGCAAUGAAGAUUUCACCCAAAUUUUCUAAACUGUCUCUUUGCUACAAUUUUAUGUAGGUGUAGCUCCAAGAACAUGUGUUCUGUGGCGUGUAUUGAUGGCCAAUAGCGAGUACGAGUAUGUGAAGAGGGAAUUCGAGUUCGACCAUCACCUCCCGGCCUCCAACUGGAUCAUUGUCUGCUUAGAUGGCUGUCAUUUCCACCGGUACUGUUCAUCUCUUCCUUCAAUAAGAAAAAAAAGUGGUUAAGCAACUGCAUAGAUCAUUUCACCAUGUCAAGUUCUUAAUCUUGUCCAUGUACCAAUGUCUUUUGCUUGAUUGUUGAAGUAUAAGCAUGUGGGAAACAUGCAAUGAAGGUUACUAUAUGCAUAUCUGGGAAUUACUGUUGCUUCAGAUUAUAAAUAGCUUAUCUUUGUUGUUCCAGUCUCCACUAAUUUCACUCCUCUUUUUGUUAGAUUCUCGAAGAUACACGCCUUUGAGAAACCAAAUGAUGAGAGCGCUUUAAGAUUGAUGAAUGCUUGUGCUAGUUCUAUCCUCGAGGAAUUUCCUGACAUAGUGUUUUCUUAUGGUGUUAGAGCAUCUCUAGCAGACCCCUUAAAAGAGCCAAAACUGUAAAAUAACUGCUUUUUACGGGAUUGAGCGGAAAAACCGACCCGGCCAGACCACUCAAAAUCGGCCGACCCGCAUAUUUUUUUGAGGGAAACCUUAAAAUAAGCCUCCAAUCCUGCAGUUGUUCAGGAUUCAGGGCAAAUUUUUCUGUUCACCUUAAAAAAAGACAGUUGGCGGGAGGGAAGUUUCAGGUCCAACCGCCAGAAUAGUUUUCAUUUUGAUCAAGAUCUAUCAUGUCAGUCUCGAUUCCGGCCAAAUUUCCAGCGGACAGGCCUGAUCUGGAGCGAUUCUAGUUGAUUUCGGUGGGCCGGCGCUAGCUCCGUGCGUGCUCCUUGGGAGGGACGGUGACAUGCCGCUGCUGCUGCGGCUGUUCAUAGACGGGAGGUACGUUGGCGUCGCUGACGAGGUGGUUGCGCUGCACGAGCAGUCGCGGCUCUGGUCGGUGCUCCGCCGAGCAGCCAGGCGCGUGCGAGGCGGCCUGCGAGGUGUGCGGCGACACCUGGUUCGUCGUGUGCGGAGGUGGACUGCACGGUGUGUGGCGACAAGGAUUCAGGGAGAUGCGGGUGAAAGGAAGAAGGAGAAGACCACGGGGAAUAUUUGGUAUUACGGUAUUUUUUUUGGGAUCCGUUCCAAUGUAGCCUGCACGGUACCACAAAACAGGUUUAAGGUUCCCCUUAUAAUGCUUUUACGGUACCGCGAUAUAAGGGAUCUACUAGAGAUGCUCUUAGUGAUGAGUACAGGUAUAACCCGUAUAACAUCUUCUCAUGAAAGUUAGAUUGUAAAAUGGAUGCAAAUUUUAUAUUAAAAAUUUGUAUGCAAAUACUUUUAUGAAUGGAGAUACUUUUGAAUUGCACGGGCUUUGUUCUCAGAUAAUAAUGUUAGGUUCUCAUAUUUCUGUUUGCUUUGCAGUUUUGUUUUCAGAGAGGGAACAGAAUUCUGUCAAAGACUUCUCUACCAAUAAUUGCAGCAAAAUUCUCUCUUUGUGUGUUUCUUACAUCACACCUGUGUAUGUGAUGAAGUUGAAAGAUUUCUUUCCAAAUAAAGAGUUGAGAGAGGCUCCAUAUUUUGAUGGGCGAGUUGUAUGCUAUCCAAAUAUGAAGACCAUUCGUGAUUAUUUGGCAUGGAGGCAACUGGACUGUAAGCUUCUUUAACUACAGUCGACAGUUUCCUAGUAUAAGUGAUAAGAUUCUUGUAUUUUGCAAUUGUGCAUGUUGAUCUCCUCUACAAUAACAUCUUGUCGUGUAUGUUAUUCCCCCAAAGUUGUAGAAACGUCAGCAAUAUUAAAUAAACACAAGUAUGGUGUAUGUAUCAUCAUUCAAUAGAUUUGUAUGUCCGGUUGCUCCGUUGCUUAGUUUGUUUUAGUUUAUUGGGUAAGUAUAAUGAACAUAUUUAAUUUGAGACGUGUGUUUCAGGUCAUAGAAAUAAUCAUUAAAAUACAUGCUUCUGGACAUUAGUGAUAUCUGAAAAAACUGAAAAAGAGGCACAACAAGCAUUGAAGGUAAUCUGAGUUUUAUAGAGUUUGAGUUGUCUUUUGUAUCAUUUGUAUAAAUUCUUUUUUGUGAACCAUCUAUUCUAGGGAACAUUUUCUAAGGAUAAAAUCGAGUUGCUUUCACAACAGUUCCAAAUCAUCCAUGAUGAUGAAUCGACUAUGUUCCGAAAAGGAUCCAGCGUUUAUCGAGAUAACGUAAUGGUGUCAACCAUACAAAAGGAAAUCAUCAUUAAAUGUUCCUACUCAUUCUCAGUGACAUAAUUUCCAUGUUUCUGUCACAAGAUAUCGCUUGCAUGAUUUAUGCAAAUGACCAUCAUAGUUUCUAAUCAUAACUUGGUGCAGAGAUCAAUCUAGCAUUUCUGAAUUCGCAUCUGAUAUCCAGAUAGUUAAAUGUGAAAAGUCCCUCUAUACUUUAGUUUUGAGGGAUAAUCGGAACUCCGUAUUUGGCAUUUCACGCCAUUUCCUUGUCUGAUAUUGGUCGAAUGCUAUAAUUCUUCUAAUCAGCUGUGCAGAUUACGUAAUGUAUUUCUAUUGUGGGUCUGAUUGUUGAAUAAUGUUAUUUUGUGGGACAUGUUUUGCUCAACUCUUACUUAAGAACAGUUAACCCUGUAUGGUGCUCUUUCGAAUACUGAUGGAAGUGUUGUUGUACAUAUCAUUGCAGGUAGAAACAACGCUGAAAAUUGACGAUUAUGGGAAUCUUAUAAAAAGAACCCGGUUGGCAAUUACAGUGUCAAUUUUUGAUAUCAUAGGACAUGAGUUUCGAGAAAAACAUCAAAACAUUCUUCGAGAAGGUUGGUUGAAUCAUUAUAGUUUUAGCAAUGCUUCCAGUCCAGCUCCAGUCAACUUUCAUACAUACAACCAGUACUGUACUGUAUACAACAUCGGUCUAACUGUGUGUUUGGGAGAAGAAAAAUAUAGAUACGAAUAUAUUAUAGAAGUACGAAUACAUCCAUAGGCUUCCAUGUUGUAAUUGAACUGUUGUUCAUAUCAGCGCCUGCCAAAUUGAUCAGUGAGGACCCCAAGUUUCCUAUUUAUGGAAUGUAUAUGCUCCAAUGCCAUUUACAGUUUCUUGUCGACAGUAGUACAAUAUGUAACAUCUAAAUUUAUCUCUUCAUCCACACCAGUAUGUAUGCAUUAAAUUUAGUUCUUGUUUAGUGUUUUACUGUGAUGAAUACUUAUCAAUGCCCUUGUCACUUCAUUUUCAUUUUCUAAUAGUAUCCUGAUGCAAGGGCUUAUUACUGUUGUAGCUAGUUCGAACAACAAACCAUAAGAAAAUGAGCUGACUCCCUGUACAAUUCACAGGUCACAACAGGAUCCAGUACAAGACAUGCUUUUGGAUGCUAGUGAAGUCCAGAAAGGGCGAAAACGAAGCUUACGAUAUGCUGAAGGUCUUCUUUCAUCAUCUACGUAAUCUAAAUAUUUGUUUGCAUUAUCCUAUUCAAUUCUUCUGUUAUCUACAGUCCCUAACUUUCUACCGUUCUCUGAAGGUCAAAGGACAAGAACGAGUUGCUCUUUCAGCCGUUUGAAAUGAACUAUAACAACGAACCGGCCAUGUACUGAAAGGGCUCAUGUGCUUACCGUGAAAAAGGUAUGUUUACCAUCAUCCAGGAACUAUUUUCAACAACAAUGCUGUUUGCGCUGCAGUUUCAUAUUAAGCAUUCCAAAAUAAAAUGUAGCGAUGCUGAAGAAACAAGAUUUACUUUGCCUAAUAAAAGAUUAAAGUUUUUUUUCCAACCCUGUAUGUAUUACGAUGAUGGGCUGUGCGGGGCGGCUUAUGGCUGUGCGGGGCGAGUAGGUGGCGGCUCAGGGCAUGGUAAUGCAGUGUCGGCGGUUGGCGGUGGCCCGCGGUGCAUCUUCUCCUUCCGCAGCGUCCGGGAAGACGAGGGGAUCCGGCAGUCUGCUGGGUACCCUGCUUAGCACCCCAGGCACAGCCCGCGUGCGUCGCUGCUGGAGGUAGUCACCCCCCGGCGUCGCUGCUGGAGCUAGUCACCCCCCGUCUUGCUUCCUGGCAUCUUUGCGUGGGCGCUGUGUCCGGUCCUUGGUCCCGUGCACCCACCUCGCCCGGAGUGGAGGGAGUCCUGCGGGUACCAGAUGUGCGUAGCAGCAGCCUUGUGUUCGCCACCGAUUGCGUGCACCAGCUCAUCCCCACCCACGCCUGCUUCGUGUCUCUCCCGCGUCGACAUGUUAUCCGUUCCAUAACCUCCAGAUGCCUCUGAAAAUAUGGCAUUCUAUCGGUUCCUCGUCGACGCGCUGCUCUCGUGGUCCUCGAAGCGCCAGCCCACGGCGUCCCGCUCCAGCGUGGAGGCAGAGUACCGUAGCGUGGCCAACACCGGGCCGAGUGUGUCUAGCUUCGACAACUCCUCGGCAAGCUCUGCUGCGCGGUCACCACUGCAACGCUGCCAUGCUGGUCUACUGCGACAACAUCUUUGCCGUGUACCUAUCCAGCAAUCUCGUUCACCACCACGGCACCAAGCAUGUCGAGCUGGACAUCCACUUGUAUAAAUCUAACCUUGAUCAAUGCAAUCGGUGUGUUCCCCCUGUAUAAGUCUAACCUUAAUGGCUUCUGCACAGAGCGGAUGACUGCAGGUGGACGAUGCUGCGAGUGGGCGGUGGCGCACGUCGACAUGAGGCCAGAGUUUUGGAGAACGCAUCGUCGUGGUCGUGGCUUUGUUAGCAGGUCGCAGGAACAGGUGAUGACUAAGUAGGAGUAGUUCUCAUCAUUGUCUCAAAGAAAACGUGACGGUUUAUUACGGCUGGAUAAUACAGCAAGGUCCGGCGUUCGAUCUCUGGACCGUGUAUUAUACUCCCUCCGUUCUGAAUUAAUUGUCUUGGAUUUGUCUAGAUACGGAUGUAUCUAGACUCAUUUUAGUGCUAGAUACAUCCGUAUCUAGACAAAUCCAAGACAAGUAAUUCGGAACAGAGGGAGUAUUAGCGAACAUCAUUUAUUUAUUUUUUCGAUCGUUGAAACCUCUGGUGGGCCGGAUACUGUGUCAGCGCGC
rnacentral:lncRNA from 1 species